CCUGUCGCGGCGCUGCAGUAGCUGCAUCUGGGGAUAGGUGACCCACCAUUCAGCUUCCAUAGUCGUGCUGGCAGGAGGAUGAGAAUGAAUAAUGGUUACCUUUCCUUUCUAGAGCGGGGUGGUAUCAUAAUUUACUAGUUGUACCUAAAACCCAUAAGGACCCAAAUGCCAGUGUUUUUCUGGUCAAGCAAGUGAACUUAUGUUGUUGUUACUGUUUAUAGGUAUAUAGGUUUGUCAGAAACUUCAGGAAAAUGGAACAAAAGAAAGUUAGCAAUAUGUUAUGUGUACUAGCACUUUAAUAUGAUGCGAUGCAAUGUGUGUGGUCCAUUUCUGAUGGGGUCAUCGCCUUUGUUCUUUUUUGAAGAUUUGGAGAUGACACACGAGUUGAGUUUAGUAACGUACGCACACUUUUUCACAUUGGUGAAAUUUGAGCCAUUCAAAUAGUUUUUAAAUCCAGUGAAAUUUGAGCUAUUCAAAUAAGUGGUCACAUGGGAUCCCAUGAGACUUGACGAUGGUCCCUGUUCGCAACGCUUGGGUAGUCGAUUCCCUUUCCCCUCCAUCGUGGCUCACUGCUUGAGGGUCCGGAUAGCCUUGAGUUGCGCUUCCCGGUUGGCCAACCAUGAUGUCGAUCAUCAACCUUCAUACUCUUACGGCUAUGCAUCGGAGGCCAAUGGUGAUCCUCUUUUUCUCAGAAAAAUCCUCCUACACUUACCAACAUUUGCGAAUUGCUUGCAAGAACCUAAUUGCCAAGUCUGAAAACAGUUAAUGUGUGUGUUGAUGGUAAUACCCUAUGGCCGAGAUAUUUUUACAGAUGGUGAAGAAGAUGGAACAGUCAAAGGAGAACAUCAAUGCCAAGAAGGGUGACGCCCUGCUGCGGUAGUUGCAUCUGGUGAACGGUGACCCACCAUUCAACUUCCAUAGCCUUGAAUCUGGUUGUCUUGUGUGUUUGAUGCAACUACAACGACAAUGGUGGUGAUGAUAGCAGUUACGUUUUCUUUGCAAAGAGGGAUGAUAUAUUAAUUUACUAGUGGUACCUAAAAUCCAUAAAGACCCAAAUAUCAGCGUUUAUCUAGUCAAGCAAGUGAACUUGUGUUGUUGUUACUGUUUGUAGGUGAUGAUGGGUUUGUGAGAAAAACUUCAAACAAAUGGAAAAAAUAGCAAUAUGUUGUUGUGUACUCCGAAAGUCCCCUUCUACUUCUGAGCUUAAUUGAGCUCAGGAUGAAUGUUAAAUUAAACAAAAUGAAAAUAUGUCAAUAAACUCUGAAUUUUUUUGGGUGUAAACUUUGACAAAUGUUCUCAGUGCUUGUAAACUUCAUCCCGAAAUAACAUUCAAUUUUUUGGCAUGCCUUUCAUGAAUGUUAUUUCAGGAUGAAAUUUGCAAUCAUGAAAACAUUUGUCAAAGUUUGAACCUGGAAUAAUUCAUAUAUUUUGCUUUUUUGAUUUUACUGUUCAUUAGAGAGCAUAUGAGGUCGGGACUAGAUACUCUGCGUCUUGUGUACUCGCGCUUUAAUAUGAUGUGAUGCUAUGUGUGUGGUCCAUUUCCGGUUUAUGUUGGAGUCUUUGCCUUUGUUAUCUUCUGAAGAAGUGGAGAUGACACACGAGUUGAGUUUAGUCACAUAGUGCAUCGGAGGCUAGGAGUGAUCCUCCUUUUGUAAGAAAAAAACCCUCCUGCAAUUACCGUCAUUUGAUAAUUGCUUGCAACAACCCAAUAGCCAAGUCUUAAAAUAGUAAACGGGUGUGUGUUUAUGGUAACACCAUGUGGUCGUGAUUUUUUUACACCCGACGUUGAAGAUGAUGGAACAGUCCAAGGAGAAUGUCAACACCAAGAAGGGUGGUGCCCUAUUGCGGCAUUGCAACAGUUGUUUCUAGAGAAUGGUGACACGCCAUUUUGCUUCCAUUGUUGUGUUGGUAGGAGGAUGAGGAGGAACUAAAUUCUGGCCAUUUUGUGUGUUUGAUGCAACUACAACGAAAAUUUAGUAGUUACCUUUUCUUUUUGAAGGGGGGUGGUAUAGCAAUUUAUUAGUAAUACCUAAAACCCAGAACAACCCAAAUGUCAGUGUUUAUCUAGUCAAGCAAGUGAACUUACAUUGUUAUUACUAUUUAUAGCUAAUGAUGGGUUUGUUACAAACUUCAGACAGAUGGAACAAAAGAAAAUUAGCAAUAUUUUGAUGUGCGCACGUGCUUUAAUAUGAUGCGAUGCUAUGUGUGUGGUGCAUUUCGGAUGUGUGUGUAGGAGUCUUCUCCUUUGCUUGCUUAUGAAGAAGUGGAGCUGACACACAUUACUCACGUAGGCACACUUCGCUGUGUCAGUGAAAUUUAAGCAUUUAAGUAAUGUUUACAUGUAGUGAAAUUUGUGCUAUUCAAAUCAAUGGUUACGUGGGAUCCCGUGAGACUUGACGGUAGUCACCCAUUGCAAUGCUUGGGAAGUCGAUAUCCUAUCCCCGCCAUCAUGGCUCGCUUCUUGAGAGUCUGACUAGCCUUUAGUUGUUCUCCUUGGUUGGCCAACUGUGACGGCGAUCAUCAACCCUCAUACUCUUGAGCUAUGUGCAUUGGAGUCCAAGGGUGAUCCUCCUUUUCUAGGAAAAAAACCCUCCUACACUUACCACCAUUUGCCAAUUGCUUGCAACAACCUAAUUGGCAAGUCUUAAAACAGUUAAUGUGUGCGUGCAGAUGGUAACACAUGUGGUCAUGAUUUCUUUCACAUCUGUUAGAGAAGAUGAUUGAAUAGUCUAUGAUGAACGUCAACACCAAUAAGGGUAAUGCCCUGUCGCAGUGUUGCAACAACUGCAUCUGGUGAACGGUGACCUUCCAUUCAGCUUCCAUAGUUGUGCUGGUAGGAGGAUGAGCAAGACUUGCAUUCUGGCCAUUUUAUGUGUUUGGUGCAACUACAAUGACAUUUGUGGUGUUGAUAGUAGAGUUACCUAUUUUUCGGAGUGGGGUGGUAUAGUUGACGGUGUCCUGGACAAGGGAGUACUCACCACGUCCUCUUCCGACCAGUGGGUCAGGCCGAGGACCCCCAUGGCGGUUCACUAUUAGGCCAGUUCGGGCAACCCAUGCCGCAUACAAGGGAGAUUCCACAAGGACUUGGCGACCAUGACAAGGACUCUCCUAAACCCUAGGCCUCCGGUGUGUUAUAUAAACCGAGGCUAGGCUAGUCAAUAGAUAAUCCCAUAUUCAUUAGAUCAAUCGCGUGGUAGAUACAUGUACUCUGUACUACACCCUAUAUGAAUACAAUCAAAAUCAGGACGUAUGGUAUUAUCUCUUCGAGAGAGCCCGAACCUGGGUAAAAUAUUGUGUCCAUGUUACCAUCGUUCCAAGACGCCUAGUUAGGACCCCUACUACGAGAUAUGCCAUAUUUGACACCGACAUUGGUGCUUUCAUUGAGAGCCUGUUGGGUGAUAGCCAUGGACCGAUGGGAUGAUCAGGUGAUAUAUUUUCAGUCAGAUCUGUUCUAUGUAAAUUAUCUUUUCUAUAGAUUAUUGUUGUCACCUCGUACUAUUUGUUCACAGUGCUAGAUCAAAAUCAAAAAAACUUCUAGCGGUCAUGCCCGACGAUCCACGGUACGAUAGAUCCGAGCUGUUAUGGAGCUACUACUAGCAGACCUAACCGAUGACGACGAACUACACCUGCACGGCCAUGGUGGGUUAGAAGAAGCACGCAACAGCCUAGUUUUGGAGGAUUUGCUACGUAAAGGUGGGUUGGCCGACAUGGAUUCUGACUGGCGGAGGCGUACAGGGAAGAUUCCAUCUUUCCUUCCUCUACUUUGUUAUUUACCAUAUUAAAUUAUAUGCUUGGAGGGAGGCUACACUUUUGGGUAGUUGUCUCUACGUGUACAUUUCGCGUGUUCUAGUCCGGUUUGACUUGAUGUGUGCUUACGUGAUGCUGUCGGCUCCAAAUCCGCUAUACCUAUUAGCAGAUGAAUCAUCAGGUGCCAUGGUUCCAGUUAAUUACUCUGUACGGAUUAUUUGUCCAGAGUAUAUCCUUUUUGCUGCUGUGCUUUCUUUUAUGUAUGUAGACUACUGCGGCCGACAUAUCUCAAUGAUCCGUCAUCCUGACAUUAACAGUGGUCGCGCCAUGCCGUCGACUCCUCAAGCUGAUGUCAUCGUCCUAGCCGAAGGGUUCUAGAUGAGGAGCAAAUGCAGGCAGCCAACUAGAUUUGCUAUACAUGGGCAAAACCCAAGGAAAAAGAAAAUGCAGUCCGACCGGCGAUGCUUAGCCCGAGGACACUGUGGAGCUAGCGCACUGGUACUAGUACUAUUCCUAGAUGCAAAUCCAUGAGCACCCACAUGUGUCUCUUCGUAUUGCUACAACAAAUAAACCAAGAGCUAUUAAUCCUAGUAAUUUUUGCUUGCUUGGGUUUAUUUUUCCUGAGAAAUUAUUAUUCUGGUUUGUUCCAUCUUCUGUACACAGGACUAUCAAAUGGUUGCCACAUUAACGAUGGUUGCGUGAUGGUUCGGUCAGUUUCCCAUCCGCAGUUCGGUGAACGCCUCAUCAGGGACUCGGAUCCCCCUGCGGAUUCAGGCUUUGUCACACCGAUGCCCCGCAUCAACAUUGGCUUCGACGCCAGGCCACAUCUCUUUAAAAAAAUAUUUUGCGUAAAUUAAUUAUGCGAGGAUUUUUUAUAUGUAUUUGUAUUAUUAUUUUUUGGACUGCUCUAUUAUAUAUGUGUAGGUAAUCGACUUCGACUGCGUCACGCGAUCUCUUCGGCAAGCCGACGUCGUCGUCCCAAUCGGCAUAAAUCGGCCCGCGUGAUCACCUUGUGGGUCGAAUUGCCAUACCGACAUGUUCUGUUGCCUCGGGGACUUCGGCAUCGCUGAAAGAGCUCUACCUCAUCGGGUGUUCGGCACACGGGCCAUAUUUCUUUUAUUACCCACUUUGCAUAAAUUAUUAAUUAUGCAACAAAUUUUUUUAAUUUAUUAUUAUUACUAUUAUCUCCGGCUUGCACUAUUUUCUGUGCACAAGUAAAUGAUCCGGGUCAGGCAGUGUUGUCACCUCAGCGUACCAACGUACCACGUCACCUCGGCUGGACCGGGGGCUUCGUCAUCACUUCAUUAACCCACACCGGGGACUUCGGCGUCACAUUGCCAGCCUGCAUUGGUCGUGCUAUAUCGCCACUUUGGAGUGCACAGCUCUUCACUCCGUCACCUCGGGACCGGCUUGGGGGUUGGGACCUCAUCCCGCCGUAAGCUCGGACCGCAUCAUCUACACCGAGCACAUUAACUAGCUAAGUCGUUUUCAUGCUCAAUUUUUUUAAUGUUUAAUUUUUGUUCGGUUUGACCAAGCAUUAUAUUUGUGUUAAACAAAAAACUUAGUUUGUUAAAAAUGUUAUUUCUUAAAAUCAUUUCUCUACCCAAGUUAACUAGGGGCUCUUAAAUUUAGAUGAGCCAUUUUAUGAUAAAUUAUUUCUUCUUAGUCGUUGCAAGUCUUUUUCUAUCACUCCUUUUUCGAUGCGAGUGUGUGGUCAAUAGCCGGCGAUCCUAGUUUCUCUCUCAAAGACCUUUUAGUUCGCUAAAAUGGCCUAAUGAGAAGUACUCCGCCUUCGGGAUAGGAGGUUGCAGCCGUAGGCUGGCCCGAUUGAAGUCUUGAGAUCGGAUGUGUCAUAUUAAUGCACGACAGAAGCACAAAAAUUUUAAGACCAAUUUUCGGAUUGGCACCAAAUGACUUGAUUAGUUCAGACAUCAAGCUUUUACAUAAGUUCUUUGGCUUUUUGAGCUUAUGUUACUUUUUUAGCUAUUUGUAUGUUUUUCUUUCAGGAAGCGGGACAUCCUCAUGACCGAGGUGCCCUGCAUUCUAAUUCAACUUGGGAGAUCUUUUCUGACCCACAGCUUGAUAUCUUUCUCGACGAACUACACCUCGGUGUUGACAAAAUGCACGCCAUAUCGGGACUAGUUCCUAAGAAGUGCAAUGCCAAACGCAUUUCAAGCAUUGGCAAUAUUAACGGGAGGCUGAGACUAUAGCCGAACCCACCAAAACCAAGGUACACCAUGGAGUACUCGGCAAAGCGUCCGCAGACAUUUCUUUAUAUGCAUCCGUUUUGAAUUGUGUCUUCAGUCAACAGUUGGAUUGCCCGGCUCCUGUGCUUGCCUCCUAUGUUUCGCUUGUUUGGCUCGGUGUGGAAAGGGAGAACCACUGCGAUUGUGCUUUUAGCUUGCACGGUUAAGCGCCUCAGUGUAGAAAGCCGAAAACUGACUGUCACAAUAAGAGUAAACUGGUCAGCGAUCCGAUGAUUGUGUUAAACUAUAAGAUCGAUGGUGGUCACCCGUGAUAAAUGACGGGCCGUUCAUAACAUUGGCCGAAGUGUUAACGGCUUGACCUCGGCUGACGCUGAACACUAACCUAGGGCUAGUAACUAGCCUCCCAACUUGAAGAUCCUAUGACUAAGCAAAAGUUAUAAAGCCCGCAUAUCUGAUUGCCUUGUUUCCGCUAACACAACCGCCUCCGGGCACCGAGACGUCAGCUAAGGGUUGUCUUGUUACUGCGGAAACACUCUGCAUAGUGAUACGUCCAUUUUGCCUCAUGUUUUCUUACUGUUAUUUAUGAUGUUUUUAUCCAUAAUAACAACUUUCAUCCGUGGGCAUAGACCAACUUAGGCCAAAAGCCUAAGCUUGGGGGAGUACGUAUUUCUCACCAACAUUACAUUCAUGUUCACAUACUCAUGCCAGUUGUCGGUGCUCAUACUUUUUCAUUGUAAUAUCCAUGUUAGUUUAUUUUCUUUUUAAGCAUUCUUCUUGUGUGUUUGAAAAACCUUAAGAAAAACAAAAAAUUAGUUGUCGCUUUUAGCUAGUUUACUUUCCAUGCCUGUAGUAGUAGUAAUUAAAAAGAAAACCCAAAAAAGAUUUCUCGUUCUUAUGUUGCUUGAUUGGGAGCAUUCCCGUGUAAAUAGUUUUGUUUCUUUUCUUUUUCUUUGGGGGGGGGGCAAGAGGAGAAGACCAUGAUGAAAAUGUUGAGUGGGUCUCAUAUGCAUUAUUGUUGAUCUAACAAAGAGCCCAUAUUACCUUGUCUUCUCCCUUGAAUUGAAUGCUUGCAGAUUCCAGCUUAGUCCAAUGCACGUGCACUAUUAUUAUUAUUAUCCACACUAUUCGGUUGUGCAAGUGAAAGGCAAUAAUGACGAUAUAUGAUGGACCGAUUGAGAUGAGAGAAGCUGGUAUGAACUCAACCUCUCUUGUUUUUGUAAAUAUGAUUAGUUCAUCGUUCCUGAUUCAGACUAUUAUGUAUGAAACAUGUUUGCAAUGACAAUUAGAGAUUAUAGUUGCUCAUGCCAUGCUUAAUAUGCUAGGAGUUUAUAAUGGUUUACCUUGCGUGCCAACAUGUUAUUAAAAUGGUUGUGAUGUGGUAUGAUAGGUGGUAUCCUCCUUCGAACGAUUCGAGUGGCUUGACUUGGCACAUGUUCACGCAUGUAGUUGAAACAAAAUCAACAUAGCAUCUACGAUAUUUAUGUUCAUGGUGAAUUAUAUCCUACUCAUGCUUGCAUUCAGUGCUGAUUAAUUUUAAUGCAUGUUCAUGACUGUUGUCGCUCUCUAGCUGGUCGCUUCCCAGUCUCUUUCUAGCCUUCACUUGUACUAAGUGGGAAUACUGCUUGUGAAUCCAAUUCCAUAAACCCCAAAAGUUAUUCCAUAUGAGUCCACCAUACCUUCCUAUAUGCGGUAUCUACCUGCCGUUCCAAGUAAAUUUGUAUGUGCCAAACUCUAAACCUUCAAAUGAAAUUCUGUUUUGUAUCCUUGAAUAGAUCAUGUGUCAACUAGGGUUGUCUGUAUCUUCCAUGCUAGGCGGGUUAUUCUCAAGAGGAGUGGACUCCGCUCCUCACUCACGAGAAAAUGGCUGGUCACCGGGAUUGUAACACCCCAAAAUUUUGACCUUGAUUUAUUAAUUAAAAUUUUGCCACGAAUAUUUUUAUUUUCUGGUUUUAUCUUUUAAUUUCAUAUCACUCUGUCCCUCUAAAUUUUUGAGUUUUUUUCCUUCUAGGUGGAAACCUUUCAAAAAUAUUGUUGGACUUGUAUAUCUUCCCAAGACCAUUUCUUUUUAUUAGUGGAAUUAUUUCUACAAUUAUUUUUCCUGAGCUUUAUUUCUUUAAAAAUGAUUUUUUUCAUAAGUUUUAGAGUUCCAUUUGCACUACAACCUAUUUAAAUAUUUCUUUAAAAAUUCCACAAAAAUUGGGGGAUGUUAGUAGUAGUGUAUAAUUCAACUUUAUGCAAAAACCCAUUGGUGUUCUUUGAAAAACUUGAGCAAACCAUCCUCAUCUUCAUUCUGGUCCAGUUUGGUGUUUUGUAUUGCAACCAUGUUUUAUCUUGCCAUAUUACCCUUGAUUUUUCUCCUGCUUAUAGACCAGCCUACCAAACCCUUAAGUCCAGGAGAUUGGACCCAUUGGAGUAUUUUUGGUCCAUGCAAUAAUGCCCUUCACUUUCUGUCCAGAACUGAAGAUUUGCAAAACUUGCACUAACAAGUUUCUAGUUUUGCCCAAAUAGCCUUGCCAUCAUCACUUGCACCUAAAGAGAUCCCAACCUGGAGAUUUGGGCCACCAGAAGAGAUGCCUAGAAGCCCAUGGCAUUCUGUCGAGCACCUUGUGGGCAUGGCCAGUUUUGGCUUAGUUUUUAGUUUGCGUUGUGAACAUGAUCCCCUGACGUAACAACCAUGUCCACUAAUCUCCUAGCCACCUCUAACCUAGACAUGUUAAUUGCCAGCCUCACCCAAGCCCUCUAGGCCACCCUGGCUUUCUGUCGAGCAUGUAGCGUGCGUGCUCUGGGCGCGCCCAGAGCGCACAUUUUGCACACACGCGCAACCGAGCCGCCGCGUCUUGCCCCUGGCCUUUGCUCGCCCGCAGGGCCGCGCCCCAUUCUCGUCCGCUCGCCAGAACCCUCCAAGCCGCCCCUGGCGCCCUACAUCACCGCUGUCAGAGCCCUCUUGGCGGCACGCUGGCGUCCGCAACACGCCCCUGCCAUGGCAGCACCGCCCAAGCCACAGCCGCCCGCCAGCUGCCCUUUGGAAUAGCUCGAGCUCAUCCAUGAGCCCGUCCGCUAGCGACCGUUGCCGCCAUGUCGCCCUGCCAGCAACAGAACGGCGGUUCACCGACGUUCUUAUCCGCAGCCGCGGGAACCGACCUCGUCCACCUAUAAAAGGAGCCCCCGAGCUCGUCCAGACCCUUAGACGACCUCAGGCCAUCUCCCUAGUGCUCUAUUAGCCAGCAAUCGACGGAGGGAGGCCGUCUGCCUCGUCUCCGGCCAGUUUGGCCGCCGCCACACUCCGGUGCCGUACGUCGCGAGCAGAGCCUCCCCAGUUCUUCCAGCACCAUCGUCCGACUACCCUCAACCGUGCGGAGCCGCCCCACCUCUCUAGCCCGACCGGGAGCCACCAUAGCUCGAGACCUCGAUCCACCCGAAACCACCGUCCGCCACGGAGCUCACCGCCGGCAACCCCCUCCACCCCCGCCAGCCUAUCGACCACUGGGAGGACCGCCCUAGACCAGCGGAUCCAUCCCCGCCCUCAUAAUCCCGCGGGGAACCGCCGUUCGUCGGUGGCAAUCGCCGGAGCCCCACCACCGCUCGGCCAGAGAAGGAAGGAGGGCGGGCGCGACUGGUCAAACCUGACCAGUGGACCCGAUGGCCCCACCUGCCAGUGACCCCAUCUCUGCCGACAUGUUUUAAGUGGAAACAUAAAACACAGGAGUACGUCUUCUCUGUCUCGAAAGCGUAUUCUUAUUCGAACCAUUUUUCUUUUUCUGUCUAAUUUAAAAACAUAUUUUGACUGAAACUUUGACUAGCUAUAACUUUUAAAUAUAACUCCAUUUGACCUGAUUCUUUUUUUUGUUUCCCAAAUUUCAUCUAGUUUAUUUCCACAUUUAUUUGAAAAUUUUCCAAACAACUUUUUUGUACUGUUUUGAAACUAUGUGUUAAUUUAAAUUUUCUUAAAAUAGGAUUUUGAAGAAGGAAGCAACUUUCAAAAAGUGCACCCCCACUUGCAUACUCUUGAAGGCAAGCAUUCUGAACCCCGGCAAAAGAUUUGUUGUGUGUUGUUCGAUGCUAAUAAGACACCACCUUGACAUGAAGGGUUCGGUGUUUUAUGUGGUGUUAUGAUCAUAUUCAUGAGUGGAUACUAAUGAUUCCUUGCUGUUGGAAUUUGAUAUGCUUCUGAUAGUAAUCACCCUCGUAUGCCUUUCAUGCCUAUCGGGAGGAAUCCGGGAAAGUCUUUGUCUUGGGUAGACAUGAACUUGUCUCUAAUAAUUCAUUGAGACGAUUAUGUCCGGUAAGGCAUGGUGAGGUAUGAUGAGUGGUGAUUCUGUUUGUUGAUGUGAAAUAUAUUUGUUAUACUAAUCCUGCAGGGAAUGCCUUAAUAUCCUGAGUCGACCGUAGAUCGAGUCUUGUUCCAGUAACCCCCAUACUUGUUUCGUACUACCACUUGUCCCUGCCAUAGGUAGGGUACAGUUCAGUAAGUUGCCAACCCCUUCCUAGCACACACCGUACAGAGAGGCCAUGGUGGAAGAUACCAGCUGCAUCCGGUAGACAUGCCACCUGGUCCGGGGGCAUGGGUGUUUCCGGUUGGUGCCGAGGGGGUAGCUCUCCUAGUUUGCACGCGUUAUAAAUUUUGUGAUCCCAUGCUAGUCGAGGUUAUAGCCUCCCCACUUAGAGUUUCGCUCAACGGGUGUCGUGGGUGAUUCCAGACACCGGUAAGUUAGGCUGCUGUGUGCGGUCAGGUGUGUUUUCAAUUAAAAGACCGUAGACGGAAUUAGCCCCGAUGGACUAAAGGAAUCCGUUACUCGUGGGUAAAGAGUACACCCUCUGCAGAGGUUAUAUCUAAUCGAAUAGUCGUGUCCAUAGUUAAUGACUACAGUCUGGGAUGGGUCAAGUGUCGGUCUUCGGAGGAAAAAUUGCUAAACCACGACAUUUAUCAUGACUUGGGACAUAUGAUGAUUAUGAUUAUUAUUACUAUAGCCUAACCAUUGGUAUUAUUUGAAUUAUUGAGUAUCCCUGGGACGGUUCUACCUCCUGGAUAUUCACUGUGAUUAUUCUCUUAUAAGCCCUUUAUGUGGUGUCGCUCAGACGCCCGACUGUGGCAUGCUUGCUAUUUAAUUAUUUAUAAGCCCUUUAUGUGGUGUCGCUCAGACGCCCGACUGUGGCAUGCUUGCUAUUUAAAUUACUUAUAAGCUCUUUAUGUGGUGUCACUCAGACGCCCAACUGUGGCAUGCUUGCUAUUUAAUUAUUUAUAAGCCCUUUAUGUGGUGUCGCUCAGACGCCCGACUAUGGCAUGCUUGCUAUUUAAAUUACUUAUAAGCCCUUUAUGUGGUGUCGCUCAGACGCCUGACUGUGGCAUGCUUGUUAUUUAAAUUACUUAUAAACCCUGUAUGUGGUGUCGCAUAGACACCCGACUAUGGUAUUCUUGUUAUUUAUUUUAUUUGUAAGCCCUUUAUGUGGUGUCGCUCAGACGCCCGACUGAGGCAUGCUUUACAUUAUUAUCCUUUCGAGGCGUCGCUUCAGACACCCGAUCGGUGCAUCCUAAUUCUACUCUCUGAUUGCAUAUUCAUGUUUGACAUGAAUAACCUGCUUGCGUGCAUCAUGGAUUUUUACUUCGUAACUGACGUUGUGAUCAUGGAAUAUUUCAGAGCAUGACUUUCAUUUGUUAUAUUAUACCUGAGAUCAUAAUGUUUGCGAGUACAUUCAAAGUACUCACUGGCUUGUCCUUGGCUAUUGUCUUGGCCAGAUUUCUUGCAUGGAGAGGAGCGUUGCGAUGACAGCCCCAGAACCUACGCAAUGGUGAUAGCAGCCUCGCGAAGAUAGGAGUUAUCCAUGUCAGUUGUUCCUGUGGAAAAUGGAGUCCCAUAGACACUGAUGAACCACAAACCGCUUCCGCCAUCAGCCAUUAGAAACCUUGUGUUGUACUCAUAGGCCAGAAUGGUCUUGUACUACAUAUUUUGUAUUUUGCUUGGAAUUUCUGUAUCAAGUUGGUGCCUCAUCAGCUAACAGUAAUCCUGGGGCUGGUGGGCACAAGGACCAUUUUCUGGGAAAUAUAUCCUGAAAAUCCGGUCGCGACAACCUUGGUAUCAGAGCCAGGCUGACCAUUGGCUAAUCCUAUCUUGGCCAGGUCAAUAAACCUAUAUUAACCAAUCCACCAGACCUUAACCUAGCCCCAGCCAAGCUUCUCAUGUAAGAUAGCCACACAGUGACCCGGACACCUUUUGGCAGUCGGUGCCCAACCUAUCAGCCUAGCCUGUCGAUCAUGCGCCAGUGACCGACACCUAAAUAGUCUAUUUCACAAGCGUGCGAAGGAAGACUCCGUCCCAUUUUUCUAUAAAAAGGGCACGCUAGCCUCAACCCAGCACAUCAUAGCCUCUUCCCCAAACCGAGCUAUAAUGCCUGGCCCCAUUGUGCACAAUGAGACCACAGCAACCAACCUUAGAGGUUUUGUGACCGUGCUAGCAAACCUCACCCGCGUGCCGUUGCAUUAGAAGAGCCCCCAGAGUAUGUUGUGUACCAAGGGCCCAUGAGCGGUGAGAGUCGUCAAUUAUGGGCCACUGUGCACGUCUAUGGUAGGGGUCUAUCGCCAGAACACCCCUACAGGUUCACUGGAAGGACAACUUCCUUUGAGCCACAAGCUAUCCAACUAGCUGCUCGAGAGGCUAUAGUUCAACUCCGGCACUUGUCGCCCAGAGUUAACUAUCGCUCGUUCUACUACUACCCCAGCUGUGACGGGUAUGGUAGGCCACCCCAGGUUGCCAACGGAGAUCACGAAACAGAUCCUGCAUUGUUGCAUCUGGUGCACUAUGUAAGUGCACUAGAGGAACUGUUCGAUCAAAUCACCCUUGAUCUGAUCGCAGCUCAUGGAGAACUGGUUCGCCGAGCCCCAGCAAGAGGAGGGGAUGAGCCCGACACCGACAACCCAGUCGUGCUGUUCAGACAACCGAUCAAGUCCUUGAGGUCUGCCCCAGCCAUCGACCAAAAUGCUUUGGUGUCCCCAGAAGUGCUUCGUCGCCUUUUGGGAACAUGCUCCAACGGGAUUGUGGCCAACAACCCCCGUGAUGGUCAUCAUCGCUACCUCGACCCUACAACUCCUCAACUGCAUCCAGCUAACCCCGACAGUGAAACCCGUGGAGAAGCCUCGACGUCCACAAGGCACGCCCGCUUAGAUAUUAACGAGGUAGACUAAGUCACUCGAGUAGUACCGAGUCUUAGUAUGUCCACGCCCUGUAAUUGUGUGAUCUUGUAUCGCCAUAAUUAAAUGAUGUCUGCUUGUGCGCCCCUAUUUUAAAUAAUAGCCAUGCAUAAGUAUGUUGGUGUAAAGUUGCAUUUUUAAUUCCGGGCAUAGCUACCAAAAACCACCCCCGACGACACCCACAGUUAUACGUCACUUUUGUGAGAUAUGUGUAUCUGUGGCAUUGACCCCGACCCCAUAGAGCAGAACCAACAAACUAGUUGCCCCUCACCGCGAUAAAUGACCCAGCCCAGAUGCUAUAUAAAAGGCCACCUCGUGACCUUACCAGGUAUCCCUCACCUUAUGCACAAAUCUCACAGCCAUUUCUUUGCCAUGCCAAGCCCUAGUAUUUAUCUGAGAACUCCAGAUGCAACCCCAGGUAGUUUUGUUAAAAUAUAUUGGGACUUUACCUACGGUACCAUGAGUUCUACCCAUCCACCCCAGUACAAGUUGCUCAAAUCGAGGAUCACCCCAUCCACCUCGAAAUUUUGGGCAGUGGUGCACAUCCCUCCCGCAAACCCAAACCAAGACCCAAUGGAAGUCUCCUUCGUGGGGGAAUCUAUGUCGACUCCGCAAAUGGCCAUAGAAGCUGCUGCGUACGAAGCGCUUGCUCGCCUUCGAUUCACGGUACUGAUGUCUACUACACAACCUUCUUCUUGUAGACGUUGUUGGGCCUCCAAGUGCAGAGGUUUGUAGGACAGUAGAAAAUUUCCCUCAAGUGGAUGAACUAAGGUUUAUCAAUGCGUAGGAGGCGUAGGAUGAAGAUGGUCUCUCUCAAGCAACCCUACAACCAAAUAACAAAGAGUCUCUUGUGUCCCCAACACACCCAAUACAGUGGUAAAUUGUAUAGGUGCACUAGUUCGGCGAAGAGAUGGUGAUACAAGUGGUAUAUGGAUAGUAGAUAAAGGUAUUUGUAAUCUGAAAUUAUAAAAACAACAAGGUAACUAAUGAUAAAAAGUGAGCGUAAACGGUAUUGCAAUGUGUGGAAAUAAGGCCUAGGGUUCCUACUUUCGCUAGUGCAAGUUCCCUCAACAAUAAUAACAUAACUAGAUCACAUAACUAUCCCUUAACAUGCAACAAAGAGUCACUCCAAAGUCACUAAUAGCGGAGAACGAACGAAGAGAUUAUGGUAGGGUACGAAACCACCUCAAAGUUAUUCUUUCCAAUCAAUCUGUUGGGCUAUUCCUAUAAGUGUCACAAACAGCCCUAGAGUUCAUACUAGAAUAACACCUUAAGACACAAAUCAACCAAAACCCUAAUGUCACCUAGAUACUCCAAUGUCACCUCAAGUAUCCGUGGGUAUGAUUAUACGAUAUGCAUCACACAAUCUCAGAUUCAUCUAUUCAACCAACUCAAAGGACCUCAAAGAGUGCCCCAAAGUUUCUACCGGAGAAUCACGACGAAAACGUGUGCCAACCCCUAUGCAUAGGUUCAUGGGUGGAACUUGCAAGUUGAUCACCAAAACAUACAUCAAGUGGAUCAAUAGAAUACCCCAUUGUCACCACGGGUAUCCCACGCAAGACAUACAUCAAGUGUUCUCAAAUCUUUAAAGACUCAAUCCGAUAAGAUUACUUCAAAGGGGAAACUCAAUUCAUUACAAGAGAGAAGAGGGGGAGGAGAAACAUAGGAUCCAACUAUAAUAGCAAAGCUCGCGAUACAUCAAGAUCGUGCCAAAUCAAGAACACGAGAAAGAGAGACCAAACACAUAGCUACUGGUACAUACCCUCAGCCCCGAGGGUGAACUACUCCCUCCUCGUCAUGGAGAGCACCGGGAUGAUGAAGAUGGCCACCAGAGAAGGAUUGCCCCCUCCGGCAGGGUGCCGGAACGGGUCUAGAUUGGUUUUCGGUGGCUAUGGAGGCUUCUAGCGGCGGAACUCCUGAUCUAUUGCGCUCCCGGAUGUUUUCAGGGUAUAUGGAGAUAUAUAGGCGGAAGAAGUACGUCAGGGGGGCCACGAGGGGCUCACGAGGGUGGAGGGUGUGCCCAGGGGGGUAGGCGCGCCCCCUGCCUCGUGGCCUUCUUGUAGGUUCCCCGACAUGCACUCCAAGUCUUCUGGGCUUCUUUUCUUCCCAAAAUGAGUUCCGUGAAGUUUCAGGUCAAUUGGACUCCGUUUGAUUUUCCUUUUCUUCGAAACCCUAAAAUAGGGUAAAAACAAAAACUGGCACAGGGCUCUGGGUUAAUAGGUUAGUCCCAAAAAUGAUAUAAAAGUGUAUAAUAAAUCCCAUAAACAUUCAAAAUAGUAGAUAAUAUAGCAUGGAGCAAUCAAAAAUUAUAGAUACGUUGGAGACGUAUCAGCAUCCCCAAGCUUAAUUCCUGCUCGUCCUCGAGUAGGUAAAUGAUGAAUACAUAAUUUUUGAUGCGGAGUGCUACUUGGCAUAAUUUCAAUGUAAUUCUUCUUAAUUGUGGUAUGAAUAUUCAGAUGCGAAAGAUUCAAGACAAAAGUUCAUAUUGACAUAAAAAUGAUAAUACUUCAAGCAUACUAACAAAGUAAUCAUUUCUUCUCAAAAUAACAUGGCCAAAGAAAGCUAUCCCUACAAAAUCAUAUAGUCUGGCUAUGCUCCAUCUUCACCACACAAAAUAUUUAAAUCAUGCACAACCCCGAUGACAAGCCAAGCAAUUGUUUCAUACUUUUAAUGUUCUCAAACCUUUUCAAUCUUCAUGCAAUAAAUGAGCGUGAGCCAUGGACAUAGCACUAUAGGUGGAAUAGAAGGGUGGUUGUGGAGAAGACAAAAAGGAGAAGAUAGUCUCACAUCAACUAGGCGUAUCAACAGGCUAUGGAGAUGCCCAUCAAUAGAUAUCAAUGUGAGUGAGUAGGGAUUGCCAUGCAACGGAUGCACUAGAUCUAUAAGUGUAUGAAAGCUCAAAAAGAAACUAAGUGGGUGUGCAUCCAACUUGCUUGCUCAUGAAGACCUAGGGCAUUUUGAGUAAGCCCAUCAUUGGAAUAUACAAGCCAAGUUCUAUAAUGAAAGAUUCCCUCUAGUAUAUGAAAGUGACAACAUAGGAGACUCUCUAUCAUGAAGAUCAUGGUGCUACUUUGAAGCACAAGUGUGGUAAAAGGAUAGUAGCAUUGCCCCUUCUCUCUUUUUCUCUCAUUUUUUAUUUUUUAUUUGGGCCUUCUCUUCUUUUUUUUGGCCUCUUUUCUCUCUUUUUUUAUUUGGGCUUCUUUCGCCUCUUGUAUUUAUUUUCGUCCGGAGUCUCAUCCCGACUUGUGGGGGAGUCAUAGUCUCCAUCAUCCUUUCCUCACUGGGACAAUGCUCUAAUAAUGAUGAUCAUCACACUUUUAUUUACUUACAACUCAAGAAUUACAACUCGAUACUUAGAACAAGAUAUGACUCUAUAUGAAUGCCUCCGGCGGUGUACCGGGAUAUGCAAUGACUCAUGAGUGACAAGUAUGAAAGAAUUAUGAACAGUGGCUUUGCCACAAAUACUAUGUCAACUACAUGAUCAUGCUAAGCAAUGUGACAAUCAUGGAGUCUGUCGUAAUAAACGGAACAGUGGAAAGUUGCAUGGCAAUAUAUCUCGGAAUGGCUAUGGAAAUUCCAUAAUAGGUAGGUAUGUUGGCUGUUUUGAGGAAGGUAUAUGGUGGGUUUAUGGUACCGGUGAAAGUUGCGCGGUACUAGAGAGGCUAGCAAUGGUGGAAGGGUGAGAGUGCGGAUAAUCCAUGGACUCAACAUUAGUCAUAAAGAACUCACAUACUUAUUGCAAAAAUCUAUUAGUUAUCGAAACAAAGUACUAUGCGCAUGCUCCUAGGGGGAUAGAUUGGUAGGAAAAGACCAUCGCUCGUCCCCGACCGCCACUCAUAAGGAAGGCAAUCAAUAUAUAUAUCAUGCUCCGAUUUCAUCACAUAACGGUUCACCAUACGUGCAUGCUACGGGAAUCACAAACUUCAACACAAGUAUUUCUCAGAUUCACAACUACUCAACUAGCAUGACUCUAAUAUCACCAUCUCCAUAUCUCAAAACAAUCAUCAAGCAUCAAACUUCUCUUAGUAUUCAACACACUCAUAAGAGAAUUUUAUUAUUCUUGAAUACCUAGCAUAAUAGGAUUUUAAGCAAAUUACCAUGCCAUUUAAGACUCUCAAAAUAAUCUAACUGAAGCAUGAGAGUUCAUCUAUUUCUUCAAAAUAAAACUACCACCAUUCUCUAAAAGAUAUAAGUGAAGCACUAGAGCAUCGACAAACUACUCCGAAAGAUAUAAGUGAAGAUCAAUGAGUAGUUGAAUAAUUAUGCAACUAUGUGAAGAUUCUCUAACAUUUAAUAAUUUCAGAUCUUGGUAUUUUAUUCAAACAGAAAGCAAAUCAAAAUAAAAUUACAUUCUAAGAAUGUCAAACAUCAUGUGAAGAAGCAAAAACUUAGGAUCAACCGAAACUAACCGAUAGUUGUUAAAGAAGAAAGGUGGGAUGCCAACCGGGGCAUCCCCAAGCUUAGAUGCUUGAGACUUCUUGAAAUAUUAUCUUGGGAUGCCUUGGGCAUCCCCAAGCUUGAGCUUUUGUGUCUCCUUAAUUCCUCUCAUAUCACGGUCUCCCUAAAUCUCAAAAGCUUCAUCCACACAAAACUCUACAAGGACUCGUGAGAUAAGUUAGUAUAAACCAUUGCCAAAAACCUUAUCAUACUCUACUGUAUCAAAUCACUAAAAUUAUUAUUCAACAUUGCAUACUAAAUGCCUCUGCAUAUUUAAUAGUCCUAUCCUCAAAUAGAAUCAUUAAAGAAACAAACUUAUGCAAACAAUGCAAGCAUAACAAUAAUCUGCCUAAACAGGACAGUCUGUAAAGAAUGUAGAUAGAUCCAUACUUCCCUAACUCCAAAAAUUAUGAAAGAAAAUUCCCACUGUAGUAAAUUUAUCAGAUCUUAAUAUGCCAAAGGUUUCAACAUUUUAUCACAUUCUGACUUUUCUAGGGAAUUAUUGCAACAGCGGUAAACUUUCUGUUUUCAAACAGCAACAUGUGGACUUGUAACAUAGGCAUAGUAAGGGAUAUCAAUGCCACUUUUAUUGAAAUAAAAGAUGCAAACCAUUUUUAUAAAUAAUAGCAAGCAAAUUCUAACAAAAUAAAUUGACGCUCCAACCAAAACACAUAUCAUGUGGCGAAUAAAAAUAUAGCUCCAAGUAAAGUUACCGAUGAAUGACGACGAAAGAGGGGAUGCCUUUCGGGGCAUCCCCAAGCUUAGGCUCUUGGUUGUCCUUGAAUAUUACCUUGGGGUGCCUUAGGCAUCCUCAAGAUUAGGCUCUUGCCACUCCUUGUUCCAUAAUCCAUCGAAUCUUUACCCAAAACUUGAAAACUUCACAACACAAAACUUAAAGUAGAAAACUCGUGAGCUCCUUUAGUAUAAGAAAAUAAAUCACCACUUAAAGGUACUGUAACAAACUCAUUCUUUAUUUAUAUUGGUGUUAAACCUACUUUAUUCCAACUUCUCUAUGGUUUAUAAACUAUUUUACUAGACAUAGAUUCAUCAAAAUAAGUAAACAACACAUGAAAAACAGAAUCUGUCAAAAACAGAACAGUCUGUAGUAAUCUGGAUCAAACGCAUACUUCUGGAACUCAUAAAAUUAUCAAAUAAAUUUAUGGACCUGAGUAAUUUAUCUAUUAAUCAUCUGCAAAAAUAAUUAACUAAACAAAACUCUCCAAAUAAAAAUGGCAGCAAUUUUCGUGAGCGCUAAAGUUUCUGUUUUUUUACAGCAUGAUCAACAAGACUUUCCCCAAGUCUUCCCAAAGGUUCUACUUGGCACAAACACUAAUUAAAAGCAUAAAACCACAUCUAAACAGAUGCUAGAUGAAUUAUUUAUUACUAAACAGGAACAAAAAUCAAGGAAAUAAAAUAAAAAUAAAUUUGGGUUGCCUCCCAACAAGCGCUAUCGUUUAACGCCCCUAGCUAGGCAUGAUGAUUUCGAUGAUGCUCACAUAAGAGAUAAGAAUUGUAACAUAAAGAGAGCGUCAUUAAGAAUAUGACAAACACAUUUAAGUCUAACCCACUUCCUAUGCAUAGGGAUUUUGUGAUCAAACAACUUAUGGGAACAAUAAUCAACUAGCACAGGAAGGCAAAACAAGCAUGACUUUAAAACUUUAAGCACAUAGAGAGGAAACUUGAUAUUAUUGCAAUUCCUACAAGCUUAUGUUCCUCCCUCAUAAUAAUUUUCAGUAGCAUCAUGAAUGAAUUCAACAAUAUAACCAGCACAUAAAGCAUUCUUUUCAUGAUCUAUAAGCAUAGAAAAUUUACUACUCUUCACAUAAGCAAAUUUCUUCUCAUGAAUAAUAGUGGGAGCAAACUCAACAAAAUAACUAUCAUGUGAUUGAAAAUUAAGAUCAAGAUGACAAGUUUCAUGGUUAUCAUUGUUCUUUAAAGCAGACGUGUCAUCACAAUAAUCAUCAUAGAUAGGAGGCAUGCUUUCAUCAUAAUAAAUUUGCUCAUCAAAACUUGGGGGACAAAAAAUAUCAUCUUAUCAAACAUAGCUUCCCCAAGCUUGUGGCUUUGCAUAUCAUUAGCAUCAUGGAUAUUCAAGGAAUUCAUACUAACAACAUUGCAAUCAUGCUCAUCAUUCAAAUAUUUUGUGCCAAACAUUUUAAUGCAUUCUUCUUCUAGCACUUGAGCACAAUUAUCGGAAUCCUUUUUUUAUGAUAGAUAUUAAAAAGAUGAAGCAUAUGAGGUAACCUUAAUUCCAUUUUUUUGUAAUUUUCUUUUAUAAACUAAACUAGUGAUAAAACAAUAGACUAAAAUACUCGAUUGCAAGAUCUAAAGAUAUACCUUCAAGCACUCACCUCCCCGACAACGGCGCCAGAAAAGAGCUUGAUGUCUACUACACAACCUUCUUCUUGUAGACGUUGUUGGGCCUCCAAGUGCAGAGGUUUGUAGGACAGUAGCAAAUUUCCCUCAAGUGGAUGACCUAAGGUUUAUCAAUCCGUAGGAGGCGUAGGAUGAAGAUGGUCUCUCUCAAGCAACCUUGCAACCAAAUAACAAAGAGUCUCUUGUGUCCCCAACACACUCAAUACAAUGGUAAAUUGUAUGGGUGCACUAGUUCGGCGAAGAGAUGGUGAUACAAGUGGUAUAUGGAUAGUAGAUGAAGGUAUUUGUAAUCUGAAAUUAUAAAAACAGCAAGGUAACUAAUGAUAAAAGUGAGCGUAAAUGGUAUUGCAAUGUGUGGAAAUAAGGCCUAGGGUUCAUACUUUCGCUAGUGCAAGUUCCCUCAACAAUAAUAACAUAAUUGGAUCACAUAACUAUCCCUCAACAUGCAACAAAGAGUCACUCCAAAGUCACUAAUAGCGGAGAACGAACGAAGAGAUUAUGGUAGGGUACGAAACCACCUCAAAGUUAUUCUUUCCAAUCAAUCCGUUGGGCUAUUCCUAUAAGUGUCACAAACAGCCCUAGAGUUCGUACUAGAAUAACACCUUAAGACACAAAUCAACCAAAACCCUAAUGUCACCUAGAUACUCCAAUGUCACCUCAAGUAUCCAUGGGUAUGAUUAUACGAUAUGCAUCACACAAUCUCAGAUUCGUCUAUUCAACCAACACAAAGGACCUCAAAGAGUGCCCCAAAGUUUCUACCGGAGAAUCACGACGAAAACGUGUGCCAACCCCUAUGCAUAGGUUCAUGGGAGGAACCCGCAAGUUGAUCACCAAAACAUACAUCAAGUGGAUCAAUAGAAUACCCCAUUGUCACCACGGGUAUCCCACACAAGACAUACAUCAAGUGUUCUCAAAUCUUCAAAGACUCAAUCCGAUAAGAUUACUUCAAAGGGGAAACUCAACUCAUUACAAGAGAGAAGAGGGGGAGGAGAAACAUAGGAUCCAACUAUAAUAGCAAAGCUCGCGGUACAUCAAGAUCGUGCGAAAUCAAGAACACGAGAAACAGAGAUCAAACACAUAGCUACUGGUACAUACCCUCAGCCCCGAGGGUGAACUACUCCCUCCUCGUCAUGGAGAGCACCAGAAUGAUGAAGAUGGCCACCGGAGAAGGAUUGCCCCCUCCGGCAGGGUGCCGGAAUGGGUCUAGAUUGGUUUUCGGUGGCUACGGAGGCUUUCGGCGGCGGAACUCCCGAUCUAUUGCGCUCCUGGAUGUUUUUAGGGUAUAUGGAGAUACAUAGGCGGAAGAAGUACGUCAGGGGGGCCACGAGGGGCUCAUGAGGGUGGAGGGUGCGCCCAGGGGGGUAGGCGCGCCCCCCUGCCUCGUGACCUCCUCGUAGGUUCCCUGACGUGCACUCCAAGUCUUAUGGGCUUCUUUCCUUCCAAAAAAUGAGUUCCGUGAAGUUUUAGGUCAAUUGGACUCCGUUUGAUUUUCCUUUUCUUCGAAACCCUAAAUAGGGUAAAAACAGAAAUUGGCACUGGGCUCUAGGUUAAUAGGUUAGUCCCAAAAAUGAUAUAAAAGUGUAUAAUAAAGCCCAUAAACAUUGAAAACAGUAGAUAAUAUAGCAUGGAGCAAUCAAAAAUUAUAGAUACAUUGGAGACGUAUCAGUACCCUAUGCCAGCGAACGAGGGUAUUAUUACUUCCCGAGUCGUGCAGCACCCGGAGAAGUAGCAUCUUUUCCCAGUGGACGAAUUGAGAGAGACCCAGUACUGGCCAACCUUGCCCAGUAUGUCAUCGCUCAAGAGCGUUUGACCCAACGAGUAAUGGGUUAUCUCCAGAGCCUCGCUGAUUUAAAUCCUCAUAUCGCCAUCGGCAGACCACUGAGGCCCGACCAAGAGAGAUGCGUUCUUCGACUAGUCAACCCGCUUCCCCCGAUAGAAGAGGAGUGUGCCCCAGUACCAGAGAUGUUUUCAUAGGACCCUGUCUAUUUGCCGUUUUCAUUGUAGACGUCACUGCCAUGUUUAUUGUCCCAGCAUCUAGUUAUGUGUUGCAACUUAUGCGUGGUAUCCUAAAAUUUGUGCGAUGAAUUAAAUAUUUGGUUUCAAUUAAUGUGAGUAGUUUUUACUGCUGUUAAUUUUGAUUAACUAAUAUCACUCUCGGUAAAUUCUGAAGUGAGAUUUUUCCCUGAGUUGUUGCAGCAUAUAUCUCUUCACGACAUAGAUUUUUAUUCACGCAGCACCACGACAGCAGACUCACAACCACAACCACUCGACCACGUGCACAUUUUGCACCUAACUGAUCACCUCCCUAGCACAUCACAGUCUCUGAAGGAGAGAUUUGUGGGUAAUUAUUCGGGUGCAAGUUGUCUCCAACACACUGACAACAGUUAGCACCCGACACCGCACUUAAUCCUCAUGAUCAUCGCCUCCGUGAAGAGCUAACACUCGAGCGGCAGCAUCACAGCGAUCAUCGAGGAUCAUCACGCACAAGAGCACGGAGAACCCCAGCAAUGCCGCCAACCCUCUGCACAUCAGGAUCAUGUACCAGUCCGGCAUCACCUCCGCCAUUAGAGCGUCGUCUCGAGCUCCUGCAAACAGAAAUGAAGGAGAAGGAAGGAGAAGGAGAAGCGAGGCUAGGUGUGAGGAAGAAGAAAGGAGCACCUCGGUCAUUUUAUAGCUUGAGAUCGGUGUACGGUGGGCGAAGUCCACCAGCGCUGCUCGUUGAUCGAUCGCCGGUGUUCGGAGGCGAAUCCACGAGCAGUGCCGGCAGCACACUGGCCCGCGAGGUGAGUGCACGCUGCACCGGCAGCUAGCGCGCCGCGCACUACCGCAGUACGGCCUAGAUGCUCUACGCGCUAGAUGUCACCGGUGGAGAAAGCGCGGGAAAGCACGUGAGAGAGAGGAAGAAAAGAGAGCCAGAGGUAGAAGAAGAGACUGUCAGUGGGCCCCGGGUCCACUUGUCAGCCAAAGAGAGCACUGUGCUCUUGGGUACGACCAGCGUGUUUUAGAAAUUUUGAAAUUUUAUUGUAAGUUCACUGUAACCAAAAGUAGGAAUUUCUCGUUUUUCCCCAACCAUAGAUUUUUCCACGCAGCGCCAGUAUUCCACACUGUAGUUUUACACCACUUAAAUUGCCCACUCACUGUAGCCACAUUUUAUUGCAUGAGUAGGAUGGUUAUUUUUGUGAUAUUACUUUGAGAUAGUAGGAGUAAUUCUUUUCAAGCAACCCUUAGCAAAUCUCGAGGACGAGAUUUUUUCUUAAGGGGGGUAGUGUUGUAACACCCCAAAUUUUUGACCCUAAUUUAUUAAUUAAAAUUUUGCCAGGAAAUUAUUUUUUUAUUUUCUGGUUUUAUCUUUUAAUUUCAGAUCACUCUAUCCCUCUGAAUUUUUGAGUUUUUUUCCUUCUAGGUGGAAACUUUCAAAAAUAUUGUUGGACUUGUAUGUCUUCCCAAGACCAUUUCUUUUUAUCAGUGGAAUUAUUUCUACAAUUAUUUUUCCUGAGCUUUAUUUCUUUAAAAAAAUGAUUUUCCCAUAAGUUUUAGAGUUCCAUUUGCACUACAACCUAUUGAAAUAUUUCUUUAAAAAUUCCACCAAAAUUGGGGGAUGUUAGUAGUAGUGUAUAAUUCAACUUUAUGCAAAAACCCAUUGGUGUUCUUUGAAAAAUUUGAGCAAAUCAUCCUCAUCUUCAUUCUGGUCCAGUUUGGUGUUUUGUACUGCAACCAUGUUUUAUCUUGCCAUAUUACCCUUGAUUUUUCUCCUGCUUAUAGACCAGCCUACCAAACCCUUAAGUCUAGGAGAUUGGACCCAUUGGAGUAUUUUUGGUCCAUGCAAUAAUGCCCUUCACUUUCUGUCCAGAACUAAAGAUUUGCAAAACUUGCACUAACAAGUUUCUGGUUUUGCCCAAAUAGCCUUGCCAUGAUCACUUGCACCUAAAGAGAUCCCAACCUGGAGAUUUAGGCCACCAGAAGAGAUUCCUAGAAGCCCAUGGCAUUCUGUCGAGCACCUUGUGGGCAUGGCCAGUUUUGGCUUAGUUUUUAGUUUGCGUUGUGAACAUGAUCCCCUGACCUAACAACCAUGUCCGCUAAUCUCCUACCACCUCUAACCUAGACCUGUUAAUUGCCAGCCUCACCCAAGCCCUCUAGGCCACCCUGGCUUUCUGUCGAGCAUGUAGCGUGCGUGCUCUGGGCGCGCCCAGACCGCACGUUUUGCACACGCGCGCAACCGAGCCGCCGCGUCUUGCCCCUGGCCUUUGCUCGCCUGCAGGGCCGCGCCCCGUUCUUGUCCGCUCGCCAGAACCCUGCAAGCUGCCCCUGGCGCCCUACAUGGCCGUCGUCAGAGCCCUCUUUGCGGCAUGCCCGCGUCCGCAACACGCCCCUGCCAUGGCAGCGCCGCCCAAGCCUCAGCCGCCCGUCAGCUGCCCUCUGGAACAGCUCGAGCUCAUCCACGAGCCCGUCCGCUACCGCCCGUCGCCGCCACGUCGCCCUGCCAGCAAUAGAACGGCGGUUCCCCGGUGUUCUUAUCUGCAGCCGCGGAACCGACCUCGUCCACCUAUAAAAGGAGCCCCCGAGCUCAUCCAGACCCUCAGGCGACCUCAAGCCAUCUCCCUAGUGCUCCCAUAGCCAGCAAUCGACGGAGGGAGGCCGUCUGCCUCGUCUCCGGCCAGUUCGGCCGCCGCCACGCUCUGGUGCCGUACAUCGUGAGCAGGGCCUCCCCAGUUCUUCCAGCACCACCGUCCGACUACCCUCAACCGUGCGGAGCCACCCCACCUCUCUAGCCCGAUCGGGAGCCACCAUAGCUCGAGACCCCGAUCCACCCGAAACCACCGUCCACCGCGGAGCUCGCUGCCGCAGAGCUCGCCGUCGGCGACCCCCUCCACCCCCGCUAGCCAAUCGACCACUGGGAGGACCGCCCUGGACCGUGGAUCCAUCCCCGCCCUCAGAAUCCCGCGGGGAGCCGCCGUUCGUCGGCGGCAAUCGCCGGAGCCCCGCCACCGCUCGGCCAGAGAAGGAAGGAGGGCCCGGGCGACUGGUCAAACCUGACCAGUGGACCCAACGGCCCACCUGCCAGUGACCCCAGCUCUGUCGAUGUGUUUUAAGUGGAAACAUAAAACACAGGAGUAUGUCUUCUCUGUCUUGAAAGCGUAUUCUUAUUCGAACCGUUUUUCUUUUUCUGUUUAAUUUAAAAACAGAUUUUGACUGAAACUUUGACUAGCUAUAACUUUUUAAAUAUAACUCCGUUUGACCUGAUUCUUUUUUUGUUGUUUCCCAAAUUUCAUCUAGAUUAUUUCCAUAUUUAUGUGAAAAUUUUCAAAACAACUUUUUGUACUGUUUUGAAACUAUGUGUUAAUUUAAAUUUUCUUAAAAUGGGAUUUUGAAGAAGGAAGCAACUUUCAAAAAGUGCACCCCCACUUGCAUACUCUUGAAGGCAAGCAUUCUGAACCCCGACAUAAUAUUUUUUGUGUGUCGUUCGAUGCUAAUACGACACCACCUUGACAUGAAGGGUUCGGUAUUUUAUGUGGUGUUAUGAUCAUAUUCAUGAGUGCAUAAUGAUGAUUCCUUGCUGUUGGAAUUUGAUAUGCUUCUGAUACUAAUCACCCUUCAUAUGCCUUUCAUGCCUAUCGGGAGGAAUCCAGGAAAGUCUCUAUCUUGGGUAGACAUGAACUUGUCUCUAAUAAUUCGUCGAGACGAUUAUGUCCGGUAAGGCAUGGUGAGGUAUGAUGAGUGGUGAUUUUGUUUGUUGGUGUGAAAUAUAUUUAUUAUACUAAUCCUGCAGGGAAUGCCUUAAUCUCCUGAGUCGACCGUAGAUCGAAUCUUGUUCCAGUAACCCCCAUACUUGUUUCGCACUACCACUUGUCCCUGCCAUAGGUAGGGUACGAUUCAGUAAGUUGUCAACCCCUUCCUAGCACACACCGUCCAAAGAGGCCAUGGUGGAAGAUGCCGGCUGCAUCCGGUAGACAUGCCACCUGGUCCGGGGGCAUGGGUGUUUGCGGUUGGAGCCGAGGGGGUAGCUCCCCUAGUUUGCGCGCGUUAUAAAUUUUGUGAUCCCAUGCUAGUCGAGGUUGUAGCCUCCCCACUUAGAGUUUCGCUUAACGGGUGUCAUGGGUGAUUCCAGACACCGGUAAGUUAGGCUGGUGUGUGCGGUCAGGUGUGUUUUCAAUUAAAAGACCGUAGACGGAAUUAGCCUCGAUGGACUAAAGGAAUCCAUUACUCGUGGGUAAAGAGUACACCCUUUGCAGAGGUUAUAUCUAAUCGAAUAGCCGUGUCCGUAGUUAAGGACUACAGUCUGGGAUGGGUCAAGUGUUGGUCUUCGGAGGAAAAAUUGCUAAACCAAAACAUUGAUCAUGACUUGGGACAUAUGAUGAUUAUGAUUAUUAUUACUAUAGCCUAACCAUUGGUAUUAUUUGAAUUAUUGAGUACCCCUGGGACGUUCUACCUCCUGGAUAUUCACUGUGAUUAUUCUCUUAUAAGCCCUUUAUGUGGUGUCGCUCAGACGCCCAACUGUGGCAUGCUUGCUAUUUAAUUAUUUAUAAGCCCUUUAUGUGGUGUCGCUCAGACGCCUGUCUGUGUCAUGCUUGCUAUUUAAAUUACUUUUAAGCCCUUUAUGUGGUGUCGCUCAGAUGCCCGACUGUGGCAUGCUUGCUAUUUAAUUAUUUAUAAGCCCUUUAUGUGGUGUCGCUCAGACGCCUGACUGUGGCAUGCUUGUUAUUUAAAUUACUUAUAAGCCCUUUAUGUGGUGUCGCACAGACGCCCGACUGUGGCAUGCUUGUUAUUUAUUUUAUUUGUAAGCCCUUUAUGUGGUGUGAUACGUCUCCAAUGUAUGUAUAAUUUUUGAUUGCUCCAUGCUAUAUUAUCUACUGUUUUGGACUAUAUUGGGCUUUAUUUUCCACUUUUAUAUUAUUUUUGGGACUAACCUAUUAACUGGAGGCCCAGCCCAGAAUUGUUGUUUUUUUGCCUAUUUCAGUGUUUCGGAUAAACAGAAUAUCAAACGGAGUCCAAACGGAAUAAAAUCUUCGGAAACGUGAUUUUCUCACCGAACGUGAUCCAGGAGACUUGGACCCUACUGCAAGGGAUCAAAGAGGUGGUCACGAUGGUGGGGGCGCCCCCCUAGGGCGCACCCCCUGCCUCGUGGGCCCCUCGGUGCUCCACCGACGUACUCCUUUCUCCUAUAUAUACACACGUACCCCCAAACGAUUAGAACAGGAGCCAAAACCCGAAUUCCACCAUUGCAACUUUCUGUAUCCAUGAGAUCCCAUCUUGGGGCCUGUUCCGGAGCUCCGCCGGAAGAGGGCCGUCAUCACGGAGGGCUUCUACAUCAUCCUAGCCCCUCCGAUGAAGUGUGAGUAGUUUACCUCAGACCUUCGGGUCCAUAGUUAGUAGCUAGAUGGCUUCUUCUCUCUCUUUGAAUCUCAAUACAAAGUUCUCCCCCUCUCUCGUGGAGAUAUAUUCGAUGUAAUCUUCUUUUUGCGGUGUGUUUGUUGAGACUGAUGAAUUGUGGGUUUAUGAUCAAGUCUAUCUAUGAAUAAUAUUUGAAUCUUCUCUGAAUUCUUUUAUGCAUGAUUGGUUAUCUUUGCAAGUCUCUUUGAAUUAUCCGUUUGGUUUGGCCAACUAGAUUGGUAGUUCUUGCCAUGGGAGAAAUGCUUAGCUUUGGGUUCGAUCUUGCGGUGUCCUUACCCAGUGACAGAAGGGGCAGCAAGGCAUGUAUUGUAUCGUUGCCAUCGAGGAUAACAAGAUGGGGUUUAUUUCAUAUUGCAUGAAUUUAUCUCUCUACAUCAUGUAAUCUUUCUUAAGGCGUUACUCUGUUUUUAACUUAAUACUCUAGAUGCAUGCUGGAUAGCGGUCGAUGAGUGGAGUUAUAGUAGUAGAUGCAGAAUCGUUUCGAUCUACUUGUCACGGACGUGAUGCCUAUAUACAUGAUCAUGCCUAGAUAUUCUCAUAAUUAUGCACAAUUCUAUCAAUUGCUCAACAGUAAUUUGUUCACCCACCGUAGAAUACUUAUGCUCUUGAGAGAAGCCACUAGUGAAACCUCUGGCCCCCGUGUCUAUUCUCAUCAUAUCAAUCUCCAUCACUUUUAUAUUACUUUUCUAUUUACUUUGCUUUUACUUUUUACUUUGCAUCUUUAUAUCAAAAAUACCAAACAUAUUCUAUCUAUGAGAUCUCACUCUCAUAAGUGACCGUGAAGGGCUUGACAACCCCUUAUCGCGUUGGUUGUGAGUAGCUAUCGCUUUGUGCAGGUACGAGGGACUUGAGCAUGGGCUCCUACUGGAUUGAUACCUUGGUUCUCAAAAACUGAGGGAAAUACUUACGCUACUCUGUUGCAUCAUCCCUUCCUCUUCGGGGAAAACCAACGCAAGCUCAAGAUGUAGCAAGAAGGAUUUUUGGCGCCGUUGCCGGGGAGUCUACGCAAAAAGUCAUAUACCAAGUACCCAUCACAAUCCCUAUCUCUUGCAUUACAUUAUUUGCCAUUUGCCUCUCGUUUUCCUCUCCCCCCAAUUCACCCUUGCCGUUUUAUUCGCCCUCUCUCUCCAUCCUCCCUCUCUAUUUGCCUCUUUUUGUCCGCUUGCUUUCUGUUUGUCCGUGUGUUAGAUUGCUUGUUUGUCGCGAUGGCUCAAGAUGCUACCAAAUUGUGUGACUUCACCAAUACCAAUAAUAAUGAUUUCCUUAGCACUCUGAUUGCUCCUCUUAGUGAUGCUGAAUCUUGUGAAAUUAAUACUGCUUUGUUGAAUCUUGUUAUGAAAGAUCAAUUCGUCGGCCUUCCUAGUGAAGAUGCCGCUACUCAUCUGAAUAGCUUCGUUGAUUUAUGUGAUAUGCAAAAGAAAAAAGAUGUCAAUAAUGAUGUCGUUAAAUUGAAUCUAUUUCCUUUUUCGCUUAGAGAUCGUGCUAAAGCUUGGUUUUCGUCUUUGCCUAAGAAUAGUAUUGAUUCAUGGAACAAAUGCAAAGAUGCUUUUAUCUCUAAGUAUUUUCCUCCCGCUAAGAUCAUCUCUCUUAGAAACGAUAUAAUGAACUUUAAACAACUUGAUCAUGAACAUGUUGCACAAGCUUGGGAGAGAAUGAAAUUAAUGAUACGUAAUUGCCCUACUCAUGGUUUAAAUUUGUGGAUGAUUAUACAAAAAAUUUAUGCUGGAUUGAAUUUUCCUUCUAGAAAUUUUUUAGAUUCGGCCACGGGAGGCACUUUUAUGGAAAUCACUUUAGGAGAUGCUACUAAACUCCUAGAUAAUAUUAUGGUUAAUUAUUCUCAAUGGCAUACUGAAAGAACUUCUAAUAAAAAGGUGCAUGCGAUAGAAGAAAUUAAUGUGUUGAGUGAAAAGAUGGAUGAACUUAUGAAAUUAUUGCUACUAAGAGUGUUUCUUCUGAUCCUAAUGAUAUGCCUUUGUCUACUUUGAUUGAGAAUAGCAAUGAAUCUAUGGAUGUGAAUUUUGUUGGUAGGAAUAAUUUUGGUAACAACGCUUAUAGAGGGAAUUUUAAUCCUAGGCCAUAUCCUAGUAAUCCUUCUAAUAAUUAUGGGAAUUCCUACAAUAACUCUUAUGGAAAUUAUAAUAAGAUGCCCUCUGAUUUUGAAUCUAAUAUUAAAGAAUUUAUUUCUUUGCAAAAGAAUUUUAAUGCUAUGAUUGAAGAAAAAUUGCUUAAGAUUGAUGAUUUGGCUAGGAACAUUGAUAGAAUUGCUCUUGAUGUUGAUGCUUUGAAACUUAGAUCUAUUCCACCUAAGCAUGAUAUUAAUGAGUCUCGAAAAGCCAUGAGAAUUUCAAUUGAUGAGUGUAAAGAAAGAACCGCUAGGAUGCGUGCCUCCAAAGAUGCCUUUAUUAAAGCGUGUUCUUCCAAUUCCUAUGAAACUCAAGAUGAAGAUCUAAAAGUUAUUGAUGUGUCUCCUAUUAAACCUUUAUUUUUCAAUAUGAAUCUUGAUGAAACUGAAUAUGAUCUUCCUUUACCUAGAAGGCGUUCUAAAAAUUCGGAGUGUUUAGAUCUUAAUGAUGAAAUUGAUGAAAGUGGGAUUGAAAGAAAUAAAAAUCUAGAUGUUGCUAAACCCACUAUAUUGGAUUUCAAGGAAUUUAAUUAUGAAAAUUGCUCUUUGAUUGAUUGUAUUUCCUUGUUGCAAUCCGUGCUAAAUUCUCCACAUGCUUAUAGUCGAAAUAAAGCCUUCACCGAACAUAUUGUUGAUGCCUUGAUGCAAUCUUAUGAAGAAAAACUUGAGUUGAAAGUUUCUAUCCCUAGAAAACUCUAUGAUGAGUGGGAACAAGCUAUUACAAUUAAAAUUAAAGAUUAUGACUUUUAUGCUUUGUGUGAUUUGGGUGCUAGUGUCUCUACUAUUCCCAAGACUUUGUGUGAUUUACUAGAUUUCCGUAAUUUUGAUGAUUGCUCUCUAAACUUGCAUCUUGCGGAUUCCACUAUUAGGAAACCUAUGGGAAGAAUUAAUGAUGUUCUUAUUUUCGCAAAUAGGAAUUAUGUGCCCGUAGAUUUCAUUGUUCAUGAUAUAGAUUGCAAUCCUUCUUGCCCUAUUAUUCUUGGUAGACCUUUCCUUAGAACGGUUGGUGCGAUUAUUGAUAUGAAGGAAGGGAAUAUUAGAUUUCAAUUUCCAUUAAAAAAGGGCAUGGAAAACUUUCCAAGAAAGAAAAUAAAAUUACCAUAUGAAACUAUCAUGAGAGCCACUUAUGGAUUGCCUACCAAAGAUGGCAAUACCUAGAUCUAUUCUUCCUCGUUAUGCCUGGCUAGGGGCGUUAAACGAUAGCGCUUGUUGGGAGGCAACCCAAUUUUAUUUUUAUUCCUUGCUUUUUGCUCCUGUUUAGUAAUAAAUAAAUUAUUUAGCCUCUGUUUUGGUUGUGUUUUUUGGGUUUAAUUAGUGUUUGUGCCUAGUAGAACCGUUGGGAAGACUUGGGGAAAGUCUUGUUGAACUUGCUGUAAAAAACAGAAACUUUAGCGCUCACGAGAACUGCUGCCAUUUUUAUUUGAACAGUGAUAUUGAAGGAAAUAUGCCCUAGAGGCAAUAAUAAAGUUAUUAUUUAUUUCCUUAUAAUCAUGAUAAAUGUUUAUUAUUCAUGCUAGAAUUGUAUUUACCGGAAACAUAAUACAUGUGUGAAUACAUAGACAAACAAAGUGUCACUAGUAUGCCUCUACUUGACUAGCUCGUUAAUCAAAGAUGGUUAUGUUUCCUAACCAUGAACAAUGAGUUGUUAUUUGAUUAACGAGGUCACAUCAUUAGUAGAAUGAUCUGAUUGACAUGACCCAUUCCAUUAGCUUAGCACCCGAUCGUUUAGUAUGUUGCUAUUGCUUUCUUCAUGACUUAUACAUGUUCCUAUGACUAUGAGAUUAUGCAACUCCCGUUUACCGGAGGAACACUUUGGGUACUACCAAACGUCACAACGUAACUGGGUGAUUAUAAAGGAGUACUACAGGUGUCUCCAAUGGUCGAUGUUGGUUUGGCGUAUUUCGAGAUUAGGAUUUGUCACUCCGAUUGUCGGAGAGGUAUCUCUGGGCCCUCUCGGUAAUACACAUCACAUAAGCCUUGCAAGCAUUACAACUAAUAUGUUAGUUGUGAGAUGAUGUAUUACGGAACGAGUAAAGAGACUUGCAGGUAACGAGAUUGAACUAGGUAUUGGAUACCAACGAUCGAAUCUCGGGCAAGUAACAUACCGAUGACAAAGGGAACAACGUAUGUUGUUAUGCGGUCUGACCGAUAAAGAUCUUCGUAGAAUAUGUAGGAGCCAAUAUGGGCAUCCAGGUCCCGCUAUUGGUUAUUGACCGGAGACGUGUCUCGGUCAUGUCUACAUUGUUCUCGAACCCGUAGGGUCCGCACGCUUAAGGUUAUGAUGACAGUUAUAUUAUGAGUUUACAUGUUUUGAUGUACCGAAGGAGUUCGGAGUCCCGGAUGAGAUUGGGGACAUGACGAGGAGUCUCGAAAUGGUCGAGACGUAAAGAUUCAUAUAUUGGAUGAUAUGGUUAGGCCAAGGGGUCAAGCCCAUGAGGCUUUAGAUCGGUGCAAAAGGAGUUUUGCGGAGUUCAGGGGGCCAAACGCCGGAGACCCUGGCGUCUGGCCCUGGGCCAGACGCCGAGGCCCAUGGCGUCUGGGCCAGACGCCAAGGAUUGUGGCGUUUGGUCCUGGAGUCCGAGUGGGACUCUUGCCUUUCGGGAAAAACCGACUUUGAGGAGGCUUUUGCUCCAAGUUUCGACCCCGGGGCUCAACAUAUAAAUAGAGGGGCAGGGCUAGCACCAAAGACACAACAAUUGAUCCCUUGGAUAUCUUAGCCGUGUGCGGUGCCCCCCUCCACCAUAGUCCACCUCAAUAAUAUCGUAGCGGUGCUUAGGCGAAGCCCUGCGACGGUAGAACAUCAAGAUCGUCACCACGCCGUCGUGCUGACGGAACUCUCCCUCGACACUCGGCUGGAUCGGAGUUCGAGGGACGUCAUCGAGCUGAACGUGUGCUAGAACUCGGAGGUGCCAUAGUUUCGGUGCUUGAUCGGUCGGGCCGUGAAGACGUACGACUACAUCAACCGCGUUGUGCUAACGCUUCCACUUACGGUCUACAAGGGUAUGUAGACAACACUCUCCCCUCUCGUUGCUAUGCAUCACAUGAUCUUGCGUGUGCGUAGGAAAUUUUUUGAAAUUACUACGAAACCCAACAGUGGCAUCCGAGCCAGGUUAUUUAUGUUGAUGUUAUAUGCACGAGUAGAACACAAGUGAGUUGUGGACGAUACAAGUCAUACUGCCUACCAGCAUGUCAUACUUUGGUUCGGCGGUAUUGUUGGACGAGACGACCCGGACCAACCUUACGCGUACGCUUACGCGAGACCGGUUCCCUCGACGUGCUUUGUACAGAGAUGGCUUGCGGGCGACUGUCUCUCCAACUUUAGUUGAACCAAGUAUGGCUACGCCCGGUCCUUGCGAAGGUUAAAACGGAGUCUAUUUGACAAACUAUCGUUGUGGUUUUGAUGCGUAGGUGAGAUUGGUUCUUACUUAAGCCCGUAGCAGCCACGUAAAACAUGCAACAACAAAGUAGAGGACGUCUAACUUGUUUUUGCAGGGCAUGUUGUGAUGUGAUAUGGUCAAAGCAUGAUGCUGAAUUUUAUUGUAUGAGAUGAUCAUGUUUUGUAACCGAGUUAUCGGCAACUGGCAGGAGCCAUAUGGUUGUUGCUUUAUUGUAUGCAAUGCAAUCGCGAUGUAAUGCUUUACUUUAUUACUAAACGGUAGUGAUAGUCGUGGAAGCAUAAGAUUGGCGAGACGACAACGAUGCUACGAUGGAGAUCAAGGUGUCGCGCCGGUGACGAUGGUGAUCAUGACGGUGCUUCGGAGAUGGAGAUCACAAGCACAAGAUGAUGAUGGCCAUAUCAUAUCACUUAUAUUGAUUGCAUGUGAUGUUUAUCUUUUUAUGCAUCUUAUCUUGCUUUGAUUGACGGUAGCAUUAUAAGAUGAUCUCUCACUAAAUUAUCAAGAAGUGUUCUCCCUGAGUAUGCACCGUUGCAAAAGUUCUUCGUGCUGAGACACCACGUGAUGAUCGGGUGUGAUAGGCUCUACGUUCAAAUACAACGGGUGCAAAACAGUUGCGCACGCAGAAUACUCAGGUUAAACUUGACGAGCCUAGCAUAUACAGAUAUGGCCUCGGAACACGGAGACCGAAAGGUCGAGCGUGAAUCAUAUAGUAGAUAUGAUCAACAUAAUGAUGUUCACCGAUGAAACUACUCCAUCUCACGUGAUGAUCGGACAUGGUUUAGUUGAUUUGGAUCACGUGAUCACUUAGAGGAUUAGAGGGAUGUCUAUCUAAGUGGGAGUUCUUUAGUAAUAUGAUUAAUUGAACUUAAAAUUUAUCAUGAACUUAGUCCCUGAAAGUAUCUUGCUUGUUUAUGUUGAUUGUAGAUAGAUGGCUCGUGCUGUUGUUCCGUUGAAUUUUAAUGUGUUCCUUGAGAAAGCAAAGUUGAAAGAUGAUGGUAGCAAUUACACGGACUGGGUCCGUAACUUGAGGAUUAUCCUCAUUGCUGCACAGAAGAAUUACGUCCUGGAAGCACCGCUGGGUGCCAGGCCUGCUGCUGGAGCAACACCAGAUGUUAUGAACGUCUGGCAAAGCAAAGCUGAUGACUACUCGAUAGUUCAGUGUGCCAUGCUUUAUGGCUUAGAAUCGGGACUUCAACGACGUUUUGAACGUCAUGGAGCAUAUGAGAUGUUCCAGGAGUUGAAGUUAAUAUUUCAAGCAAAUGCCCGAAUUGAGAGAUAUGAAGUCUCCAAUAAGUUCUAUAGCUGCAAGAUGGAGGAGAACAGUUCUGUCAGUGAGCAUAUACUCAAAAUGUCUGGGUAUAAUAAUCACUUGAUUCAAUUGGGAGUUAAUCUUCCGGAUGAUUGCGUCAUUGACAGAAUUCUCCAAUCACUGCCACCAAGCUACAAGAGCUUCAUGAUGAACUAUAAUAUGCAAGGGAUGAACAAGACUAUUCCCGAGCUCUUCGCAAUGCUGAAAGCUGCGGAGGUAGAAAUCAAAAAGGAGCAUCAAGUGUUGAUGGUUAACAAAACCACUAGUUUCAAGAAAAAGGGCAAAGGAAAGAAGAAAGGGAACUUCAAGAAGAACAGCAAGCCAGUUGCUGCUCAAGAGAAGAAACCCAAGUCUAGACCUAAGCCUGAAACUGAGUGCUUCUACUGCAAGCAGACUGGUCACUGGAAGCGGAACUGCCCCAAGUAUUUGGCGGAUAAGAAGGAUGGCAAGGUGAACAAAGGUAUAUGUGAUAUACAUGUUAUUGAUGUGUACCUUACCAAUGCUCGCAGUAGCACCUGGGUAUUUGAUACUGGUUCUGUUGCUAAUAUUUGCAACUCGAAACAGGGGCUACGGAUUAAGUGAAGAUUGGCUAAGGACGAGGUGACGAUGCGCGUGGGAAACGGUUCCAAAGUCGAUGUGAUCGCGGUCGGCACGCUACCUCUACAUCUACCUUCGGGAUUAAUAUUAGACCUAAAUAAUUGUUAUUUGGUGCCAGCGUUGAGCAUGAACAUUAUAUCUGGAUCUUGUUUAAUGCGAGACGGUUAUUCAUUUAAAUCAGAGAAUAAUGGUUGUUCUAUUUAUAUGAGUAAUAUCUUUUAUGGUCAUGCACCCUUGAAGAGUGGUCUAUUCUUACUAAAUCUCGAUAGUAGUAAUACACAUAUUCAUAAUGUUGAAACCAAAAGAUGCAGAGCUGAUAAUGAAAGUGCAACUUAUUUGUGGCACUGUCGUUUAGGUCAUAUCGGUGUAAAACGCAUGAAGAAACUCCAUACUAAUGGACUUUUGGAACCACUUGAUUAUGAAUCACUUGGUACUUGCGAACCGUGCCUCAUGGGCAAGAUGACUAAAACACCGUUCUCCGGUACUAUGGAGAGAGCAACAGAUUUGUUGGAAAUCAUACAUACCGAUGUAUGUGGUCCGAUGAAUAUUGAGGCUCGUGGCGGAUAUCGUUAUUUUCUCACCUUCACAGAUGAUUUGAGCAGAUAUGGAUAUAUCUACUUAAUGAAGCAUAAGUCUGAAACAUUUGAAAAGUUCAAAGAAUUUCAGAGUGAAGUUGAAAAUCAUCGUAACAAGAAAAUAAAGUUUCUACGAUCUGAUCGUGGAGGAGAAUAUUUGAGUUACGAGUUUGGUGUACAUUUGAAAAACUGUGGAAUAGUUUCACAACUCACGCCACCCGGAACACCACAGCGCAAUGGUGUGUCCGAACGUCGUAAUCGUACUUUACUAGAUAUGGUGCGAUCUAUGAUGUCUCUUACAGAUUUACCGCUAUCAUUUUGGGGUUAUGCUUUAGAGACGACCGCAUUCACGUUAAAUAGGGCACCAUCAAAAUCCGUUGAGACGACGCCUUAUGAACUGUGGUUUGGCAAGAAACCAAAGUUGUCGUUUCUUAAAGUUUGGGGCUGCGAUGCUUAUGUGAAAAAGCUUCAACCUGAUAAGCUCGAACCCAAAUCGGAGAAAUGUGUCUUCAUAGGAUACCCAAAGGAAAUUGUUGGGUACACCUUCUAUCACAGAUCCGAAGGCAAGACAUUCGUUGCUAAGAAUGGAUCCUUUCUAGAGAAGGAGUUUCUCUCGAAAGAAGUGAGUGGGAGGAAAGUAGAACUUGACGAGGUAACUGUACCUGCUCCCUUACUGGAAAGUAGUUCAUCACAGAAAACUGUUUCAGUGACACCUACACCAGUUAGUGAGGAAGCCAAUGAUAAUGAUCAUGAAACUUCAGAUCAAGAUACUACUGAACCUCGUAGAUCAACCAGAGUAAGAUCCGCGCCAGAGUGGUACGGUAAUCCUAUUCUGGAAGUCAUGCUACUAGAUCAUGAUGAACCUACGAACUAUGAAGAAGCAAUGGUGAGCCCAGAUUCCGCAAAGUGGCUUGAAGCCAUGAAAUCUGAGAUGGGAUCCAUGUAUGAGAACAAAGUAUGGACUUUGGUUGACUUGCCCGAUGAUCGGCAAGCAAUUGAGAAUAAAUGGAUCUUUAAGAAGAAGACUGACGCUGAUGGUAAUGUUACUGUCUACAAAGCUCGACUUGUCGCAAAAGGUUUUCGGCAAGUUCAAGGGAUUGACUACGAUGAGACCUUCUCACCCGUAGCGAUGCUUAAGUCCGUCCGAAUCAUGUUAGCGAUUGCCGCAUUUUAUGAUUAUGAAAUUUGGCAGAUGGAUGUCAAAACUGCAUUCCUGAAUGGAUUUCUGGAAGAAGAGUUGUAUAUGAUGCAACCGGAAGGUUUUGUCGAUCCAAAGGGAGCUAACAAAGUGUGCAAGCUCCAGCGAUCCAUUUAUGGACUGGUGCAAGCCUCUCGGAGUUGGAAUAAACGUUUUGAUAGUGUGAUCAAAGCAUUUGGUUUUAUACAGACUUUCGGAGAAGCCUGUAUUUAUAAGAAAGUGAGUGGGAGCUCUGUAGCAUUUCUGAUAUUAUAUGUGGAUGACAUAUUACUGAUUGGAAAUGAUAUAGAAUUUCUGGAUAGCAUAAAGGGAUACUUGAAUAAAAGUUUUUCAAUGAAAGACCUCGGUGAAGCUGCUUACAUAUUAGGCAUUAAGAUCUAUAGAGAUAGAUCAAAACGCUUAAUUGGACUUUCACAAAGCACAUACCUUGACAAAAUUUUGAAGAAGUUCAAAAUGGAUCAAGCGAAGAAAGGGUUCUUGCCUGUGUUACAAGGUGUGAAAUUGAGUAAGACUCAAUGCCCGACCACUGCAGAAGAUAGAGAGAAUAUGAAAGAUGUUCCCUAUGCAUCAGCCAUAGGAUCUAUCAUGUAUGCAAUGUGUACCAGACCUGAUGUAUGCCUUGCUAUAAGUUUAGCAGGGAGGUACCAAAGUAAUCCAGGAGUGGAUCACUGGACAGCGGUCAAGAACAUCCUGAAAUACCUGAAAAGGACUAAGGAUAUGUUUCUCAUAUAUGGAGGUGACAAAGAGCUCAUCGUAAAAGGUUACGUUGAUGCAAGCUUUGACACUGAUCCGGACGAUUCUAAAUCGCAAACCGGAUACGUGUUUACAUUAAAAGGUGGAGCUGUUAGUUGGUGCAGUUCUAAACAAAGCGUCGUAGCGGGAUCUACAUGUGAAGCGGAAUACAUAGCUGCUUCGGAAGCAGCAAAUGAAGGAGUCUGGAUGAAGGAGUUCAUAUCCGAUCUAGGUGUCAUACCUAGUGCAUCGGGUCCAAUGAAAAUCUUUUGUGACAAUACUGGUGCAAUUGCCUUGGCAAAGGAAUCCAGAUUUCACAAAAGGACCAAACACAUCAAGAGACGCUUCAACUCCAUCUGGGAUCUAGUCCAGGUGGGAGACAUAGAGAUUUGCAAGAUACAUACGGAUCUGAAUGUUGCAGACCCGUUGACUAAGCCUCUUCCACGAGCAAAACAUGAUCAGCACCAAGGCUCCAUGGGUGUUAGAAUCAUUACAGUGUAAUCUAGAUUAUUGACUCUAGUGCAAGUGGGAGACUGAAGGAAAUAUGCCCUAGAGGCAAUAAUAAAGUUAUUAUUUAUUUCCUUAUAAUCAUGAUAAAUGUUUAUUAUUCAUGCUAGAAUUGUAUUUACCGGAAACAUAAUACAUGUGUGAAUACAUAGACAAACAGAGUGUCACUAGUAUGCCUCUACUUGACUAGCUCGUUAAUCAAAGAUGGUUAUGUUUCCUAACCAUGAACAAUGAGUUGUUAUUUGAUUAACGAGGUCACAUCAUUAGUAGAAUGAUCUGAUUGACAUGAUCCAUUCCAUUAGCUUAGCACCCGAUCGUUUAGUAUGUUGCUAUUGCUUUCUUCAUGACUUAUACAUGUUCCUAUGACUAUGAGAUUAUGCAACUCCCGUUUACCGGAGGAACACUUUGGGUACUACCAAACGUCACAACGUAACUGGGUGAUUAUAAAGGAGUACUACAGGUGUCUCCAAUGGUCGAUGUUGGGUUGGCGUAUUUCGAGAUUAGGAUUUGUCACUCCGAUUGUCGGAGAGGUAUCUCUGGGCCCUCUCGGUAAUACACAUCACAUAAGCCUUGCAAGCAUUACAACUAAUAUGUUAGUUGUGAGAUGAUGUAUUACGGAACGAGUAAAGAUACUUGCCGGUAACGAGAUUGAACUAGGUAUUGGAUACCGACGAUCGAAUCUCGGGCAAGUAACAUACCGAUGACAAAGGGAACAACGUAUGUUGUUAUGCGGUCUGACCGAUAAAGAUCUUCGUAGAAUAUGUAGGAGCCAAUAUGGGCAUCCAGGUCCCGCUAUUGGUUAUUGACCGGAGACGUGUCUCGGUCAUGUCUACAUUGUUCUCGAACCCGUAGGGUCCGCAUGCUUAAGGUUACGAUGACAGUUAUAUUAUGAGUUUACAUGUUUUGAUGUACCGAAGGAGUUCGGAGUCCCGGAUGAGAUUGGGGACAUGACGAGGAGUCUCGAAAUGGUCGAGACGUAAAGAUUCAUAUAUUGGAUGAUAUGGUUAGGCCAAGGGGUCAAGCCCAUGAGGCUUUAGAUCGGUGCAAAAGGAGUUUUGCGGAGUUCAGGGGGCCAAACGCCGGAGACCCUGGCGUCUGGCCCUGGGCCAGACGCCGAGGCCCAUGGCGUCUGGGCCAGACGCCAAGGAUUGUGGCGUUUGGUCCUGGAGUCCGAGUGGGACUCUUGCCUUUCGGGAAAAACCGACUUUGAGGAGGCUUUUGCUCCAAGUUUCGACCCCGGGGCUCAACAUAUAAAUAGAGGGGCAGGGCUAGCACCAAAGACACAACAAUUGAUCCCUUGGAUCUCUUAGCCGUGUGCGGUGCCCCCCUCCACCAUAGUCCACCUCGAUAAUAUCGUAGCGGUGCUUAGGCGAAGCCCUGCGACGGUAGAACAUCAAGAUCGUCACCACGCCGUCGUGCUGACGGAACUCUCCCUCGACACUCGGCUGGAUCGGAGUUCGAGGGACGUCAUCGAGCUGAACGUGUGCUAGAACUCGGAGGUGCCGUAGUUUCGGUGCUUGAUCGGUCGGGCUGUGAAGACGUACGACUACAUCAACCGCGUUGUGCUAACGCUUCCGCUUACGGUCUACAAGGGUAUGUAGACAACACUCUCCCCUCUCGUUGCUAUGCAUCACAUGAUCUUGCGUGUGCGUAGGAAUUUUUUUGAAAUUACUACGAAACCCAACAUAUAUAUAGUUAAUUCUUUUUGCAUAUGAUUAAUAGAUAAAUUCCUCACGUCCAGAAAUUUAUUUUAGAAUUUUUGGGGUUCCAUAUCUUGCGCUAGCUACAGAUUACUACAGACUUUUCUGUUUUUGACAGAUUCUGUUUUUCGUGUGUUGUUUGCUUAUUUUGAUGAAUCUAUUGCUAGUAAAAUAGUUUAUAAUCCAUAGAGAAGUUGGAAUACAGUAGGUUUAACACCAAUAUAAAUAAAGAAUGAGUUCAUUACAGUACCUUGAAGUGGUCUUUUGUUUUUCUUUCGCUAACGGAGCUCACGAGUUUUCUAUUUUGAGUUUUGUGUUGUGAAGUUUUCAAGUUUUGGGUGAAUUCUUUCGAUGGAUCAAGGAACAAGGAGUGGAAAGAGACUAAGCUUGGGGAUGCCCAUGGCACCCCCAAGAUAAUCCAAGGACACCAAAAAGUCAAAGCUUUGGGAUGCCCCCGGAAGGCAUCCCCCCUUUCGUCCACUUCCAUCGGUAAUUUACUUGGAGCUAUAUUUUUAUUCACCAACAUGAUAUGUGUUUUUCUUGGAGCGUCUUGUAUUAUUUUUGCCUUUGUUUUUUAGUAUGCCACAAUCAUCCUUGCUGUACACACCAUUUGAGAGAGCCAUACAUGAAUUAAAAUUUGAUAGAAUGCUCUAUGUGCUUCACUUAUAUCUUUUUGAGCUAGAUAAUUUUGCUCUAUGUGCUUCACUUAUAUCUUUUGAGCUAGAUAAUUUUGCUCUAUGUGCUUCACUUAUAUAUUUUGAGCUAGAUAAUUUUGCUCUAUGUGCUUCACUUAGAUCUUUUAGAGCAUGGUGGUGGAUAUGUUUUAAAGAAACUAUUGAUCUCUCAUGCUUCACUUAAAUUAAUUUGAGAGUCUCUUAAUAGCAUGGUAAUUUGCCUAAUAAUAAUAUGCUUGGUAUUCAAGAUUUGUGAAACUUUAUUUUGAGUGUGUUGAAUACUAAGAAAAGAUUGAAGCAUGAUAAUUGUUUUGAGAUAUGGAGGUGAUAAUAUUAAAGUCAUGCUAGUUGAGUAGUUGUGAAUUUAAAGAAUACUUGUGUUGAAGUUUGUGAUUCCCGUAGCAUGCACGUAUGGUGAACCGUUAUGUGAUGAAGUCGGAGCAUGAUUUAUUUAUUGAUUGCCUUCCUUAUGAGUGGCGGCCGGGGACAAGCGAUGGUCUUUUCCUACCAAUCUAUCCCCCUAGGAGCAUGCACGUAAUACUUUGCUUUGAUAACUUCUAAAUUUUUUGCAAUAAGUAUAUGAGUUAUUUAUGACUAAUGUUAAGUCCAUGGAUUGUACGCACUCCCACCCUUCCACCCUUGCUAGCCCCUCUAAUACCGCGCAACUUUCGCCGGUAUCAUACACCUACCAUAUACCUUCCUCAAAACAGCCACCAUAGCCAUUCCGAGAUAUAUUUCCAUGCAACUUUCCACCAUCUAGUUCAUCAUGACAUAUCCAUCAUUGUCAUAUUGCUUAGCAUGAUCAUGUAGUUGACAUAGUAUUUGUGGCAAAUCCACCGUUCAUAAUUAUUUCAUACUUGUCACUCGUGAUUCAUUGCAUAUCCCAGUACACCGCCGGAGGCAUUCAUAUAGAGUCAUACUUUGUUUUAGUAUCGAGUUGUAACCAUUGAGUUGUAAAUAAAUAGAAGUGUGAUGAUCAUCAUUCAAUAGAGCAUUGUCCCAAAAAAGAGAGAAAUGCCAAAGAAAAAAAGAAGGCCCAAAAAAAAGGGGGCAAUGCUACUAUACUUUUUCCACACUUGUGCUUCAAAGUAGCACCAUGAUAUAGCAAGUCUAAUAUAUUGUGCUUCAAAGUAGCACCAUGUUCUUCAUAUAGAGAGUCUCAUAUGUUGUCACUUUCAUAUACUAGUGGGAAUUUUACGUUAUAGAACAUGGCUUGUAUAUUCCAAUGAUGGGCUUCCUCAAAUUGCACUAGGUCUUCGUGAGCAAGCAAGUUGGAUGCACACCCACUAGUUUUUUUUGUUGAGCUUUCAUACAUUUAUAGCUCUAGUGCAUCCGUUGCAUGGUAAUCCCUACUCACUCACAUUGAUAUCUAUUGAUGGGCAUCUCCAUAGCCCAUUGAUACGCCUAGUUGAUGUGAGACUAUCUUCUCCUUUUUGUCUUCUCCACAACCACCAUUCUAUUCCACCUAUAGUGUUAUAUCCAUGGCUCACGCUCAUGUAUUGCGUGAAGAUUGAAAAAGUUUUGAAAAAGUUAGAGUAUGAAACAAUUGCUUGGCUUGUCAUCGGGGUUGUGCAUGAUUUAAAUACUUUGUGUAGGGAAGAUGGAGCAUAGCCAGACUAUAUGAUUUUGUAGGGAUAACUUUCUUUGGCCAUGUUAUUUUGAGAAGACAUAAUUGCUUUGUUAGUAUACUUGAAGUAUUAUUAUUUUCUAUGUCAAUAUAAACUUUUGUCUUGAAUCUUUCUAAUCUGAAUAUUCAUACCAUAAUUAAGAAGAUUUACAUUCAAAUUAUGCCAAGUAGCACUCCGCAUCAAAAAUUCUCCUUUUAUCAUUUACCUCCUCGAGGACAAGCAGGAAUUAAGCUUGGGGGUGCCUGAUACGUCUCCAACGUAUCUAUAAUUUUUGAUUGCUCCAUGCUAUAUUAUCUACUGUUUUGGACUAUAUUGGGCUUUAUUUUCCACUUCUAUAUUAUUUUUGGGACUAACCUAUUAACUGGAGGCCCAGCCCAGAAUUGCUAUUUUUUCCUAUUUCAGUGUUUCGGAUAAACAGAAUAUCAAACGGAGUCCAAACGGAAUAAAAUCUUCGGAAACGUGAUUUUCUCACAGACGUGAUCCAGGAGACUUGGACCCUACUACUAGGGACCAAAGAGGCAGUCACGAGGGUGGGGGUGCCCCCCUAGGGCGUGCCUCCCUGCCUCGUGGGCCCCUCGUUGCUCCUCCAGCGUACUUCUUCCUCCUAUAUAUACACACGUACCCCCAAACGAUCAGAAUAGGAACCAAAACCCUAAUUCCACCGCCACGACUUUCUGUAUCCAUGAGAUCCCAUCUUGGGGCCUGUUCCAGAGCUCCGCCGGAAGAGGGUCGUCAUCACGGAGGGCUUCUACAUCAUCCUAGCCCCUCCGAUGAAGUGUGAGUAGUUUACCUUAGACCUUGGGGUCCAUAGUUAGUAGCUAGAUGGCUUCUUCUCUCUCUUUGAAUCUCAAUACAAAGUUCUCCCCCUCUCUCGUGGAGAUCUAUUCGAUGUAAUCUUCUUUUUGUGGUGUGUCUGUUGAGACCGAUGAAUAGUGGGUUUAUGAUCAAGUCUACCUAUGAAUAAUAUUUGAAUCUUCUCUUAAUUAUUUUAUGCAUGAUUGGUUAUCUUUGCAAGUCUCUUCGAAUUAUCCGUUUGGUUUGGCCAACUAGAUUGGUAGUUCUUGCCAUGGGAGAAGUGCUUAGCUUUGGGUUUGAUCUUGUGGUGUCCUUACCCAGUGACAGAAGGGGCAGCAAGGCACGUAUUGUAUUGUUGCCAUCGAGGAUAACAAGAUGGGGUUUAUUUCAUAUUGCAUGAAUUUAUCUCUCUACAUCAUGUCAUCUUGCUUAAGGUGUUACUCUGUUUUUAACUUAAUACUCUAGAUGCAUGCUGGAUAGCGGUCGAUGAGUGGAGUAAUAGUAGUAGAUGCAGAAUUGUUUCAAUCUACUUGUCACGGACGUGAUGCCUAUAUACAUGAUCAUGCCUAGAUAUUCUCAUAAUUAUGCACAAUUCUAUCAAUUUCUCAACAGUAAUUUGUUCACCCACCGUAGAAUACUUAUGCUCUUGAGAGAAGCCACUAGUGAAACCUAUGGCCCCGGGUCUAUUCUCAUCAUAUCAAUCUCCAUCACUUUUAUAUUGCUUUGCUAUUUACUUUGCUUUUACUUUUUACUUUGCAUCUUUAUAUCAAAAAUACCAAAAAUAUUCUAUCUAUCAGAUCUCACUCUCGUAAGUGACCGUGAAGGGCUUGACAACUCCUAAUCGCGUUGGUUGCGAGUAGCUAUCGCUUUGUGUAGGUAUGAGGGACUUGAGCGUGGGCUCCUACUGGAUUGAUACCUUGGUUCUCAAAAACUGAGGGAAAUACUUACACUACUCUACUGCAUCAUCCCUUCCUCUUCGGGGAAAACCAACGCAAGCUCAAGAUGUAGCACGGUGUCGCUCAGACGCCCGACUGAGGCAUGCUUUACAUUAUUAUCCUUUCGAGGUGUCGCUUCAGACACCCGAUUGGUGCAUCCUAAUUCUGCUCUCUGAUUGCAUAUUCAUGUUUGACAUGAAUAACCUGCUUGAGUGCAUCAUGGAUUUUUACUUCAUGACUGACAUUGUGAUCAUGGAAUAUUUCAGAGCAUGACUUUCAUUUGUUAUAUUAUACCUGAGUUCAUAAUGUUUGCGAGUACAUUCAAAGUACUCACUGGCUUGUCCCUGGCUAUUGUCUUGGCCAGAUUUCUUGCAUGGAGAGGAGCGUUGCGAUGACAGCCCCGGAACCUACGCAAUGGUGAUAGCAGCCUCGCGAAGAUAGGAGUUAUCCAGGUCAGCUGUUCCUGUGGGAAAAGGAGUCCCAUAGACACUGAUGAACCACAAACCGCUUCCGCCAUCAGCCACUAGAAACCUUGUGUUGUACUCAUAGGCCAGAAUGGUCUUGUACUACAUAUUUUGUAUUUUGCUUGGAAUUUCUGUAUCAAGUUGGUGCCUCAUCAGCUAACAGUAAUCCUGGGGCUGGUGGGCACAAGGACCAUUUUCUUGGAAAUAUAUCUUGAAAAUCCGGUCGCGACAGGGAUGCCCAGUCCCAUGCUCAAACCAAAUCAAAAUAAUUGCAAACAAAACUCCACCAUGAUUGUUGUUAGUUGGAGGCACCUGUUGUUUCGGGCAAGCCAUGGAUUGAUGCUUGUUGGUGGUGGGGGAGUAUAAACUUUACCAAUCUGCUUGGGAACCGCCUAUAAUGUGUGUAGCAUGGAAGAUAUCAAGAUCUCUUGGUUUUUAUGUUGACAAUGAAAGUAUACCGCUUAAAAUAUUAUUCAUCUCUAUUUCAAAACCGAGCUCUGGCACCUCUACAAAUCCCUGCUUCCCUCUGAGAAGGGCCUAUCUCUUUACUUUUAUGUUGAGUCAUCAUUCUCUUAUUAAAAAGCACCAGGUGGAGAGCAUCGCUGUCAUUUGCAUGUAUUAUUAUUAGUUUAUAUUGAGUAUGACUGUGACUGGAUCUCUUUUACCAUGAAUUACAAUUUCCAUUCAGUCCUUGAUCUUCAAGGGUGCUCUGCAUUUAUGUUUUGCGGUCUCAAAAAGGUGUAGUGAGAUACCAUCUUGUUAUAUCAUAUUAUGAUUGUUUUAAGAAAGUGUUGUCAUCCAAGAUUUAUUAUUAUUGCUCGCUAGUUGAUUAUGCCAUUGAUAUGAGUAAACAUCAGACCUAAAUGUUAUUGUGAAUAUGGUUAGUUCAUAAUCUUUUCUGAAAACUUGAAUGUUGGCUUUACAUAUUUACAACAACAAGAGCAAACAAAGUUUGUAAAAGUUUUUCUUUAUCACUUUCAGUUUAUCAACUGAAUUGCUUGAGGACAAGCAAAGGUUUAAGCUUGGGGGAGUUGAUACGUCUCCAUCGUAUCUACUUUUCCAAACACUUUUGCCCUUGUUUUGGACUCUAACUUGCAUGAUUUGAAUGGAACUAACCCGGACUGGCGCUGUUUUCAGCAGAAUGGCCAUGGUGUUAUUUUUGUGCAGAAAUAAAAGUUCUUGCAAUGACCUAAAAAUCAACAGAGAAUAUUUUUGGAAUAUAUAAAAAAUACUGGCAAAAGAAACAAGGCCAGGGGGCACACACCCUGUCCACAAGGGUGGGGGGCGCGCCUACCCCCAGGGCGCGCCCCCUGUCUCAUGGGCCCCCUGGUGCUCCACCGACCUCAACUCCAACUCCAUAUAUUCACGUUCGGCGAGAAAAAAAAUCAAAGAGAAGGAUCCAUCACGUUUUAUGAUACAGAGACGCCACCAAGCCCUAAUCUCUCUCAGGAGGGAUAAUUAGGAGUCCGUUCGGGGCUCCGGAGAGGGGAAUCCGUCGCCAUCGUCAUCAUCAACCUUCCUCCAUCACCAAUUUCAUGAUGCUCACCGUCGUGCGUGAGUAAUUCCAUUGUAGGCUUGCUGGACGAUGAUGGGUUGGAUGAGAUUUAUCAUGUAAUCGAGUUAGUUUUGUUAGGGUUUGAUCCCUAGUAUCCACUAUGUUCUGAGAUUGAUGUUGUUAUGACUUUGCUAUGCUUAAUGCUUGUCAGUAGGGCCCGAGUGCCAUGAUUUCAGAUGUGAACCUAUUAUGUUUUCAUGAAUAUACGUGAGUUCUUGAUCCUAUCUUGCAAGUCUAUAGUCACCUAUUAUGUGUUAUGAUCCAUUAACCCCGAAGUGACAAUAAUCGGGAUACUUACUGGUGAUGACCAUAGUUUGAGGAGUUCAUGUAUUCACUAAGUGUUAAUGCUUUGGUCCGGUACUCUAUUAAAAGGAGGCCUUAAUAUCCCUUAGUUUCCAAUAGGACCCCGCUGCCACGGGAGGGUAGGACAAAAGAUGUAAUGCAAGUUCUUUUCCAUAAGCACGUAUGACUAUAUUCGAAAUACAUGCCUACAUUACAUUGAUGAACUGGAGCUAGCUCUGUGUCACCCUAUGUUAUAACCAUUGCAUGAGGAAUCGUGUCCGACAUAAUUAUCCAUCACUGAUCCAUUGCCUACAAGCUUUUCACAUAUUGAUCUUCGCUUAUUUACUUUUCCAUUGCUACUGUUACAAUCACUAUAAAACCAAAACUAUUACUUUUCCUACCAUUACUGCUACUAUCAUAUUACUUUGCUACAGAUAUUAAGUUUUCCAGGUGUGGUUGAAUUGACAACUCAGCUGCUAAUACUUGAGAAUAUUCUUUGGCUCCCCUUGUGUCGAAUCAAUAAAUUUGGGUUGAAUACUCUACCCUCGAAAACUGUUGCGAUCCGCUAUACUUGUGGGUUAUCAAGCAUCAAUAUGUAUAGAGAUAGAUCAUGACGCUUGAUAUAUUUUCAAUGAGUACAUACCUUGACAAGAUUUGGAAGUAGUUCAAAAUGGAACAGUCAAAGAAGGAGUUCUUGCCUGUGUUGCAAGGUGUGAAGUUGAGUAAAGACUCAAAACCCGACCACUACAGAAAAUAGAAAGAGAAUGAAAAGUCAUUCCUUAUGCCUCAGUCAUAGGUUCUACAAAGUAUGCUAUGUUGUGUACCAGACCUAUUGUGUACCUCACCAUAAGUUUGUCAAGAGGGUACAAUAGUGAUCCAGGAGUGGACCACUGGACAUCGGUCAAAAAUAUCCUUAGUGGAAUAAGGAAAUGUUUCUCGGUUAUGGAGGUGACAAAGAGUUCGUCGUAAAGAGUUACGUCGAUGCAAGCUUUGACACCGAUCUGGAUGACUCUAAGUCUCGAUCUAGAUACAUAUUGAAAGUGGGAGCAAUUAGCUAGAGUAGCUCCGUGCAAAGCAUUGUAGAUAUAGAAAAUUUGCAAUGGCUCUGAAUGUGGGAGACCCGUUGACUAAAUUUCUCUCACAAGCAAAACUUGAUCACUCUUUGGGUGUUAAUCACGUAGCGAUGUGAACUAGAUUAUUGACUCUAAACCCUUUGCGUGUGAUGUCUACUACACAACCUUCUUCUUGUAGACGUUGUUGGGCCUGCAAGCGCACAGGUUUGUAGGACAGUAGCAAAUUUCCCUCAAGUGGAUGACCUAAGGUUUAUCAAUCCGUAGGAGGCGUAGGAUGAAGAUGGUCUCUCUCAAGCAACCCUCCGACCAAAUAACAAAGAGUCUCUUGUGUCUCCAACACACCCAAUACAAUGGUAAAUUGUAUAGGUGCACUAGUUCGGCGAAGAGAUGGUGAUACAAGUGCAAUAUGGAUAGUAGGUAAUAGUUUUUGUAAUCUGCAAUAAUAAAAACAGCAAGGUAGCAAGUGAUAAAAGUGAGCGUAAACGGUAUUGCAAUGAGUUUAAACAACGCCUAGGGUUCAUACUUUCGCUAGUGUAAGUUCCCUCAACAAUACUAACAUAAUUGGAUCACAUAACUAUCCCUCAACAUGCAACAAAGAGUCACUCCAAAGUCACUAAUAGCGGAGAACGAACGAAGAGAUUAUGGUAGGGUACAAAACCACCUCAAAGUUAUUCUUUCCAAUCAAUCCGUUGGGCUAUUCCUAUAAGUGUCACAAACAGCCCUAGAGUUCGUACUAGAAUAACACCUUAAGACACAAAUCAACCAAAACCCUAAUGUCACCUAGAUACUCCAAUGUCACCUCAAGUAUCCGUGGGUAUGAUUAUACGAUAUGCAUCACACAAUCUUAGAUUCAUCUAUUCAACCAACACAAAGGACCUCAAAGAGUGCCCCAAAGUUUCUACCGGAGAAUCACGACGAAAACGUGUGCCAACCCCUAUGCGUAGGUUCCCAAUGUCACGAAACCCGCAAGUUGAUCACCAAAACAUACAUCAAGUGGAUCAAUAGAAUAACCCAUUGUCACCAUGGUUAUCCCACUCAAGACAUACAUCAACUGUUCUCAAAUCUAUAAAGACUCAAUCUGAUAAGAUUACUUCAAAGGGGAAACUCAAUUCAUUACAAGAGAGAAGAGGGGGAGGAGAAACAUAGGAUCCAACUAUAAUAGAAAAGCUCGCGAUACAUCAAGAUCGUAUCGUCUCAAGAACACGAGAGAGAGAGAGAUCAAACACAUAGCUAUUGAUACAUACCCUCAGCCCCAAGGGAGAACUACUCCCUCCUCGUCAUGGAGAGCGCUGGGAUGAUGAAGAUGGCCACUGGUGAGGGACCCCCCCGCCGGCAGGGUGCCGGAACAGGGCCCCGAUUGGUUUUUGGUGGCUACGGAGGCUUCUGGCGGCGGAACUCCUGAUCUAAUCUCUGUUCUGGAAGUUUUAGGGUAUAUGGAGCUAUAUAGGCAGAAGAAGCACGUCAGGGGAGCCACAGGGGCCCCACGAGGCAGGGGGCGCGCCCUAGGGGGGUGGGCGCACCCCCCACCCUCGUGGGCAACUCCCGUAUCUUCUGACAUGAGGUUCAAGUCCAUCAGGUGUGUUUCCUUCCAAAAAUAACUUCUCCAGUUGAUUUCGUUCCGUUUCGACUCCGUCUGAUAUUCCUUUUCUUCAAAACACUAAAAUAGGCAUAAAACAGCAAAUCUGGGUGCUGGGGUACUAAUCCACGAGCACCUAUGGGACCGGCGGACCGAGUCCCUUUCGGUUCGGCGGGGGCGGCGGUCGCACGAAGAGCGGAUCGAGGCGAAGCACACGAGCAGUUUACCCAGGUUCGGGCCGCACGGAUGCGUAAAACCCUACUCCUGCUUUGUGGUUUGUAUUGAGUUCUUGCUCGGGAGCGCGGAGUGCUACAGUACACCCCAGCAGCUAACGAGACCGAGCGUGAGUGUCCUCUUCCCCCCCUUUCUACGUUGCGCACGGGCCUCCUUUUAUAUGCUCAAGGGGUCACCGACAGGUGGCAACGUAGACAAGGGUAAAAAUGGAAAGGUGUUGCGGUUGGUAUAACUACCUGCUACAGUGUAUCAUACCUAACCCUGAUGGCAGGGGACAAGGGCAUUAAAUGCCCGUCUGCGUCGCCUAAAUAGUGCAAAAGGGACCGUCAGGGACGCCACCGCUCGCCAUGAUGGCGAUCUUGUCAGCGCCACUUGCCACCGCUCACCGCUGGCUGCACAGCCUCCCGCCACGUAUGCCUGGAAGGGUCCUAGAGCGACACAUUGGUGGAUGUGCUGGAGCGCGGGCACAGAGUGGUGGCUUGCCGCGGCAAGCGCCUUGCCGCGGUCAUUGUCUUGUCGCGUCCGGGAGCUUGUCGCUCACCGGGCCUUGCCGGGACGUGUGGCGCAUCGCGGCAAGUUCCUUGAGAUGCCUUGGUUGGCCUUCCCGGCAAGCUCCUCUUGCCGGGGUCUUGUCUCCUUGGCUUGGAUACUUUGUCCUUGAAUGGCUCCAAAGAAACCACGGAGGACCUUGGCGGUCACCCGGCAGGCCUUGCCGCGGGAUGCUGCGACUGCCCGUGCACAAGUUCGGGAUACUAGGGUACCCCUACUCUAGUACAUCGACAGGAGCCCCCGGGCCUGGGCCAUACACGGUGCCGAGCGCUGUUGGGCUAGGCCCAAAACAGGGCACGGGCACGCGCGGCCUAGGUUAUGCCGUAUCUCUCUCCGUAUCCACCGCGCCCUCCCCGAACGGCACCCGUUGAAUGCGGCGUCGUGGGAGAGAUCGUGAGUGGUUUCUUUAUUCGGAAAUGCGGAACGUCCGUCCCCUCCCCUUUAUAAGCAGGGGAAACAGGGUUAGUUCGCCCAUUCGCCGGUUGCUACUCCAAUCUCAGAAAUUUCCGACGCUCCCUUGUCUUCCCAAAGCUGAAAGAGAGCAGCGCCCCGCCCCCCAUCGCCACCAGCACCACCAACGCCGUCGACCUCCUCCACCACUUCCGCCAUGGCUCCGAAAGCCGACAAGGGGAAGGUUGUGAAGUCGACCGAGGCGCAGCGGCUUGCGGCGCUGCGAAAGGAGCGGGCAAUCUUCCCCCCAAGCUCGCCGCGAGGGAGCUGAGGGAGAACUACUACCUCUUCUGGUCGACGGAGACGUGAGCGCAUCCGCGCACGAAAGUACUUCCAGCCGCCGCUUGGAAAAUGGCUCCAAACAGAUAUCCCUUCUUCACCUUGUUCUUCUACUGCGGGCUCUGCCCGCCUUUCUCUGAGUUCUUCUGCGAUAUUAUGAACACCUACGGGUUCCACCUCCUUGACUUCACCCCCAAUGCCGUUCUGACCAUGGUAGUUUUCGCACAUCUCUGCGAAAACUUUGUCGGAGUCCAUCCCAAUGUGGCCCUUUUUCGCCACUUCUUUAUGCCCCGAGUAGAGAGAGGAGAGCCUUUAUCCGGCGGAAUCGCCUGGAUCUCGAGGGCCGGCAAGAAGGACACUUAUCUGGAGGGAGAGUUCUGCGGCAAGUGGGAGGAAUGGAGAGCAGACUGGUGCUGGAUUGUCGAGGAGAACCCGCAGCCGUUUACCGCCCGGUGCCAAGCCCCAGUAGCACGCGGUAGCGAUUGGAGUGACGUGGCCCCGGAAGACGAUAGGCUGAAGAUUGCCGUCACCUAGAUCCUACGCCUCAAGCUUGCCAGGCUCACUGUAGGCGCUGUUGGCGCAGAUUUUCUUCGCCACCGCAUCGCCCCCCUGCAGGAACGGGGGAGACCCGCCUGGGAAUUCAAGAAUGCGGAGGAUAUCAUGAGGCUGCGUCCGGGCCUCAACUUCAACUUCACUAUUCUGGAGCUCAACGCGAUGCUCCAGGAGCUGUUCAAGUACGACCCUCAACAUCCCGAAGUGUUCAGGUUGCCGGGGGGUGUCGUUCCGCUGUGCAACAACUCCUCGCUCGACCGCAUCCGUGCAAUGAUGCCGCUGUGCGAUUCGCAUGGAAUUGUCCCAACUUGGCAAGAGCCUGCAGACGACGUCGUGCAGGAGUUCUUUGACGGCCUGGUAGAAGUGCCAGUCCGCUCCGACGAAAAGGAUAGCCUCACCCGUGACACCACCGAUGCGGAGAUGACACGCAUCGCCACUAGGCUGGAAGAGGCGGCGACAGCCGCAGCCGCGGGCGAAUUUGGGUUCACCGUGGAGGAGGCAGAUGCAGCAGAGGCGGCAAGCCGUGCCGAGCAAGAGGAGCGCGUCGGCGAGAAAGAGCUUGCCGGGCAUAACAUCGAGUCGAGCGAGCCCGCCAAGGAUACGAGCGGCUCACUGGAGAUCAACUCCUCUUCCUCCUCAUCUUCAGGCAGCUCGCCGCAAGCAGAGCCUCCAUCCCCACCAAGAAGGCGUCUCCGCAAGGCCGGGGACGCAGCGGGGCAGCGGGCAAGUGAACAGCCGCAGCGCCGCGCGACACGCUCCACCGUGGCAAGCACUGUUGCCGCGGGAGCACCUCACGCUGCUGCGGCAACUGGAGCGGGGUCCACCCGGACCACCGCUUCUGCUCCUGCCGCUUCUCACGCCGCGGCGGUAGCCGGAGUGGGGUCGUCUCAGACCACCGCCACUAUUCCCGCCAAGCGGCCAAGGGAAACUACUCCUCCGCCUCCUCGCGCCGAACGUGAGCCGGACUUCGACUUCUCUGCGUUCAGCUCUGACGAGGAAGAAGAAGAGUAAGAUUCUCCUGUUGUACUUGUAGUUCUUCAAUUCUUGCUGUUUUGUCUUGUAUCUCAUUUGCUUUACUCUGAACUUAUUCCUUUUCAGGACUCUGGCCCAGAGAGCAGCGAAGAGAGCCAAGGUCCCGGUGAUUGUCAUCGAGGACGAGCCCACCGCGACAGCAGGGGGUGCGUCCGAGACAACCUUGCCGGACCCGGCAACUGUUCUCCAGAGCAGCCCCCAGCGUAAGUAUAUGGUUUGCUUUCCGCUGUUGGGCGUGCAUGGAUACUCUUUCUUUGCUGACAUCUGACUGUUGGUUUGUGUAGGAGUAGAGCAGCCACACCAGGAGCGCCCGGAGGCCGCCCCCGAAAUGCCAAGGGAGAGUCCUCCGGCAAGGGAGAGUUCUCCAACAAGGGAGAAGUCUCCGGCAAGGGAGAGUCCUCCGGCAAGGGACAGCACCAGCGGCCCUCCGGCGGCGGAGACCACAACUGCAGAACCCGGUACAGGUAAUCCUCUCGCUUCAAAACUUCCCUUGGGUUCUUCUUCUUUUGAUCUUCUUCUUGGAUAUUUGCUUGACUUUUCUCAAUUUUCCAGCCAUCAGACCCAUCUGCUGCGGAGCCGAUGGAGACCGAGGUUGCUGCCGACGACGCCGCUGCCACUGAAGAAGCUGCCGGCGCUGAUGAUCCCGCCGGCAACAAGGCCGCCAAAGCUGCCGCCGCAGCAGCUGGCGAGGGGUCUGGCGAUCGCACUGACGGCCCUGAGGCCGCAGGAGCGCUAGGCGCUACGUCGACCGCCGACCCGUCCGCCGCUGCCGCAGCGCCAGGCUCCGAAGAGCCCCAGCCAGCCGUCUACUUGGAGUCCGGCGAUGGCGUCUUCAUCAACCUCCCCUGGGCGUCGAGCUCCAGGGCGCCGGUCGAAGGAGAGAGCUUCGACGGAGAGGUGCUCGCCUUCGCUGGGCUGACGCUGGUUGACGCGCCGAGCAGCAGCAGCAGCGAGCCUGAGGAGGAACGGCUGCUGCGGAAGCUGUUGUCGCUCUACUGCGCGCGGCAAGCCAAGCUGGAAUCCCGCGAGGCGCUUGUCGCGAAGGCGGGAGCGGACAUCGAGAAGUGCGCGGAGGAGCUCCGGGGCCUCAACCAGGAAGCUCUCCGGUCCUGGGCAGAGGAGCGGGAGCAACUCGCCGAAGAGCAGAAGGCCUUCUUCCUCGAGAAGGCUGAAGUCGAAGAGCAACGGCGGCUUGCCGCUGAAAAGCUGUCUGCGCAGGAGGGCGAGCUGGUGCAGCGAAAGGUCAACCUUGACGCCCAUGAGGAGGAGCUUGCCGCGCGUGAGCGAACAUUCAGCGGAGCCCUCAAGCAAGUGGAGGAUGCUGCCACAGCUGCCGAGGCCGCCAAGAAGGAGCUGGAGACGAAGGUGGCGCAGCUGGAGGCCGAUCUCAAGGCGAGCAGUGAAGAGCUUGCCGAGAAGGGCAAAGAGCUUAGCGCCGCCAAGGACUCCAACGCAGAUCUUGAGUUGAAGCUGACCACUUUGACCAAGACGCUGGACGACGCCAGGGAGCAGGAGGUGGCCUUGAAGGAGGAGAUCAAGGCCGACAAGGCGCUGCUGGCGAGUGCUGUCGCCGCCCAGAAUGCUUUCAGGGAGAAUGUGGAGCACUGGACGGAGGGUCUCGUGAAUGUUGCCGCAGACAUUGAUAGGGAGCUGGCGCAGCUGGGGAUGGAGGAUCUCGGAUAUCCCUCCGACGAGAAUCUCCAACCCAGCGCCAAGCUCAUCUUGUUCUUCAAAGGCGUGGCGACGGCCCUCCAGCGGCUCCGGGAGAAGAUCCCAAAGCAGCUGGCCAACGAGUUGCGCAAGAUCUGCGCGGGAGCCCUUCAAAAGGUGUUGGUGAAGGUGGCCUUCCGCAACCCGGGCCUCAACCUCACCAACGUCCUCAAGACCCUGCCGCCGGAUGCUGAUCUGGAGGCGCUCAAGACCCUUGUCGCACCCAUUGUGGACAAGGUGAGUGGGAUCAAGAGGAUUGAGGGCGAUCGUGUAGACUAGGCCGCCCGCUUUCUUCUCUUCUUGUCGCUGCUGGUCAUGUUAUGAGAACAACCUGUUAGAGCCGCGACAAGCUACCCUGUAAUAUAACUCUAUUCCGGGUAAUGAUUGCAACGUUAUUCCCUUUACUUGAUUCCUCUCUUUGUAUGUUUUUGCCCUACGCUUUUAGGGAACUUGCCGGUGCAGGCACCUUAGCCGCGAGCGCUGAGUGCGGGACGUCAGCAGCCUGCUGGCGGUGCUGCUAUCGACAAGAAACCUUGUCGCAACUAGUCGCAGCUCGCUUAAAUUGUUGAGCGGACUCGAAACAAAGUAAGGGCGCAACUAGCUAUGAGUUGGUUCCUCCGCGCACAGGUUUUCCAUACAAAGUGCGGUCGUUCAAGGGAGAUAACUUAAAAAUUUUAAAAAUCUGAUUGCUCAAACAUUGGCAACUUAGCUUUUCUGUUGUUUGCUUCCCGGUAAGGCGAAACUUUUUUGAACGACGCCUGGUCCAUACCAUUAUCUUCUCCUUUCCACCCAGCAAACUUGUGGGCGAGGGAACCUUCCUUUCCUUGAGAAAAAAGAAAGAAGAGAAAAUAAAGAUAUGGAGCCUUACGGCUCGUUAUUGCUUACCGGGGAGUGGGUGCUGCACAAAGUGUCAGAUCACAUAUGAAAAAAAUAGAAAGCAUGAAAUUGACAAGAUGUGUGGAGCACAUGAGUUUUACUUAUGCACGGGGUCUGCGCCUGGCUUUGUACAAAGGAUUACAUGCAACAGCGGCAAGACUUGUACAAAAGGUGGUUGCCGGAACAGGUUCCGGCAACCGCGCCUUACGGGUAAAACUUACGAAGAUGCUCAAUGUUCCAGGAGUUGCUCACCGGAAUGCUAUCUUCGGUCUCAAGGCGGACAGCGCCAGGCCUAGUGACUCGUUUCACAUGGUAAGGGCCUUCCCACUUCGGGGUCAACUUGUUGGAAUUCUUGGCGGACUGAACACGCCGAAGAACAAGGUCGCCUUCCUCGAGACUUCUGGCGUUAACAUUGCGGCUAUGGUAGCGGCGCAAAGCUUGCUGGUAGCGAGCAGCUCGCACAGCGGCCUGAAGACGGUCUUCCUCAAGGAGCAGCGCGUCAUCUUGUCGCAGCUGCUCUUGCUCAAGCUCAUCAUAAGCGAGCACUCGAGGUGACCCGUAUACGAGUUCCGUGGGGAGAACUGCCUCUACUCCAUAGACUAGAGUGAAAGGUGUUUGGCCAGUGGCUCGAUUUGGCGUCGUCCUGAUCGACCAAAGAACCACCGGCAGCUCCUCGAUCCAGUUUCUUCCGCACUUGUGCAGCCUGUUGAAAGUUCUGGUCUUGAGCCCACGCAGCACUUUAGAAUUUGCCCUCUCCGCUUGACCGUUGCUUCUCGGGUGAGCAACAGAAGCGGAGCAGACCUUGGCGCCAAGAUCUUGGAUGUACUGCAUGAAGGUGCGGCUCAUGAAUUGCGUACCGUUGUCGGUAAUUAUCCUGUUAGGGAUCCCGAAGCGGCAAACAAUCGACCUGAAGAACUUGACUGCUGACUGUGCUGUCACCUUCCUCACUGCUUCCAUUUCCGGCCACUUUGUGAACUUGUCGAUUGCAACGUACAAGUACUCAAAGCCCCCGACUGCUCGGGGAAAGGGGCCGAGGAUGUCGAGCCCCCAGACCGAAAAUGGCCAGGAUAAAGGAAUCGUCUGGAGAGCUUGAGCUGGUUGGUGUAUCUGCUUGGAAUGGAACUGGCACGCUUCACACUUGGUUACUUGUGCAGUUGCAUCCUGGAGGGCUGUCGACCAAAAGAAACCUUGCCGGAAAGCUUUGCCGGCAAGUGCUCUUGCGCCAAUGUGGUGACCACAUAUGCCUCCAUGUAUUUCUGCCAACAGCUUUUGUCCGUCUUCCCGGUGAAUACACUUCAAUUUCACACCGUUGAGUCUUCUUCUGUACAGUGUCUUGUCGACAAACUGGUACAUACUUGACUGCCGGGCUACUCUUUCCGCUUCUUCUUGCUCUUCGAGAAGUUCUCCUGUCUGAAGGAAAUGGACAAUCCGCUGUGCCCAUGCUGGAGCUUGUGGCUCGACAACAAGGACUAAAGGCAAAACUGCUGCUGUGGGAACAUUCGCUUCUACGGCGAAAACCUGCGGCUCUGCCGGAGCUUGACGUUCCCCGGCAAGCUUGCCGGAGCAAAUCUUGUCGGGAGCUUCUGCUUCAAUGGAACAAACCCUAGGGCUUGCCGGAGCGGACUGCUCCUCAGCGCUUUUGGCGUUGAUCUUGGGGACCUUCUUGGCCAAAGGCAAAUCUGCUGCUGCGGGAACAUCCGCUUCUACGGCGAGAACCUGCGGCUCUGCCGGAGCUUGACGUUCCCCGGCAAGCUUGCCAGAGCAAAACUUGUCGGGAACUUCUGCUUCAAUGGAACAAACCCUAGGGCUUGCCGGAGCAAACUGCUCCUCAGCGCUCUUGGCGUUGAUCUUGGGGACCUUCUUGGCGGCGGCUUCGGGAAGCUCUGCCAGAAAAUAGUCACCAGAAAUCAACUUCCUCUUCUUGCUCUGUCCAGUUGAUGGCAUUAAAGACGGUUGAGUCAGCUUGAGCACAAAGAUCCCUGGUUCCACAGGUAACUUAAGUGCGGCGCACUUUGAUAGGCCAUCGGCAAUGGCGUUCUGAGCUCUUGGAACAUGCUCCAUUUGUAGGCCAUCAAAGUGCUCUUCUAGCUUUCUCACUUUGUCGACGUAGGCUUCCAUCAACGGACUCUGAUAACUCUUGUUCACUUGGCGGACGACAAGCUGCGAGUCACCCGUGACAAUGAGCUUCUUGAUCCCAAGGUCUGCCACGAUCCUGAGACCGGCAAGCAAGCCUUCAUACUCUGCAGUAUUGUUUGUCGCUUGCUCCUUGGGAAAGUGCAUCUGGACUACGUACUUGAGGUGCUCUUCGGUGGGUGCGACAAGCAGCACGCCAGCGCCAGCGCCUUGCAGGGAAAAGGCACCAUCAAAGUACAUCAACCACUCUUUGCUUGCUUCCUCGACGGGGAUGCUCGUUUCUGGAAUUUCUUCAUCUGGUGUUGGCGUCCAUUCUGCUAUGAAUUCUUCCAAUGCUCUGCUUUGGAUAGUUGAAGUACUUUCAAUCUUGAGGCCAAAGCUUGAUAGUUCCAGUGCCCACUCAACAAUCCUGCCUGUCGCUUCUGGAUUUUGCAGUAUCCUUUUCAGCGGAAAACGAGUGACAACUAUGAUCUCAUGUGCUUGGAAGUAAUGGUGCAGCUUUCUCGAGGCCAUGAGGAGGCCGAAAAGCAAUUUCUGCACGCCAGAGUACCUUGACCUAGCCCCCUGUAGAAGGGAACUGACAAAGUAGACUGGGCGCUGUACCAUUCUCUUCUGUAUCUCCUCGCGCGUCUGCGCAGAUCCAUCAUUAUCGGGACCAGAGCUUGUCGGGGAAGCCCCCUGCUUGUCGCUGGAUGCGCCUGCCGUGGUUGCUGGCUCGUCCUCUGCCUCCCUCUCUGCUACUAACGCAGCACUAACCACUUGAUUGGUUGCCGCUAUAUACAGCAGCAACUUCUCUUGUGGCUUAGGUGCGACAAGUGUUGGAGUGGAGGACAGGUAUCUCUUCAAGUCUUGCAGCGCAGCCUCCGCUUCCGGAGUCCAUUUCAUUGGACCUGCCUUUUUCAAUAUUUUGAAAAAUGGCAGGGCGCGCUCAGCAGACCUAGAGAUAAACCUGCUGAGAGCAGCCACGCAACGGGCAAGUCUUUGUACAUCCUUGGCGCGCUUUGGUGCUUCAAUCUGCUCAAUGGCCUUGAUCUUGUCGGGAUUGGCUUCGAUUCCCCACUGAGACACGAAGAACCUGAGAAGCUUGCCGGAGGAGACUCCAAACACACACUUCUCGGGGUUGAGCUUGAGGCUGAUCUUGCGCAGAUUUGCAAAGGUCUCGUCUAAAUCUUGAAUCAGAGUUGCCUUGUCCUUGCUCUUGACCACUAUGUCAUCCAUGUAGGCUUCCACAUUUUUGUGUAUUUGUGAUUCAAGAGCGACAUGGACUACCCUUGCAAAUGUUGAACCAGCAUUUUUAAACCGAAAGGCAUCUGUAUGAAACAGUACGUGCCACAUGGAGUGAUGAAUGCGGUCUUCUCCUCAUCCUCUUCUGCCAUGAAGAUCUGAUGGUAUCCUGAGUAUGCGUCAAGAAAUGAAAGCAAGUCACAUCCGGCCGUGGAGUCAACAAUCUGGUCAAUGCGCGGCAAAGGAAAUGGGUCUUUGGGACAAGCUUUGUUAACAUCGGUAAAGUCGAUACAAAGUCUCCAUUUCCCGUUCGCCUUGCGCACGACUACAGGAUUGGCCAACCACAUAGGAUGGAGCACUCCUCUGACAAGGCCUGCUGCUUCCAACUUCUUGAUCUCUUCUGCGAUGAAUUCUUGGCGCUCCACUGCUUGCUUCCUGACCUUUUGCUUAACGGGCCGCGCAUGAGGACAAACGGCAAGAUGGUGCUCAAUUACUUUCCUGGGAACACCGUGGAUGUCAGACGGUUGCCACGCAAACACGUCGACGUUCGCCCGCAGGAAAGCAAUGAGCGCGCUUUCCUAUUUAGGGUCAAGAGUGGCACUGAUGGUGAAGGUACCACCAGUGCCGUCCUCCUUGGCGGGCACCUUCUUGGUCCCUGGCGGAGCUGCCAUUAUCUUCUUACACUUGCCGGUGGAGCUCGAUGGUGCGUCCUCGACGGCAGCGCAGCACUCCGAAGAGGUGCGCUUUCCGGAGUGGGCAUCAGAACCCUUGCCGGACUUGGUCUUCUUCUUCCCCCCGGGAGCUUCAACGGCAGGUGAUUUGCAAUCUGUUGCGGCUGCUGCUUCCCGGUAGAUCUUGUCGGCGCAGAUAAGAGCAUCCUUCUUGUUACCAGGGACAGAGAUGAUGCUUAUCGGGCCUGGCAUCUUCAGCAUGUUGUAUGCGUAGUGAGAGGCUGCCAUGAACUUGGCGAGUGCUGGACGGCCGAGUAUCCCAUUGUAAGGCAAUGGAAAAUCGGCAACUUCAAAAGUGACCUUCUCAGUCCUGAAGUUCACCUCGCUGCCAAAUGUUACCGGCAACGUGACCUUUCCCUUUGGCUUGCUCCUUCCCGGGUUGAUUCCUUGGAAUGUGCCGGUCUCUUCAAGCUCGCUGUCAGGGAUCUGGAGUUUCUAGAGUACAGCGGAGAAGAUCAGGUUCAAGCCGGCCCCGCCGUCAACUAGCAUCUUAGUGACCUUGAGGUUGCGGAUAGUUGGUGAAACCAACAUCGGCAAGCACCCAACCGCAGUUGUGCGAUCAGGGUGGUCCUCAAUAUCAAAGAUGAUAGGCGUGCUGGACCAUUUCAGAAGCUUGCGUGACUCGACAGGUGGUUCCGCCGCAUUGACUUCCCGCACCCACUGCUUGAGUUGGCGGGUGCGAAGUAUGCAGAGAAGCACCACCGUCAACGCACAAGACCUCUGUGGCUUUCUGGAACUCCUGCUCACUGGUCUCGACAUCAUCCAUGUCUUCUUCGUCAUCGUCAUCUUCAUCCUUAUCGCAGCCGCGGGGAGGUCUGUCUCUUUGCCGCUGCUUGGCCUUGCCGCGGCGUCCUCCCCGGCCGGCACGCUUCUUGCCGGAUUCUCCAGCGCUUCCUUGGGCCCUCUCCUUGUCACGUCGCUCGUAUUCAGCCUUUUGCUGCUAGACAAGCUGUUUGACCUUCUUGCAGCUCUGGAGGUCAUGGCCCUUGGUGCGGUGGAUCUUGCAGUACUGCUUGUCGGUGUCGUCUUGCUUGUCGGCGACCGCCACAGCCUGGCAGUUGGUGCAUGCGGCAAUCUCCUUGCCGGAGCUACCAGUUUUGGCUUUCUUGGCGCCACCUUCGUUGCCGGACUGCUCAAUGACUAGCACAUCUUUGCCUUUCUUCUUUCUGUUGUUCCGCCGCCGGUUUUUCUUUGCCGGGGUAGCAUCCUCGCUGUCAGAUCCUCCUGCUCCUGUAUUCUCUCCGGGGAGUUUCCUCCCUUCCUCAGCACGUGCACACUUGUCGGCCAGGGCAUACAGCUCACUGACGUCUCGGAUCUUGCACAUCGCCAUCUCCUCCCGCAUCCUGCGGUUACGCACGUUCUGAUGGAACGCGCUGAUGACCGCGGCAGGGUGGACAUCUAGGAUGUUGUGCUGUACACGGCUGAAUCUCUGAAUGUACUUGCGCAGGGGCUCUCCUUCCUUCUGGGCGAGCAGAUGAAGGUCACUCUCUUGGCCAUGGGGUUUGUGGCCGCCUGUAAAGGCACCGACAAACUAAUGGCAUAGGUCUGCCCAGGAGGAUAUGGAGUCGUCCGGCAAGUGCAUGAGCCAGGACCUGACGUUGGGCUUGAGCACCAGCGGGAAGUAGUUGGCAAGGAUCUUGUCGUCCCGCCCCCCGGCAGCCUGCACCGCGAUGGUGUAGAUGCUGAGGAACUCCGACGGAUGCGACUUGCCGUCGUACUUCUCUGGUACGUCUGGCUUGAAAUUCUUCAUGCUGGGCCACUGGACUUGCCGCAGCUCACGAGUAAACGCAGGGCAACAUACCGCGUACGGCAAGUCGCCUGGUUCCCCUGGCGCAUGCAUGUCGACAGAGGGCCCAGCGCGCUGGUCCGAUUGACGUUGCACUUCUCUUCGGCGCUCGAUGCGAGUACGAGCGUCUUCUUGCUGUCGUUCGUGAAGAACUUGGCGCUGAUCGCGACGAGCUCGUGGAUCUGAUGAUGCGGUGGAGUCGCUGUUGAGGUGGAUCCGGUGAGUCAGCAAUCUUGGCCUUCGGGGUGGAGAGUGCAUAGUGGUUGCACCCCCACCGGUCUUGUCACCAUCGGCUCGUGCCUGGCUGACUUGCCGCGGCUGCGACGUGCUUGGCUGCCGUUGAGUGUCGCCGUUGGCGAAGCCGAUGAGGCUCUGAAUGGUGACCCUCCAGUCGUCGAUCUUGUCUGCCGUUGGAGGGUAGUCCAGGAGCAGCUGAGCUCGCGCCAAAGCUUCUGCUGGAGUGGCGGGUGGCGGUGGCGAACGGUGCGAGGAGCGGGAUAUGCUCGGACUUCUAACUAUGUUAGAAGGAGCAGUAUCCCGUCCAGGCGACCGUGCCUCGCUCGUGCCAGCAUGUUGGCGCGCAUGCUGGUCUUGAGCACUCCGAGAUCCACCAGCUCAAUCUUGAUCCAGCAAACGCAUGGUACCAUGAGUACCAUGACGCUGCCGUUCCCGCGCCUCCUGAGAUGGGUGCGGUGCAUGUACGGACGCUGAGGUCUUGAAGUGUGCCCGGUCGUUGUGGGAGCCGGCUACGCCGCCGAUGGGCAGCGCAGCCUUGUCCUUGGACCUGGCAGCACCAUGAGCUCCCUUGUCGACGCCCGUUCUUCCGUCGGCGUCUGCCCCAUCAGCCGUUUGCUCCGGCGGUGGUGGGUUCGGCGCGGACGGAGCAGCCGCCUCCGAAGCCUUCUUCUUCGGCGGCAUGUCGAUGAAGACGAUGAAGAUCUAGCUCGUGCGAACGCCGGAUCUAGUUCACACAACCUCGACGCCCCUACCUGGCGCGCCAAAGAUGCCAGGGUACUAAUCCACGAGCACCUAUGGGACCGGCGGACCGAGUCCCUUUCGGUUUGGCGGGGGCGGCGGUCGCACGAAGAGCGGAUCGAGGCGAAGCACACGAGCAGUUUACCCAGGUUCAGGCCGCACGGAUGCGUAAAACCCUACUCCUGCUUUGUGGUUUGUAUUGAGUUCUUGCUCGGGAGCGCGGAGUGCUACAGUACACCCCAGCAGCUAACGAGACCGAGCGUGAGUGUCCUCUUCCCCCCUUUCUACGUUGCGCAUGGGCCUCCUUUUAUAUGCUCAAGGGGUCACCCACAGGUGGCAACAUAGACAAGGGUAAAAAUGGAAAGGUGUUGCGGUUGGUAUAACUACCUGCUACAGUGUAUCAUACCUAACCCUGACGGCAGGGGACAAGGGCAUUAAAUGCCCGUCUGCGUCGCCUAAAUAGUGCAAAAGGGACCGUCAGGGACGCCACCGCUCGCCACGAUGGCGAUCUUGUCAGCGCCGCUUGCCACUGCUCACCACUGGCUGCACAGCCUCCCGCCACGUACGCCUGGAAGGGUCCCAGAGUGACACGUUGUUGGAUGUGCUGGAGCGCGGGCACAGAGUGGUGGCUUGCCGUGGCAAGCGCCUUGCCGCGGUCGUUGUCUUGUCGCGUCCGAGAGCAUGUCGCUCACCGGGCCUUGCCGGGACGUGUGGCGCGUCGCGGCAAGUUCCUUGAGAUGCCUUGGUUGGCCUUCCCGGCAAGCUCCUCUUGCCGGGGUCUUGUCUCCUUGGCUUGGAUACUUUGUCCUUGAAUGGCUCCAAAGGAACCACGGAGGACCUUGGCGGUCACCCGGCAGGCCUUGCCGCGGGAUGCUGCGACUGCCCGUGCACAAGUUCGGGAUACUAGGGUACCCCUACUCUAGUACACCGACACUGGGCUGGGCCUCCGGUUAAUAGGUUAGUCCCAAAAAUAAUAUAAAAGUGGAUAAUAAAGCCCAAUAUUGCCCAAAACAGUAGAUAAUAUAGCAUGGAGCAAUCAAAAAAUAUAGAUACAUUGGAGACGUAUCAAGCAUCCGCAAGCUUAAUUCUUGCUCGUCCUCGAGUAGUUAAAUGAUAAAAAAGAUAUUUUUUGAUGUGGAAUGCUAGUUGGCAUAAUUUCAAUGUAAUUCUUCUUACUUGUGAUAUGAAUAUUCAGAUCCGAAAGAUUCAAGAGAAGAGUUCAUAUUGACAUAAAAAUGAUAAUACUUCAAGCAUACUAACUAAGCAAUUAUGUCUUCUCAAAAUAACAUGGCCAAAGAAAGUUCAUCCCUACAAAAUCAUAUAGUUUAGUCAUGUUUCAUUUUCGUCACACAAGAAUGCUAUCAUCAUGCACAACCCCGAUGACAAGCCAAGCAAUUGUUUCAUACCUUAAUAAUUUCAAACUCAUAAACUUUCACGCAAUACAUGAGCGUGAGCCAUGGAUAUAGCACUAUGGGUGGAAUAGAAUAUAAUGAUGGGGGUUGUGUGGAGAAGACAAAAAAGGAGAAAGUCUCACAUCAACGAGACUAAUCAAUGGGCUAGGGAGAUGCCCAUCGAUUGAUGUUAAUGCGAGGAGUAGGAAUUGCCAUGCAACGGAUGCACUAGAGCUAUAAAUGUAUGAAAGCUCAACAAAAGAAACUAAGUGGGUGUGCAUCCAACUUGCUUGCUCAUGAAGACCUAGGGCACUUGAGGAGGCCCAUUGUUGGAAUGUACAAGUCAAGUUCUAUAAUGAAAAAUUCCCACUAGUAUAUGAAAGUGAUAACUCAAGAGACUCUCUAUAUGAAGAACAUGGUGCUACUUUGAAGCACAAUAUAUGAGACUCGCUAUAUCAUGGCGCUACUUUGAAGCACAAGUGUGGGAAAAAGGAUAGUAACAUUGCCCCUUUUUGUUUUUUGUUUUUUUGGGCCUUCUUUUUUUUCUUUGGCCUUUUUUUGGGACAAUGCUCUAUUGAAUGAUGAUCAUCUCACUUCUAUUUAUUUACAACUCAAUGAUUACAGCUCGAUACUAGAACAAAGUAUGACUCUAUAUGAAUGCCUCCGGCGGUGUACCGGGAUAUGCAAUGAAUCAAGAGUGACAAGUAUGAAAAAUUAUGAACGGUGGCUUUGCCACAAAUACUAUGUCAACUACAUGAUCAUGCUAAGCAAUAUGACAAUGAUGAAUGUGUCAUGAUAAACUGGAUGGUGGAAAGUUGCAUGGCAAUAUAUCUCGGAAUGGCUAUGGAAAUGCCAUAAUAGGUAAGUAUGGUGUCUGUUUUGAGGAAGAUAUAAGGAGGUUUAUGUGUGAAAGAGCAUAUCAUAUCACGGGGUUUGGAUGCACCGGCGAAGUUUGCACCAACUCUCAAUGUGAGAAAGGGCAAUGCACGGUACCGUAGAGGCUAGCAAUGAUGGAAGGGUGAGAGUGCGUAUAAUCCAUGGACUCAACAUUAGUCAUAAAGAACUCACAUACUUAUUGCAAAAAUCUACAAGUCAUCAAAAACCUCGGCACUACGCGCAUGCUCCUAGGGGGAUAGAUUGGUAGGAAAAGACCAUCGCUCAUCCCCGACCGCCACUCAUAAGGAGGACAAUCAAAUAACACGUCAUGUUUCAAAUUUGUUACACAACGUUUACCAUAUGUGCAUGCUACGGGACUUGCAAACUUCAACACAAGCAUUUCUCAAUUUCACAACUACUCAACUAGCACGACUUUGAUAUUAUUACCUCCAUAUCUCAAAACAAUCAUCAAGUAUCAAACUUCUCUUAGUAUUCAACACACUCAUAAGAGAAUUUUAUUAUUCUUGAAUACCUUGCAUAUUAGGAUUUUAAGCAAAUUACCAUGCUAUUUAAGAUUCUGAAAAUAAUAUAAGUGAAGCAUGAGAGUUCAUCUCUUUCUUCAAAAUAAAACUACCACCAUGCUCUAAAAGGUAUAAGUGAAGCACUAGAGCAAAUGACAAACUACUCCGAAAGAUAUAUGUGAAGAUCAAUGAGUAGUUUAAUAAUUAUGCAACUAUGUGAAGACUCUCUAACAUUUAAUAAUUUCAGAUCUUGGUACUCUGUUCAAAAAGCAAGCAAAGCAAAAUAAAAUGACAUCUAAGAAUAGCAAACAUCAUGUGAAGAAGCAGAAACUUAGGAUCAACCGAAACUAACCGAUAGCUGUUAAAGAAGAAAGGUGGGAUGCCAACCGGGGCAUCCCCAAGCUUAGAUGCUUGAGAAUUCUUGAAAUAUUAUCUUGGGAUGCCUUGGGCAUCCCCAAGCUUGAGCUUUUGUGUCUCCUUAAUUCCUCUCAUAUCACGGUCUCCCUAAAUCUCAAAAGCUUCAUCCACACAAAACUCAACAAGGACUCGUGAGAUAAGUUAGUAUAAACCAUUGCCAAAACCUUAUUAUACUCUAGUGUAGAAAAUCACUAAAAUUCUUAUUCAACAUUGCAUACUAAAUGCCUCUGCAUAUUUAAUAGUCCUAUCCUCAAAUAGAAUCAUUAAAUAAGCAAACAUAUGCAAACAAUGCAAACAUAACAGCAAUCUGCCUAAACAGGAUAGUCUGUAAAGAAUGCAGCAACAUACAUACUUCCCUAGCUCCAAAAAUUAUGAAAUAAAAUUCCCACUGUAGUAAAUUUAUCAGACCUUAAUAUGCAAAAGGUUUGAACAUUUUAUCACAUUCUGACUUUUCUAGGGAAUUAUUGCAACAGCGGUAAUCUUUCUGUUUUCAAACAGCAACAUGUAUAAUUGUAACCUACGCAUAGUAAAGGCUAUCAAUGCCACUUUUAUUGAAAUAAAAGAUGCAAAACAUUAUUAUAAAUAACAGCAAGCAAAUCCUAACAAAAUAAAAUGAUGCUCCAAGCAAAACAUAUAUCAUGUGGCGAAUAAAAAUAUAGCUCCAAGUAAAGUUACCGAUGAACGAAGACGAAAGAGGGGAUGCCUUCCGGGGCAUCUCCAAGCUUAGGCUCUUGGUUGUCCUUGAAUAUUACCUUGGGGUGCCUUGGGAAUCCCCAAUAUUAGUCUCUUGCCACUCCUUAUUCCGUAGUCCAUCAAAUCUUUACCCAAAACUUGAAAACUUCACAACACAAAACUUAACAGAAAACUCGUAAGCUCCGUUAGUAUAAGAAGGUAAAUCACCACUUCAAGGUACUGUAAUAACUCAUUCUUUAUUUAUAUUGGUGUUAAACCUACUGUAUUACAACUUCUCUAUGGUUUAUAAACUAUUUUACUAGCCAUAGAUUCAUCAAAAUAAGCAAAUAACACAUGAAAAACAGAAUCUGUCAAAAACAGAACAGUCUGUAGUAAUAUGGAUCAAACGUAUACUUCUGUAACUCAUAAAAUUCGAAAAUAAAUUUCUGGACCUGAGGAAUUUAUCUAUUAAUCAUCUUCAAAAAUAAUUAACUAAAUAGCACUCUCCAAAUAAAAAUGGCAGCAAUUCUCGUGAGCGCUAAAGUUUCUGUUUUUUACAGCAUGAUCAACAAGACUUUCCCGAAGUCUUCCCAAAGGUUCUACUUGGCACAAACACUAAUUGAACACAUAAAACCACAUCUAAACAGAGGCUAGAUGAAUUAUUUAUUACUAAAAAGGAACAAAAAGCAUGGAAUAAAAAUAAAAUUGGGUUGCCUCCCAACAAGCGCUAUCGUUUAAUGCCCCUAGCUAGGCAUGACGAUUUCAAUGAUGCUCACAGAAAGGAUAAGAAUUGAAACAUAAAGAGAGCAUCAUGAAGAAUAUGAAUAGCACAUUUAAGUCUAACAUACUUCCUAUGCAUAGGGAUUUUGUGAGAAAACAACUUGUGGGAACAAGAAUCAACUUGCCUAGGAAGGUAAAACAAGCAUAACUUCAAAAUUUUAAGCACAUAGAGAGGAAACUUGAUAUUAUUGCAAUUCCUACAAGCAUAUGUUCCUCCUUCAUAAUAAUUUUCAGUAGCAUCAUGAAUGAAUUCAACAAUAUAACCAGCACCUAAAGAAUUCUUUUCAUGAUCUACAAGCAGAGAAAAUUUACUACUCUCCACAUAAGCAAAAUUCUUCUCAUGAAUAAUAGUGGGAGCAAACUCAACAAAAUAAUUAUCAUGUGAGGCAUAAUCCAAUUGAAAACUAAAAUCACGACGACAAGUUUCAUGGAUAUCAUUAUUCUUUAUAGCAUACAAGUCAUCACAAUAAUCAUCAUAGAUAGCAACUUUGUUCUCAUAUCAAUUGGAACCUCUUCCGAAAUAGUGGAUUCAUCACAAAAUAAAGUCAUGACCUCUCCAAAUCCACUUUCAUCAAUAUAAUCAUCAUAAAUAGGAGACAUGCUUUCAUCAUAAUAAAUUUGCUCAUCAAAACUUGGGGGACAAAAAAUAUCAUCUUCAUCAAACAUAGCUUCCCCAAGCUUGUGGCUUUGCAUAUCAUUAGCAUCAUGGAUAUUCAAGGAAUUCAUACUAACAAAAUUGCAAUCAUGCUCAUCAUUCAAAUAUUUAGUGCCAAACAUUUUAUAGAUUUCUUCUUCUAGCACUUGAGCACAAUUAUCCUUUCCAUCAUACUCACGAAAGAUAUUAAAAAGGUGAAGCGUAUGAGACAAACUCAAUUCCAUUUUUUUAUAUUUUUCUUUUAUAAACUAAACUAGUGAUAAAACAAGAAACUAAACUCGAUUGCAAGAUCUAAAGAUAUACCUUCAAGCACUCACCUCCCCGACAACAGCGCCAGAAAAGAGCUUGAUGUCUACUACACAACCUUCUUCUUGUAGACGUUGUUGGGCCUACAAGUGCACAGGUUUGUAGGACAGUAGCAAAUUUCCCUCAAGUGGAUGACCUAAGGUUUAUCAAUCCGCAGGAGGCAUAGGAUGAAGAUGGUCUCUCUCAAGCAACCCUGCAACCAAAUAACAAAGAGUCUCUUGUGUCCCCAACACACCCAAUAUAAUGGUAAAUUGUAUAGGUGCACUAGUUCGGUGAAGAGAUGGUGAUACAAGUGUAGUAUGGAUAGUAGAUAAUAGUUUUUGUAAUCUGAAAUAAUAAAAACAGCAAGGUAGCAAGUGAUAAAAGUGAGCAUAAAUGGUAUUGCAAUGAGUUGAAACAAGGCCUAGGGUUCAUACUUUCGCUAGUGUAAGUUCCCUCAACAAUACUAACAUAAUUGGAUCACAUAACUAUCCCUCAACAUGCAACAAAGAGUCACUCCAAAGUCACUAAUAGCGGAGAAUGAACGAAGAGAUUAUGGUAGGGUACGAAACCACCUCAAAGUUAUUCUUUCCAAUCAAUCCGUUGGGCUAUUCCUAUAAGUGUCACAAACAGCCCUAGAGUUCGUACUAGAAUAACACCUUAAGACACAAAUCAACCAAAACCCUAAUGUCACCUAGAUACUCCAAUGUCACCUCAAGUAUCCGUGGGUAUGAUUAUACAAUAUGCAUCACACAAUCUCAGAUUCAUCUAUUCAACCAACACAAAGGACCUCAAAGAGUGCCCCAAAGUUUCUACCAGAGAAUCACGAUGAAAACGUGUGCCAACCCCUAUGCAUAGGUUCCCAAUGUCACAAAACCCGCAAGUUGAUCACCAAAACAUACAUCAAGUGGAUCAAUAGAAUAAUCCAUUGUCACCACGGUUAUCCCACGCAAGACAUACAUCAAGUGUUCUCAAAUCUAUAAAGACUCAAUCCGAUAAGAUUACUUCAAAGGGGAAACUCAAUUCAUUACAAGAGAGAAGAGGGGGAGGAGAAACAUAAGAUCCAACUAUAAUAGCAAAGCUCGCGAUACAUCAAGAUCGUAUCGUCUCAAGAACACAAGAGAGAGAGAUCAAACACAUAGCUACUGAUACAUACCCUCAGCCCCGAGGGAGAACUACUCCCUCCUCGUCAUGGAGAGCGCCGGGAUGAUGAAGAUGGCCACCGGUGAGGGAUCCCCCUCCGGCAGGGUGCCGGAACAGGGCCCCGAUUGGUUUUUGGUGGCUACGGAGGCUUCUGGCGGCGGAACUCCCGAUCUAAUCUCCGUUCUGGAAGUUUUAGGGUAUAUGGAGCUAUAUAGGCAGAAGAAGCACGUCAGGGGAGUCAUGGGGGCCCCACGAGGCAGGGGGCGCGCCCUAGGGGGGUGGGCACGCCCCCACCCUCGUGGGCAACUCCCGUAUCUUCUGACGUGAGGUUCAAGUCCAUCAGGUGUGUUUCCUUCCAAAAAUAACUUCUCCAGUUGAUUUCGUUCCGUUUCGACUCCGUUUGAUAUUCCUUUUCUUCAAAACACUAAAAUAGGCAUAAAACAGCAAAUCUGGGCUGGGCCUCCGGUUAAUAGGUUAGUCCCAAAAAUAAUAUAAAAGUGGAUAAUAAAGCCCAACAUUGCCCAAAAUAGUAGAUAAUAUAGCAUGGAGCAAUCAAAAAUUAUAGAUACGUUGGAGAUGUAUCAGGGUGUUAGUCACGUGGAGAUGUGAACUAAUCACAUAAAGAUGUGAACUAUUGGUGUUAAAUCACAUGACGAUGUGAACUAGAUUAUUGACUCUAGUGCAAGUGGGAGACUGAAGGAAAUAUGCCCUAGAGGCAAUAAUAAAGUUGUUAUUCAUAUUUCCUUAUAUCAUGAUAAAUGUUUAUUAUUCAUGCUAGAAUUGUAUUAACCGGAAACUUAGUACAUGUGUGAAUACAUAGACAAACAGAGUGUCCCUAGUAUGCCUCUACUUGACUAGCUCGUUAAUCAAAGAUGGUUAAUUUUCCUAGCCAUGGACAUGUGUUGUCAUUUGAUGAACGAGAUCACAUCAUUAGAGAAUUAUGUGAUGGACAAGACCCAUCCGUUAGCUUAGCAUAAUGAUCGUUCAGUUUUAUUGCUACUACUUUCUUCAUGACUUAUACAUGUUCCUCUGACUAUGAGAUUAUGCAACUCCCAAAUACAAGAGGAACACCUUGUGUGCUAUCAAACAUCACAACGUAACUGGGUAUUAUAAAGAUGCUCUACAGGUGUCUCCAAUGUUGUUUGUUGAGUUGGCAUAGAUCGAGAUUAGGAUUUGUCACUCCGUCAAUCGGAGAGGUAUCUCUGGGCCCUCUCGGUAAUGCACAUCACAAUAAGCCUUGCGGGCAAUAUGAAUAAUGAGUUAGUUGCGGGAUGGUGCAUUACGGAACGAGUAAAGAGACUUGCCGGUAAUGAGAUUGAACUAGGUAUUGAGAUACUGACGACCGAAUCUCGGGCAAGUAACAUACCGAUGACAAAGGGAACAAUGUAUGUUGUUAUGCGAUUUGACCGAUAAAGAUCUUCGUAGAAUAUGUGGGAGACAAUAUGAAUAUCCAGGUUCCGCUAUUGUUUAUUGACCGGAGACAUGUCUCGGUCAUGUCUACAUAGUUCUCGAACCCGUAGGGUCCGCACGCUUAACGUUCGGUGACGAUUGGUAUUAUGAUUUUAUGUGUUUUGAUGAACCGAAGAUUGUUCGGAAUCUCGGAUGUGAUCAUGGGCAUGACGAGGAGUCUUGAAAUGCUCGAGACAUAAAGAUCGAUAUAUUGGAAUCCUAUGUUUGGACAUCGGAAAGGUUUCGAGUGAGUUCAGGCAUAUACCGGAGUACCAGGGGGUUAUCGGAACCCCUCGGGGAGUAUAUGGGCCGUAAUGGGCUUUAGUGGAGAGAGAGAGAGCGAGAGAGAGGCAGCCAGGGCAGGCCGCGCACCCCCUUCCCCUCUGGUCCGAAUUGGACUAGGAAGGGGGGCGGUGCCCCCCUUUCCUUCCUCCCUGUCUCCCCCUUCCUUCUCUCCUAGUCCAACUGGGGAAGGGGGGAAUCCUACUCCCGGAGGGAGUAGGACUCCUCCAGGGCGCACCAUAGAGGGUCGGCCCUCCCCCCUCCUCCACUCCUUUAUAUACGAGGGAGGGGGCACCCCAUAGACACACAAGUUGAUCAUUGAUCUUUUAGCCGUGUGCGGUGCCCCCCUCCACCAUAAUCCACCUCGGUCAUAUCGUAGCCGUGCUUAGGUGAAGCCCUGUUCCGGUAGCAUCAUCAUCACCAUCAUCACGCCGUCGUGCUGACGAAUCUCUCCCUCGACACUCUGCUGGAUAGUGAGUUCGUGGGAUGUCACUGAGCCGAACGUGUGCAGAUCACGGAGGUGUCGUAACUUCGGUACUAGGAUCGGUCGAUCGUGAAGACGUACGACUACAUCAACCACUUUGUCAUAAUGCUUCCGCUUACGGUCUAUGAGGGUACGUAGAUAAUACUCUCCCCUCUUGUUGCUAUGCAUCACCAUGAUCUUGCGUGUGCGUAGGAAUUUUUUUUGAAAUUACUGUGUUCCCCAACACUGGCCCACAAAUUUACACCGGCAUCUGUCUGAGGACACUGAUGGAUGCCAUCCAAUGUUGCCCGCAUACCUUUCGACAACUAUAUGAACUAACUGGACGAAAUUCAUGCAAACAAAGAAAAUUCAAAUUAACCGGAUGAAAUUCAUUACAUUUAGAAAACUUUUCCUACAAACUGGACGAAAUCCAUUACAUAUUUCACACAACCGUACUAAAACCUACUGUAAACCUAAUCUAAACGAUCGUCGGCGCCCGACCACCAUGUACGGCCAUGAACCCGAGAAAACCGGCUAUUGCCUUUGCCUCCUCCUCAUCCGCCUCGAUAACCUCCUCCUUCGGAGCACAAGGUUUUGAAGAUUUCCGCCUCCACAUUGCCGUCAAGCGGCUAAUCGGCUGCCAAUGUUUAUCCCACCAAGCAUGGCGUCGACUGAGUGGAGGAGCAGUGGCCUUCCUGGGAGCUGAGCGGUGGCAACCUACCAUGUACUACUCUACCUCACUGUCAGCUGCGCCCGCACACGCACGCCGGCUUCAUGGUAGUGGCGGCAGAGGGCGGCCGGGUGGGAGCCGGCAAUCUCCUUCAUCUGCUCCUGCGACAGUACGUCCAAGAGAGCUUUGGAGCCCGCCUGGAGCGAAGCCACCAAUGUCCUUCGUCUUCUCCUGCGAUAGUACGUCCAAGAGAGCUUUGGAGCGCCAGGAGGCCAUGGUUGGAGUGGUGCCGACAGAAGGAAGGGACCGGAGGAGAAUGAGUGUGGGUCUUUGGCUAUGGCUGGGAGCUGGGGCUCAAGUUAAUAUAGCGGGCGAAUGGCAAUGAGCCGCGGCAGAUGGAAGGACGGCUGGCGCCAGAGUAGGUUUUUGAGGCGUGAAUGUGGAUGCUGCAUCACUGACUUAACUGCAGGUACGUUGGGUCACUGACAUGUGGGCCCAAUGGGCAGCUGGCCCGCAUGUCAGUGACACACCAACUGCGCAUGUAGUUAAGUCCGGUGAAUGCGGCAUUGACGUUCUGGAGAGACGGUGACCGUUUCAGGCGGGAAGCGUGCGCUAGCGAUGGAAGGGGUUUCGGUAGGCCAAGGCGGUCAGACCCUGGCGUGGUGGUAAAAUGUGAACUCAUGGAUGACGAGCCUUUGAAGUGUAUCCGGCAUGUAUUGACAACCAGGCGUCCAUGCAACCAAUCUUGUCACCAGCUAGCCUUCGACGACCACCAUUAGACACCACACAACCAUGCAUAACUUACGAAUAAUGGACGAAUCGAUCAGACACACACUCGUGUGCUGUGGCACUAUGAUCGGUCGCUCACGAUAGUACAUACUCCGUACCAUAGUACCCUCUCUAGUUAGGUUGUUUUAUAUAUUGUCGUUGUGAUGGACGAUAUAGAUGAGAAAGGCGCUGAGUCCCGAGUAUGACCGUUGGUGUUGAGCUAGGUGAAUACAUGCUCGGAGUUUGUGGAGGCCUCCAUCAAACGUCUAAACAGUAAUGUCAUGCACCGCCGGGGCGCGCAGGUGACGGGCUCGCCAUUUGCGCUGCACCAUGAGCAGGACUUUGAUUGAGAGGGCGACGUGCAUGCAUUAGCAUGCAUGGUUUGACAUCUGAGCGUGAGUGUCUGCACGUGUACAUGCUACUUGCCUCUAUGGACGGUGUGCGCUAAUGUGUGCAUCACGUAUAAUAUAAUGAUCAAAGUGAGCUAUCAACACAUGUUCGAUGAUCGCCAAUGCAUUUUACUCGGUAAUAAAUGACCAGGAUUGAAGGGGAAUCCAAAUUUCCUUCGUCUUCUGUCCUUGAGCUCUUGACAAACCAAUGCACUAUACGGUUGUCUGGCCACUCCACCCCAGAGCUCUCACCAAACGCGUUCAUGCCACCGCGCCACACACUAACUGGUAAGGAAGCGAUGGCAUCCCGCCGCGCCGAGUUCCUCGCCGCCCACGACCGCACACAAAAUGGUAGGGAAGCGAUGGCAUCCCGCCGUGCCAAGUUCAUCGCCGCUCGCGACCUCACACCUACGUGGGCAGAAUUUGAAGCUGCCAAGGCCGAAUGGGCGGUAGAGCAAGAGGCGGCCAAAGCCGCACAGAGGGAGCGGAGAAGUCAGAAAGCACUCAAGAAAAGAGAGGGCCACCGCCGCAAGAAAGAAGAGGAUGCACACGCUGCUGCAGAGAGGUCGGCGCAGAUCCAAGCACGGUGGGGUGUCGCCCACAAAGCCGAGAAGGAGAACGACGGCGUCUGGCCAGCAUGUGAGAAGUAGUAGUACUAGUAGUUAGUGUGUGUGUCUGUGUCUGUGUCUGAGUACGAGCAUGUACCAGUACUACUAUUUACUACUGUAGUUUUAGAGCAAAUUACCAGUACAUUAGCCUAGACUCAAUGGAAAAAUUCCUAUCCUAUGCAUCAAAUGGCAUCUCUUUCUCUAUAGGAAUUGAGAUGCAUGUUAUCUCACUUCUUAUGAUUUUCAUAUUCCUAUAAAAUUCCUAUCCUGUGAACGAAAGGAGGCCUCUGCUGGAGUAACUACUGUAGCUAGUAGUACUGCUGGUACAGUAGUUUUCUUCAAGAAGCAGAGUUUAGCAAAGCCAUGAUGGUUCCUUCCUCCAAGCAACUUCACAGUGGGAAAGGUUGGGCCUGUGAUUUGACGGCUCAUUAGUCAUUAUUACUGCGGCGUGACGACCGGGGUGACUCUCCCUUGGAGUUCUGCAUGCAUGUCAAGUGGACCAAGAUGGUCGACGUCCCACAUGUUGGCAAACGAAAGUAUUCUUUCCGAUAUCGAGGAGCAAGGAAACCGCGUGGUAUAGUAUCACUGCUGAUUUAUAUUUUUUUUCUGAUGAAUGCUAGCGUUUCAACUCUUACGACGAAGGAGUGCCAAAUACGGCACGUGUUGGAUGUCAAACACAUCAGCGAAAGGAGUGGGACAUGAACAACGUGGUAGAGCGUCUCCACUUCUUCCACUUCUGGGUCAGAAACCACACAUAGUAGUACUAGUGGUAUGAAUGAUAAAAAGUGCGACCCGGAGAGAAAUACAUGUCUAGUUGGAAGGUCUCGGGGCAUACACGUAAACAAAUAUAAAACCUAAUAUGUGCCUCCAAUUAAUAUAGUAGUAGUAGAGUACUUAGGCACGUACUCCAUAACAUCACCGUGCAUUGCACGUACAACAUUUAGUGGUACGUAGUAAGAGAAAAAUGCCUAUAUGCCAUGCAUGUUCAUACUAUUUGUGCCUUUCUACUUCACUUACUGCGCUACAUUACUUAGGUUCGUACGUCCACUCCUGGGUACAUGUCCAUCUCGUAGUUCUAGUCCCACAUGUUCUUCCUAGAUGGAACGAUCCAUAUCAUCGCAGUUAGUGUGGCUCCCCACGAUGGAGACUCAUCCAAACUAUGGCCAGCCUCGAUGCGGAGCAGUCGCGUGCACCGGGAAGCAACGCUCUCUCGGCCGUCGUGCUGCUUCAAAGUCGGCGCCAGCGAGAGGUCGCCUCCGCUCUGGCCGGGCAUUAAUGCGGCACUGACGCUCCAGGGAGACGCUGUCCGUUUCACGCGGGAAGCGUGCGCUGGCAAGGGAGUAUUGGUUUUGAACCAUUUUAGGUGUAGUACUAGUAGUUUGCAAAACUACUCACUUAUUGCACUCAGUUUCCUAAGAAAUUGUGGUAAAAAUGUUACUCCAUAGCCCGCUUACCUUCUCCUUCCUCUUCCAUCGCCCGCGCAUGUCUGCGGGAAGCAACCGGUCAACCCUUAUAUAGGAGUGCUAGCACAAAAAGAUGCAUGCAUGGCCAAUAAAAUUUCCAGAUUAAAGCGCCAUGUCAUUACCUUCGGCCGGGCCAUGGCUACCGGGCAACGACGACCAGAGAAGAGGCGGCGAGAGGGGAAUGAAUGCAGCUACUGUUUGGGUUCGCCAUCCGGCUUAAAUAAAUGCGCACCAUCAUGUGUACCCACGGGUGCACAAAUUGUAACAUACGUGUCUGCUUAAGUGGGCGUCACGUAACUGGUGUGUGAGAGAGAUUCUGAGAGACAGAGUGCGUGUGCGCGACUCUACUCUUCGGACAUGUACUCAACCUUUUGCAUCGGGAUAUAAGUAUAAUGGUAUUACACUUUAGCUAGUGAUUUUACGUGGCCAUGUUAACAUGGUUGUGUAAAAAAUGUCACUUCCUGCUCGUGAUUUGCGUUAUAUAAUUACAAGCAAGAUGCUCGUGCAUUGCACAGAACAUCAAUAUGCAUUUUUUACAAAACACCUAUUGUGAUUGACCCAUGCAGGAGUAAUCCCAUGUGUAAAAACUAAUGAUAUCUCGAGAAUUUUAUUGGAAAACUGGUAUCUCGAGAAUUUCAUCGAAAAAAUGAAAGAUGGGAGAUAAGGUGAGGAGGAGUGGAGCGUGGUGGUGACUGGUGGUCGGACUGGGCGGAGGCAUGGGGAUGGACGGGACUGGUAGGUGGUAGCGGCCACCAUGCUAGAUUGUUCCAGAGACUUCCUUUUUUAAUUUCUCAGCAAUGAGGUUGUGGGAGAUAAGGAUGUGGAGAGAGGUGCGGGUAUCUUUUGAAAAAUUAUCAUAGUUUGCUUUCUAUCCGUCAGAUAUAGAUCGGACGGUUUAUAUUACAAGAUGGGAGGCACACCAUCAUCACCAACUCAUUUUUUAUAAGAGUAGAGAUGAUAAGUUUUCUAACUACUAAAGUAAAGUGGAAUUUGUCCAUGUUAUACAAGUAAAUUAAGGUGAUUGUUUAUCAUACGGGUAAGGUUGGACGAAGGGUGGUAGGAACAAAUGCUCCGCCUAAAGCAUGUGUGUGUUAGAUGGAGUCUUAGUUUGUGCGUGUGUGUCUGGGGGGUGGGGGUGGGUGUGUGCGUGUGUGUGAGAGAGAUGGAGUCUUAGUGUGUGGGGGGUGGGUGGGUGCGUGCGUCGUGUGUGGGGUGGGUGGGUGUGUGUGAUGCGGGUGUCAGUGUCAAAACUGGCGGAUCUCGGGUAGGGGGUCCCAAACUGUGCAUCUAAGGUUGAUGGUAACAGGAGACAGGGGACACGAUGUUUACCCAGGUUCGGGCCCUCUCUAUGGAGGUAAUACCCUACGUCCUGCUUGAUUGAUCUUGAUGAAUAUGAUUAUUACAAGAGUUGAUCUACCACGAGAUCGUAAUGACUAAACCCUAAAAGUCUAGUCUGGCUAUGAUUAUGAGGAUUCGACCUAUCUACGGACCUAGCCCUCCGGUUUAUAUAGACACGGGAGGGAUCUAGGGUUACACAAGGUCGGUUAGAAAGAAAGGAAUCUUCAUAGUUGGUCGCCAAGCUUCCCUUCCACGCCAAGGAGAGUCCUAUCCGGACACGGGUGCAGUCUUCGGUCUUCGUGUUCUUCACAGCCCAUCAGUCCGGCCCAUGGCUAACAGGCCGGACACCCGAGGACCCCUUAGUCCAGGACUCCCUCAGCAGCCCCUGAACCUGGCUUCAAUGACAAGGUAUCCGACGCAUAGAUCUGUCUUCGGCAUUGCAAGGCGGGUUCCUCCUUCCGAACUCCAAGAUAGUCUACGGACGUAAUGAUCGUGUCCAGACCUGUAACGUAAGUACCACAGCCAUAGAGCAUAGUAUUUUACGAGUCCAAUUUGUUGAUAAUUUUUAUAACAUGACAUCAUGCUCGCCCGGUUAUUUAUUUCGAACUGUUUCCUAUCCCACUAUUCCACGUUUCGAGGUGUGGUUGUUAUUGGCACGUCCUGUCAAAGCAGAGAUCGUGUCCCCUUAUUGCGGGAUUCUCAUCAAUGCGAGCGUGGGUAACCCAACCGUUCUGUUGGAAAGAUUCCUUAGGAAUAGGCAAGUCUUCAGGCUCAGGAGGAGGUGUUCAAUACCCGGUACCUUUAUAAAGGAACCAAGGGCCGUCUUUUUAUGCCAAACCUCUCCUCAGCCUUUCCAACCUCAAGUUCUAGCACCCAAGGUUCAACUCCAUAACUCCAAGCUUCCCCAUCAUGUCCGAACCCAGCCCUCAAGGUUGGUGGGUGGCGUCCUUCAUUAUAGAGGAGGAUAUCGCAAAGCUUCGGGUGGCCAGAUACCUGACCGCGAAGAUCUCCCAUAGACUUCCUGCUCAAGGACAGGUUAUUCCGACCCCCAGAUCCGGCGAGUGGGUCAUAUUCAUAUCUCACUUCCUCCGAGGGCUAGGGUUCACUCUCCACCCCUUUGUCUGGGGGCUAAUGUUUUAUUAUGGACUAGAUUUUCACGAUCUAGCUCCGGAUUCUUUCCUCCAUGUCUCGGCGUUUAUCAUCACGUGCGAGGCCUUCCUCCGAAUCCCCCCACACUUCGGCCUAUGGCUCAAGACCUUUAGUGUGAAGCCGAAGAUAGUCGACGGGGAACAGGCGGAGUGUGGUGGUGUUAUAGUAAGCAAGCUUACCAACACUCUCUGGCCAAAAGGCUCCUUCACUGAGACUUUCAACCAAUGUCAGCGAGAGUGGUUUUACAUCACGGAACCCCGUAGCACCAAGUGGGCAGCUAUACCUGCAUUCUGUUCUGGUCCUCCGUUAUAGCUUGCAUAAUGGAUCAAUAUGGGGCUGGACUGGGGAUUAGUUGAUGAAGUGCAGACCCUACAGAGCCGCAUCCGAACCCUCCUUGAGAAGGACAUAGAUCUUGUCGACGUGAUUCAAGUAAUGCUAGUCCGCCGAGCUCUGCCAUGCUAGCGUAGGCCUCUCAGCAUGGGGGAGUUCAAUCCGGAAGGACCACGAACCCUCCAACACUUCCUUGGCAUUACGCACAAAGGGAUGUGGAAGUUGUUUUUCAGGAAACGGAAACAUUUGAAAGUGCAACUAUCCCUGGGUGGUUUUGGUAAUUCCUAAGAACAUAUAGUUCAUUGAGCUAAUGCUAUUUCAAGAUAAACAUUUCAGGAAAGCUCAGUGAUUGGCAUGGCAUGGAUGAGAAAAGUGGAUCCCUCAAAAUUCUAAGGACAAAGGAUUAGCUCAAGCUCAAGGCUCAGGACUCUACAUCUUUUCAUUUUAAGUGAUCCAAGAUCACAUUGAGUCCAUAGGAAAAGCCAAUACUAUUAAGAGGGGAUGAGGUGUUGCCUAAUGGCUUACUUGCUCAAAGUGCUUAGUGAUAUGCUCCAAAAGCCCUCAACUACUUUCUCACAUCCACAUAUGACCCAAACCAAAAGUCAAACUCAGCCCCACCUAAAUUUUCUAUCCGGCGCCACCGAGUUCAGUUGACAUAGCCACUGCCAGAAACCCUAGUCUUUUCGGUCUCACCGCUAGGGAUCUCGGUCUCACCGAGAUGGGAUUGUAAUCUCUCUGUUUCCCUUCGUAGUGUUUCGGCCAAACCAAGAUGAGCGAUUGGUCCCACCAAGAUUGCAAUGCAAACUCUCUAUUUCCCUUUCGUAACACUUCGGUCCAACCGAGAUGAGCGAAUUGGUCCCACCGAGUUUGCCUGACCAACUCUCUGUUAGUCCAUUACCAGAAUCGGUCUCACCGAGUUUGUGUAAUCGGUCUCACCGAGAUUACGUUAUGCCCUAACCCUAACAAAAUCGUUCCCACCGAGUUGACAUGUCGGUCCCACCGAAAUUCCUAACGUUCACAUUUUGAACUAAAUUGGUCUGACCGAGUUUCAUGAUUCGAUCCCACCGAGUUUGGUGAUUUGUGUGUAACGGUUAGAUUUUGUGUGGAGGCUAUUUAUACCCCUCCACCCACUCUUCAUUUAUGGAGAGAGCCAUCAGAACAUGCCUACACUUCCAACAUACAUAUUCUGAGAGAGAACCACCUACACUUGUGUUGAGGUCAAGUUAUUCUACUCCAAUCACAUGAAUCUUGAUCUCUAGCCUUCCCCAAGUUGCUUUCCACCAAAUCCAAAUCCUGUGAGAGAGAGUUGAGUGUUGGGAGACCAUCAUUUGAAGCACAAGAGCAAGGAGUUCAUCAUCAACACACCAUUCGUUACCUCUUGGAGAGUGGUGUCUCCUAGAUUGGUUAGGUGUCACUUGGGAGCCUCUAUCAAGAUUGUGGAGUUGAACCAAGGAGUUUGUAAGGGCAAGGAGAUCGCCUACUUCGUGAAGAUCUACCCGAGUGAGGCAAGUCCUUCGUGGGCGACGACCAUGGUGGGAUAGACAAGGUUGCUUCUUCAUUGACCCUUCGUGGGUGGAGCCCUCCGUGGACUCGCGUAACCGUUACCCUUCAUGGGUUGAAGUCUCCAUCAACGUGGAUGUACGAUAGAACCACCUAUCGGAACCACGCCAAAAAUCUCCGUGUCUCAAAUUGCGUUUACACACUCCAAACUCCUCCCUUUACCUUCAUAUGCAAUUGUUUUACUUUCCGCUGCUAUACUCUUAGAAUUGCAUGUCUAUGUUGAUUGCUUGACUUGUGCUAAGUUGCUAAAAUCUGCCUAGAACUAAAAUUGGGAAAAGGCUAGAUUUUUAUUUGGUAAGUAGUCUAAUCACCCCCCUCUAGAUAUACUUUCGAUCCUACAAGUGGUAUCAGAGCUUUGGUCUCCAUUUGCUUUGAUUUCCAUAGCUUUUGGUGGUCAUAGCCUUGGUUUCACAACCUAGGAGAGUAUGGCGUCUAGCAAGGGAAAUUACGACCGUAGAGGUCCUUACUUUGAUGGUACAAAUUUUGCUAGUUGGAAGCAUAAGAUGAAAAUGCAUAUUCUUGGACAUAACCCUACCAUUUGGGAUAUUGUGUGUAUUGGCUUGCAAGGUGAAUUAUUCGAUGGGAGAGAACCAAACUGUGAAGCUACCGCGGAAGAGUUGAAGAUGCUACAAUACAAUGCUCAAGCUUGUGAUAUUCUCUUCAACGGAUUAUGCCCCGAAGAAUUCAACAAAAUCAGCCGUCUUGAGAAUGCGAAGGAAAUUUGGGAUACUUUGAUUGAUAUGCACGAAGGUACCGAAUCUAUCAAGGAAUCCAAAUUGGAUGUGCUUCAAAGUCAGCUUGAUAAGUUCAAAAUGAAGGAUGGUGAAGGCGUCGCUGAAAUGUAUUCUAGGCUUGCUCUCAUCACAAAUGAGAUUGCUGGCUUAGGAAGUGAAGAGAUGACCGAUAUAUUCAUCAUCAAUAAGAUCCUAAGAGCCUUGGAUGGAAAAUAUGAUACCGUGUGCACAUUGAUCCAAAUGAUGCCCAAUUACAAAGAUCUCAAGCCAACGAAAGUUAUUGGAAGAAUUGUUGCUCAUGAGAUGUCACUCAAGGAUAAGGAAGAACUUCACAACAAGUCAAGUGGUGCUUACAAAGCCUUGUGUGAUGCUCCCACAUCAUCAAGUGAGAAGCAAACCUUCAAUGAAGAAUUGAGUCUAAUGGUGAAGAACUUCAACAAGGUCUACAAGAGUAUAAGCAAGGAAAAAAGUUCCAAGUCAAGGUCCUACAAUGACAAAAGAUCUUCUAGUCGUGAGCGCAAUUGCUACAAUUGUGGAAGACCCGGACACUAUUCCAAUGAGUGUAUGUCUCCCUACAAAAGAAGAGAAGAUUCUCCCUACAAAAGAAGAAGUAGAAGAGAAGAAUCACCAUCAAGAGAAAGAAGGAGUAGAGAUGAUCGUUAUGAACGAAGACCCUCUCGGAGAAGCAAGGACUCGGAAAGGAAGGACAAGUCAUCAAGGAGCUACACAAAAAGAAGACAUCAAGCUCAUGUUGGUGAAUGGGUAUCCAGUUCCGACUCUAACGAUCACUCCGAAAGAAGUUAUCACUCCGACUCCGAAUAUACUCAACAUGAAGGUGUUGCCAGACUAGCACUUGUGACAACCAACUCCUAUGACAUAUUUGACUCACCAAAUGAAGGAAUUGGGAGAUGCUUCAUGGCUAAAGGUCCAAAGGUAACACACCCCGAGUAUGUUGAUUUCAAUAGUGAUGAAGAUGAUUUGCUAGGAGAUGAUGAUUUACUUGUUGACAACUCUAGUUAUGAAAACUAUGAUGAGCUUGCUAUUAAUCAUGAUAAUCAAGAUAAAACGAAUGACGAUGAUAAGAAGGAGAUUGAGAGUCUAACUAAAGAACUAAACACUCUUAAGUUAGCUCAUGAAACUACCUUGGAAGAUCAUCGAGAACUUUUAAAGACUCAUGACAAGCUACGCUUUGAAAAGCUCAACCUUGAUAAAGAACAUGAGUUUUUAAAGUCAAUCAAUGAUGAUCUUCGCAAGAAAAGUUCUUCUUACAUUGACAGGCGUUUACUCUUGUCUACUUACAUGCCACAAGUUAAAUCUAGUAACAAGAACAAGAAAGAUUCUUCAUCUAGUAGUAACAACAAUCAUGUUAAAUCCAAUGUUGUUGCUUCUAGUAGCUCUCUAGAUUCCACUAAUGAUUCUCUUAGCCAAGUUACACUCGAGCAAGAAAAUAGCUUAUUGAUGGGAAUUAUAGAGAAAGGUGUUUACAAGAUCCUUGCCAGAAGUAAGAAAUUUGAGGAAAUUGUACGCAAGCAAGGAAGACACCGGAAGAAUCAAGGUGUUGGUUUCGAACGAAAGUUCAAUGCCAAUGGAGUUGAGUGGGAAGAAGAUCAAUACCCCAAGACGAAGUUUGUUACUCAACAAGAGAAAUAUGAUCCUACUUCUUUCAAAGGAACACAAUCUCAAGAUGAUCCUCCACCACAAGACCACAUGGAAAAAGGGAAGGACAAGCUUCAAGAGGAGAUUGAUGCAUUCGAGGAAGCUCCCAAAGCCUUGCUCAAGUGGGUUCCCAAGACUACAUCAAGUUCUAGUUCAUCAAGUAUGACUACAACUCCAAGGAUUCUCAUCAAGAUGGUGUGGAUCCCAAAGAACAAGAACUAGAGAUUUCUUGAGGGUGACUCCGCCAACAUACUUCACUCAUAUCAUUUUGGCGAGGAUAAGUGCAAACAACUUCCAUAUCUUGCACUAGUUCAAGGAGUCACAAACCCUCUUGUUGGUAAGACAAGGGACAAGGUAACCUAAUGCUUCCAUGGUAAUCAUCUUGUGUACACAUCACUCUAUGUCUAUGGAUAUCCUUGUUUGUUCCUUGUGGGACUAACCCGUGUAGGUAUUGAAAGUGCAACUCACUCCAAAGGAUUGCUCCGAAUGAUCUACAUCAGCAUUGAGCAUCCACAUCUUCAACACCUACAUGAAGUCAUCAUCGACAAACCCAAGGUUAGUUGAUCUCUCUUAGGGGGGAUAACACAUCUAGGGGGAGCUUUACUCUAAUCAAUUGAGCUAAAGCAACUCUAAUGGUGUGAACACAACAAUGCUUUAUGUAAAAGUGAUAACCCCACUUGUGAUUAAACGAUGAGUAUGACCUAUGAUCAAAUGUUCUCAUUUGACUCCUAAGUCAAUAUACUCAUAUAUAGAUGACCUAGUCAUCCCCAAUUGCUUGAUAGAUGCUAGAGUGUUUGUGCAUGAACUGUAUGGGUGACAGAGCGAUGAUGGAGAACGGCGGCACGCGGAAGCGCGGCGCUCCGUAGGAUCAGUCAUGUGAGAGGAGCAUUGAGCGCGCCACCACCACAUGAUCAAGAACCGUGAGUCAGCCACACAAUCGCGUGGAAGGAAGCAGGUACAUACUUGGCCGCCAAAAUUGUUGGCUUUAUGCAAUGCCAUUUCUGCAAUGGUGAUAACUGGUAACAAGGUUGGUGACACUUACACUCUCUGUCUUUCUUAAUCGGACAGGCUUAUACCAAGGAGCUUGAAGCCGAACUAAACCACCUCAAGGAGGAGAACGCUUGUCUGAAAGCUGAGGAGGUACGAAGUUGCUUACCAACGAAAACCAUGAGAAAAUUUAGUUUUCUUAGUCUUUUCAAUUCUUACCGUUACUAAACUGUUUCACCGUUUUGUUGCAGAAGACGAUUUUGCUGACCAAGAAACAAAUGGUAUUUACAUUUUCCCACCAUCUUGUGGCAAUUCUCCUACACUUGCCAUCACUUGCCAAUUGUUUGUGACAAUUUAAAUGCUAGGUCUUCAAAUAGUCAAUGUGUGUGUGCUGAUGAAAACACCUUGUGGUUGUGAUCUUUUAUUUCUUACAGCUAGUGGAGAAGAUGAUGGAGCAGUCCAAGGAAAAUGUGAAUGCCAAGAAGGGUGGCGCCCUGUCGCAGCGCUACGGUAGCUACAUCUGGUAAUAGGUGACCCACCAUUCAGCUUCCAUAGUUGUGCUGGCAUGAGGAUGAGAAUGAAUAAUGGUUACCUUUCCUUUCUAGAGCGGGGUGGUAUCGUAAUUUACUAGUAGUACCUAAAACCCAUAAGGACCCAAAUGUUAGUGUUUUUCUGGUCAAGCAAGUGAACUUAUGUUGUUGUUACUGUUUAUAGGUAUAUAGGUUUGUCAGAAACUUCAGGCAAAUGGAACAAAAGAAAGUUAGCAAUAUGUUUAUGUGUACUAGCACUUUAAUAUGAUGUGAUGCAAUGUGUGUGGUCCAUUUCUGAUGGGAUCAUCGCCUUUGUUCUUUUCUGAAGAUUUGGAGAUGACACAUGAGUUGAGUUUAGUCACGUAGGCGCACUUUUCGCAUCGGUGAAAUUUGAGCCAUUCAAAUAGUUUUUAAAUCCAGUGAAAUUUGAGCUAUUCAAAUAAGUGGUCACAUGUGUCUUGGGGAACGUAGUAAUUUCAAAAAAAUUCCUACGCACACGCAAGAUCAUGGUGAUGCAUAGCAAUGAGAGGGGAGAGUGUGAUCUACGUACCCUUGUAGACCGACAGCGGAAGCGUUAGCACAACGCGGUUGAUGUAGUCGUACGUCUUCAUGGCCCGACCGAUCAAGCAUCGAAACUACGGCACCUCUGAGUUUUAGCACACGUUCAGCUCGAUGACGAUCCUCGGACUCCGAUCCAGCAAAGUGUCGGGGAAGAGUUCCGUCAGCACGACGGCGUGGUGACGAUCUUGAUGUUCUACCGUCGCAGGGCUUCGCCUAAGCACCGCUACAAUAUUAUCGAGGAUUAUAGUGGAAGGGGGCACCGCACACGGUUAAGAAAACGAUCACGUGGAUCAAUUUGUGUGUCUAGGGGUGCCCCCUGCCCCCGUAUAUAAAGGAGCAAGGGGAGGAGGCCGGCCGGCCCUAUUGGCGCGCCAAGGAGGAGUCCUCCUCCUAGUAGGAGUAGGACUCCUACUAGGAGGGGGAAAGGAAGUGGGGAGGGAGAAGGAAAGGGGGGCGCCGCCCCUCUUCUCCUAGUCCAAUUCGGACCAAGGGGGGAGGAGGCGCGUGGCCCACCCUGGCUGCCCUUAUCUCUCUCCACUAAGGCCCAUAUGGCCCAUUACUUCUCCCGGGGGUUCCGGUAACCCUCCGGCACUCAGGUUUUCUCCGAAAUCACCCGGAACACUUCUGGUGUCCGAAUAUAGCCGUCAAAUAUAUCAAUCUUUAUGUCUCGACUAUUUUGAGACUCCUCGUUAUGUCCGUGAUCACAUCCGGGACUCCGAACUAACUUUGGUACAGCAAAACUCAUAAACUCAUAAUAUAACUGUCAUCAAAACCUUAAGCGUGCGGACCCUACGGGUUCGAGAACAAUGUAGACAUGACCAAGACAUGUCUCCGGUCAAUAACCAAUAGCAGAACCUGGAUGUUCAUAUUGGCUCCCACAUAUUCUAUGAAGAUCUUUAUCGGUCAGACCGCAUAACAACAUACGUUGUUCCCUUUGUCAUCGGUAUGUUACUUGCCCGAGAUUCGAUCGUCGGUAUCUCAAUACCUAGUUCAAUCUCGUUACCGGCAAGUCUCUUUACUCGUUUCGUAAUACAUCAUCUCGCAACUAACUCAUUAGUUGCAAUGCUUGCAAGGCUUAUGUGAUGUGCAUUACCGAGAGGGCCCAGAGAUAGCUCUCCGACAAUCGGAGUGACAAAUCCUAAUCUCAAAAUACGCCAACCCAACAUUUACCUUUGGAGACACCUGUAGAGCUCCUUUAUAAUCACCUAGUUACGUUGUGACGUUUGGUAGCACACAAAGUGUUCCUCCGACAAACGGGAGUUGCAUAAUCUCAUAGUCAUAGGAACAUGUAUAAGUCAUGAACAAAGCAAUAGCAACAUACUAAAUGAUCGGGUGCUAAGCUAAUGGAAUGGGUCAUGUCAAUCACAUCAUUAUCCUAAUAAUGUGAUCCCGUUAAUCAAAUGACAACACAUGUCUAUGGUUAGGAAACAUAACCAUGUUUGAUUAACAAGCUAGUCAAGUAGAGGCAUACUAGUGACGUUUUAGUUUGUCUAUGUAUUCACACAAGUAUUAUGUUUCCGGAUAAUACAAUUCUAGCAUGAAUAAUAAACAUUUAUCAUGAUAUAAGGAAAUAAAAUAAUAACAUUAUUAUUGCCUCUAGGGCAUAUUUCCUUCAGUCUCCCACUUGCACUAGAGUCAAUAAUCUAGAUUACACAGUAAUGAUUCUAACACCCAUGGAGCUUUGGUGCUGAUCAUGUUUUGCUCGUGGAAGAGGCUUAGUCAACGGGUAUGCAACAUUCAGAUCCGUAUGUAUCUUGCAAAUCUCUAUGUCUCCCACCUGGACUAGAUCCCGGAUGGAAUUGAAGCGUCUCUUGAUGUGCUUGGUUCUCUUGUGAAAUCUGGAUUCCUUUGCCAAGGCAAUUGCACCAGUAUUGUCACAAAAGAUUUUCAUUGGACCAGAUGCACUAGGUAUGACACCUAGAUCGGAUAUGAACUCCUUCAUCCAGACUCCUUCGUUUGCUGCUUCCGAAGCAGCUAUGUACUCUGCUUCACAUGUAGAUCCCGCCACAACGCUUUGUUUAGAACUACACCAACUGACAGCUCCACCGUUUAAUGUAAACACGUAUCCGGUUUGCGAUUUAGAAUCGUCCAGAUCAGUGUCAAAGCUUGCAUCAACAUAACCAUUUACGAUGAGCUCUUUGUCACCUCCAUAUAUGAGAAACAUAUCCUUAGUCCUUUUCGGGUAUUUCAGGAUGUUCUUGACCGCUGUCCAGUGAUCCACUCCUAGAUUACUUUGGUACCUCCCUGCUAGACUUAUAGCAAGACACACAUCAAGUCUGGUACACAUCAUUGCAUACAUGAUAGAUCCUAUGGCUGAAGCAUAGGGAACAUCUUUCAUUUUCUCUCUAUCUUCUGCAUUGGUCGGGCAUUGAGUCUUACUCAAUUUCACACCUUGUAACACAGGCAAGAAUCCUUUCUUUGCUUGAUCCAUUUUGAACUUCUUCAAAAUUUUGUCAAGGUAUGUGCUUUGUGAAAGUCCAAUUAAGCGUCUUGAUCUAUCUCUAUAGAUCUUAAUGCCCAAUAUGUAAGCAGCUUCACCGAGGUCUUUCAUUGAAAAACUCUUAUUCAAGUAUCCCUUUAUGCUAUCCAGAAAUUCUAUAUCAUUUCUGAUUAGUAAUAUGUCAUCUACAUAUAAUAUCAGAAAUGCUACAGAGCUCCCACUCACUUUCUUGUAAAUACAGGCUUCUCCAAAAGUCUGUACAAAACCAAAUGCUUUGAUCACACUAUCAAAGCAUUUAUUCCAACUCCGAGAAGCUUGCACCAAUCCAUAAAUGGAUCGCUGGAGCUUGCACACUUUGUUAGCUCUCUUUGGAUCGACAAAACCUUCCGGCUGCAUCAUAUACAACUCUUCUUCCAGAAAUCCAUUCAGGAAUGCAGUUUUGACAUCCAUCUGCCAAAUUUCAUAAUCAUAAAAUGCGGCAAUUGCUAACAUGAUUCGGACAGACUUAAGCAUCGCUACGGGUGAGAAGGUCUCAUCGUAGUCAAUCCCUUAAACUUGUCGAAAACCUUUUGCGACAAGUCGAGCUUUGUAGACAGUAACAUUACCGUUAGCGUAAGUCUUCUUCUUGAAGAUCCAUUAAUUCUCAAUUGCUUGCCUAUCUUUGGGCAAGUCAACCAAAGUCCAUAGUUUGUUCUCAUACAUGGAUCCCAUCUCAGGUUUCAUGGCUUCAAGCCAUUUUGCGGAAUCUGGGCUCACCAUCGCUUCUCCAUAGUUCGUAGGUUCAUCAUGAUCUAGUAGCAUGACUUCCAGAACAGGAUUACCGUACCACUCUGGUGCGGAUCUUACUCUGGUUGAUCUAUGAGGUUCAGUAGUAUCUUGUUCUAAAGUUUCAUGAUCAUCAUCAUUAGCUUCCUCACUAAUUGGUGUAGGUGUCACAGAAACUGGUUUCUGUGAUGUACUACUUUCCAAUAAGGGAGCAAGUACAGUUACCUCAUCAAGUUCUACUUUCCUCCCACUCACUUCUUUCUAGAGAAACUCCUUCUCUAGAAAAUUUCCGAAUUUAGCAACAAAAGUCUUGCCUUCGAAUUUGUGAUAGAAGGUGUAUCCAAUAGUUUCCUUUGGAUAUCCUAUGAAGACACAUUUCUCCGAUUUGGGUUCGAGCUUAUCAGGUUGAAGCUUUUUCAGACAAGCAUCGCAGCCCCAAACUUUCAGAAAUGACAACUUUGGUUUCUUGCCAAACCACAGUUCAUAAGGCGUCGUCUCAACGGAUUUUGAUGGUGUCCUAUUUAACGUGAAUGCGGCCGUCUCUAGAGCAUAACCCCAAAACGAUAGCGGUAAAUCAGUAAGAGACAUCAUAGAUCGCACCAUAUCAAGUAAAGUACGAUUACGACGUUCAGACACACCAUUAUGCUGUGGUGUUCCGGGUGGCGUGAGUUGCGAAACUAUUCCGCAUUGUUUCAAAUAUACACCAAACUCGUAACUCAAAUAUUCUCCUCCAUGAUCAGAUCGUAGGAAUUUUAUUUUCUUGUUACGAUGAUUUUCAACUUCACUCUGAAAUUCUUUGAACUUUUCAAACAUUUCAGACUUAUGUUUCAUUAAGUAGAUAUACCCAUAUCUGCUUAAGUCAUCUGUGAAGGUGAGAAAAUAACGAUAUCCGCCACGAGCCUCAACAUUCAUCGGACCACAUACAUCUGUAUGUAUGAUUUCCAACAAAUCUUUUGCUCUCUCCAUAGUACCGGAGAACGGUGUUUUUGUCAUCUUACCCAUAAGGCACGGUUCGCAAGUACCAAGCAAUUCAUAAUCAAGUGGUUCCAAAAGUCCAUCAGUAUGGAGUUUCUUCAUGCGCUUUACACCAAUAUGACCCAAACGACAGUGCCACAAAUAAGUUGCACUAUCAUUAUCAACUCUGCAUCUUUUGGCUUCAACAUUAUGAAUAUGUGUGUCACUACUAUCGAGAUUUAAUAAGAAUAGACCACUCUUUAAGGGUGCAUGACCAUAAAAGAUAUUACUCAUAUAAAUAGAACAACCAUUAUUCUCUGAUUUAAAUGAAUAACUGUCUCGCAUCAAACAAGAUCCAGAUAUAAUGUUCAUGCUUAACGCUGGCACCAAAUAACAAUUAUUUAGGUCUAAUACUAAUCCCGAAGGUAGAUGUAGAGGUAGCGUGCCGACCGCGAUCACAUCGACUUUGGAACCAUUUCCCACGCGCAUCGUCACCUCGUCCUUAGCCAAUCUUCGCUUAAUCCCUAGUCCCUGUUUUGAGUUGCAAACAUUAGCAAUAGAACCAGUAUCAAAUACCCAGGUGCUACUGCGAGCAUUAGUAAGGUAUACAUCAAUAACAUGUAUAUCACAUAUACCUUUGUUCACCUUGCCAUCCUUCUUAUCCGCCAAAUACUUGGGGCAGUUCCGCUUCCAGUGACCAGUCUGCUUGCAGUAGAAGCACUCAGUUUCAGGCUUAGGUCCAGGUUUGGGUUUCUUCUCUUGAGUAGCAACUUGCUUGCUGUUCUUUUUGAAGUUCCCCUUCUUCUUCCCUUUGCCCUUUUUCUUGAAACUAGUGGUCUUGUUGACCAACAACACUUGAUGCUCCUUCUUGAUUUCUACCUCCGCAGCUUUCAGCAUUGCGAAGAGCUCGGGAAUAGUCUUAUUCAUCCCUUGCAUAUUAUAGUUCAUCACGAAGCUCUUGUAGCUAGGUGGCAGUGAUUGGAGAAUUCUGUCAAUGACGCAAUCAUCUGGAAGAUUAACUCCCAAUUGAAUCAAGUGAUUAUUAUACCCAGACAUUUUGAGUAUAUGCUCACUGAUAGAACUGUUCUCCUCCAUCUUGCAGCUAUAGAACUUAUUGGAGACUUCAUAUAUCUCAAUUCGGGCACUUGCUUGAAAUAUUAACUUCAACUCCUGGAACAUCUCAUAUGCUCCAUGACGUCCAAAAUGUCGUUGAAGUCCCGAUUCUAAGCCGUAAAGCAUGGCACACUGAACUAUUGAGUAGUCAUCAACUUUGCUCUGCCAGACGUUCAUAACAUCUGGUGUUGCUCCAGCAGCAGGCCUGGCACCCAAUGGUGCUUCUAGGACGUAAUUCUUCUAUGCAGCAAUGAGGAUAAUCCUCAAGUUAUGGACCCAGUCCGUGUAAUUGCUACCAUCAUCUUUCAACUUUGCUUUCUCACGGAACGCAUUAAAAUUCAACGAAACAACAGCACGGGCCAUCUAUCUACAAUCAAACAUAAACAAGAAAGAUACUAUCAGGUACUAAGUUCAUGAUAAAUUUAGGUUCAAAUACUCAUAUUACUAAAGAACUCCCACUUAGAUAGACGUCCCUCUAAUCCUCUAAGUGAUUACGUGAUCCAGAUCAACUAAACCAUGUUCGAUCAUCACGUGAGAUGGAGUAGUUUCAUUGGUGAACAUCACUAUGUUGAUCAUAUCUACUAUAUGAUUCACGCUCGACCUUUCAGUCUCCGUGUUCCGAGGCCAUAUCUGUAUAUGCUUGGCUCGCCAAGUAUAACCUGAGUAUUCUGCGUGUGCAACUGUUUUGCACCCGUUGUAUUUGAACGUAGAGCCUAUCACACCCGAUCAUCACAUGGUGUCUCAGCACGAAGAACUUUCGCAAUGGUGCAUACUCAGGGAGAACACUUCUUGAUAAUUAGUGAGAGAUCAUCUUAAAAUGCUACUGUCAAACAAAGCAAGAUAAGAUGCAUAAAAGAUAAACAUCACAUGCAAUCAAUAUAAGUGAUAUGAUAUGGCCAUCAUCAUCUUGUGCUUGUGAUCUCCAUCUUCGAAGCACCGUCAUGAUCACCAUCGUCACCGGCGUGACACCUUGAUCACCAUCGUAGCAUCGUUGUCGUCUCGCCAAUCUUAUGCUUCCACGACUAUCGCUACCGCUUAGUGAUAAAGUAAAGCAUUACAACGCAACUGCAUUGCAUACAAUAAAACGGCAACCAUAUGGCUCCUGCUAGUUGCCGAUAACUUGGUUACAAAACAUGAUCAUCUCAUACAAUAAAAUUUAGCAUCAUGUCUUGAACAUAUCACAUCACAACAUGCCCUGCAAAAACAAGUUAGACGUCCUCUACUUUGUUGUUGCAAGUUUUACGUGGCUGCUACAGGCUUAAGUAAGAAUCAAUCUUACCUACGCAUCAAAACUACAACGAUAGUUUGUCAAGUUGGUGCUAUUUUAACCUUCGCAAGGACCGGGCGUAGCCACACUCGGUUCAACUAAAGUUGGAGAAACUGACACCCGCUAGCCACCUUUGUGCAAAGCACGUCGGGAGAACCGGUCUCUUGUAAGCGUACGCGUAAUGUCGGUCCGGGCCGCUUCGUCCAACAAUACCGCCGAACCAAAGUAUGACAUGCUGGUAACCAGUAUGACUUAUAUCGCCCGCAACUCACUUGUGUUCUACUCGUGCAUAUAACAUCAACACAUAAAACCUAGGCUCUGAUGCCACUGUUGUGGAACGUACUAAUUUCAAAAAAAUUCCUACGCACACACAAGAUCAUGGUGAUGCAUAGCAACAAGAGGGGAGAGUGUGAUCUAUGUACCCUUGUAGACCGACAGCGGAAGCGUUAGCACAACGCGGUUGAUAUAGUCGUACGUCUUCACGGCCCGACCGAUCAAGCACCAAAACUACGGCACCUCCGAGUUUUAGCACACGUUCAGCUCGAUGACGAUCCCCGGACUCUGAUCCAGCAAAGUGUCAGGGAAGAGUUCCGUCAGCACGACGGCGUGGUGACGAUCUUGAUGUUCUACCGUCGUAGGGCUUCGCCUAAGCACCACUACAAUAUUAUCGAGGAUUAUAGUGGAAGGGGGCACCGCACACGGUUAAGAAAACGAUCACGUGGAUCAACUUGUGUGUCUAGGGGUGCCCCUUGCCCUCGUAUAUAAAGGAGCAAGGGGGGGAGGCCGGUCGGCCCUAUUGGCGUGCCAAGGAGGAGUCCUCCUCCUAGUAGGAGUAGGACUCCUACUAGGAGGGGGAAAGGAAGUGGGGAGGAAGAAGGAAAGGGGGGCGCCGCCCCCCUUCUCCUAGUCCAAUUCAGACCAAGGGGGGAGGAGGCACGCGGCCCACCCUGGCUUCCCUUCUCUCUCUCUCCACUAAGGCCCAUAUGGCCNNNNNNNNNNNNNNNNNNNNNNNNNNNNNNNNNNNNNNNNNNNNNNNNNNNNNNNNNNNNNNNNNNNNNNNNNNNNNNNNNNNNNNNNNNNNNNNNNNNNNNNNNNNNNNNNNNNNNNNNNNNNNNNNNNNNNNNNNNNNNNNNNNNNNNNNNNNNNNNNNNNNNNNNNNNNNNNNNNNNNNNNNNNNNNNNNNNNNNNNNNNNNNNNNNNNNNNNNNNNNNNNNNNNNNNNNNNNNNNNNNNNNNNNNNNNNNNNNNNNNNNNNNNNNNNNNNNNNNNCUUCCGGUGUCCGAAUAUAGCCGUCUAAUAUAUCAAUCUUUAUGUCUCGACCAUUUCGAGACUCCUCGUUAUGUCCGUGAUCACAUUCGGGACUCUGAACUAACUUCAGUACAUCAAAACUCAUAAACUCAUAAUAUAACUGUCAUAGAAAUCUUAAGCGUGUGGACCCUACGGGUUCGAGAAAAAUGUAGACAUGACCGAGACAUGUCUCCGGUCAAUAACCAAUAGCGGAACCUGGAUGUUCAUAUUGGCUCCCACAUAUUCUACGAAGAUCUUUAUUGGUCAGAUCACAUAACAACAUACGUUGUUCCCUUUGUCAUCGGUAUGUUACUUGCCCGAGAUUCGAUCGUCGGUAUCUCAAUACCUAGUUCAAUCUCGUUACCGGCAAGUCUCUUUACUCGUCUCGUAAUACAUCAUCUCGCAACAAACUCAUUAGUUGCAAUGCUUGCAAGGCUCAUGUGAUGUGCAUUACCGAGAGGGCCCAGAGAUACCUCUCUGACAAUCGGAGUGACAAAUCCUAAUCUCGAAAUACGCCAACCCAACAUUUACCUUUGGAGACACCUGUAGAGCUCCUUUAUAAUCACCUAGUUACGUUGUGAUGUUUGGUAGCACACAAAGUGUUCCUCCGGCAAACGGGAGUUGCAUAAUCUAAUAGUCAUAGGAACAUGUAUAAGUCAUGAAGAAAGCAAUAGCAACAUACUAAACGAUCGGGUGCUAAGCUAAUGGAAUGGGUCAUGUCAAUCACAUCAUUCUCCUAAUAAUGUGAUCCCGUUAAUCAAAUGACAACACACGUCUAUGGUUAGGAAACAUAACCAUCUUUGAUUAACAAGCUAGUCAAGUAGAGGCAUACUAGUGACGUUUUAGUUUGUCUAUGUAUUCACACAAGUAUUAUGUUUCCGGAUAAUACAAUUCUAGCAUGAAUAAUAAACAUUUAUCAUGAUAUAAGGAAAUAAAAUAAUAACAUUAUUAUUUCCUCUAGGGCAUAUUUCCUUCAAUGGGAUCCCAUGAGACUUGACGGUGGUCCCCGUUAGCAACGCUUGGGUAGUCAAUUCCCUUUCCCCUCCAUCGUGGCUCACUGCUUGAGGGUCCGGAUAGCCUUCAGUUGCGCUUCCCGGUUGGCCAACCAUGAUGUCGAUCAUCAACCUUCAUACUCUUACGGCUAUGCAUCGGAGUCCAACAAUAAUCCUCUUUUUCUCAGAAAAAUCCUCCUACACUUACCAACAUUUGCCAGUUGCUUGCAAGAACCUAAUUGCCAAGUCUGAAAACAGUUAAUGUGUGUGUUGAUGGUAAUAACCUAUGGACGAGAAAUUUUUACAGAUGGUGAAGAAGAUGGAACAGUCAAAGGAGAACAUCAAUGCCAAGAAGGGUGAUGCCCUGCUGCGGUAGUUGCUUCUGGUGAACGGUGACCCACCAUUCAACUUCCAUAGCCUUGCUGGCAGGAGGAAGAGGACUUGAAUCUGGUUGUCUUGUGUGUUUGAUGCAACUACAACAACAAUGGUGGUGAUGAUAGCAGUUAAGUUUUGUUUGCAAAGAGGGAUGAUAUAUUAAUUUACUAGUCGUACCUAAAAUCCAUAAAGACCCAAAUAUCAGCGUUUAUCUAGUCAAGCAAGUGAACUUGUGUUGUUGUUACUGUUUGUAGGUGAUGAUGGGUUUGUGAGAAAAACUUCAAACAAAUGGAAAAAAAUUAGCAAUAUGUUGAUGUGUACUCUGAAAGACCCCUUCUACUUCCGAGCUUACUUGAGCUCAGGAUGAACGGUAAAUUAAACAAAAUUAAAAUACUUCAAUAAACUCUGAAUUUUUUUUGGUGUAAACAUUGACAAAUGUUCUCAGUGCUUGUAAAUUUUAUCCUGAAAUAACAUUCAGUUUUUUGGCAUGACUUUCGCAAAUGUUAUUUCGGGAUGAAAUUUGCAAGCAUGAAAACAUUUGUCAAAGUUUGAACCUAGAAUAAUUUAUAUUUUUUUCUUUUUUGAUUUUACUGUUCAUUAGAGAACAUAUGAGGUCGGGGCUAGAUACUCCGCGUCUUGUGUACUCGCGCUUUAAUAUGAUGUGAUGCUAUGUGUGUGGUCCAUUUCCGGUUUAUGUUGGAGUCUUGGCCUUUGUUAUCUUCUGAAGAAGUGGAGAUGACACACGAGUUGAGUUUAGUCACAUAGUGCAUCGGAGUCUAGGAGUGAUCCUCCUUUUCUAAGAAAGAAACUCUCAUGCAAUUACUGUCAUUUGCCAAUUGCUUGCAACAACCCAAUAGCCAAGUCUUAAAAUAGUAAAUGGGUGUGUGCUUGAUUAUGUUUAUAUUACAUCCAAUAUUAACUCACGUUCAAACAGAAUAUUAUGUAUACUCUUUGAUCUAAGGUUAUUUUUAAUAACUUGAAUUUUUUGUCAUGAACAAAUCGAUGAACCGUCGGUCCAACCAGGUACAGCCACAACGGUUCGGUUGCCCGUUUGGUUCUAGAAAAUAUAGUUUGAUGUCCAUGGUGGAAGAACGCGACAUAAAGUGCUUUGUAUCCCGAGAACGACGAGGAGAAAUGAGCAGGUGGCAGCAGCACUUAUCACUUCAAGCAAUAGGGAGACUAGACCAUAGGGAGAGGAAGUGAGAUGAGUUCGUGUGUGCAUGUAUUUUAGGGAAAGAGCGUGUGUAUUGUAUUAUUUUUAUUGUUUUUUUGUGCGCAUCAAGUGUUUUGUUUGGGCCAAGCCCAAAUAAUGAAAAUAAAACAUGAUCUCUAAAAGUAUUCAACAUCCUAUAGAUCCCUUUGCAUUCAUUAUCUUUUGCAAAUUCUAAAAAACCUUUUGAUUAGUUAUUAAACUUUUAAAUUGUAUAUAACAAUUUCACCGUCUGUAUAUCCUACUUAGAACACAUCCACCACUUCGCUUUCACCCGGUCAUAGUGAUAAGUGAAAGGACGCGCCAUCGAAGGACAUGACUAUGACUUCCUCAACUCUAUACUACGUGGUCCAAAUACCAACGUUCUUUUUUUAGUGUGGACACAGAGCGUGUGGUUUUUUUAAGAGAAAGACUGUUUCUACUUGUUUUUUAUUUCAAAAAAUAUGAACAUUUUAAAAUAUGUUCACCAUUUUUAUAUUCAAUAUUUAUAAAAAAAUGUACCCUUUUUUGAAAUGUUUGCAUUUAAAAAUAUUCUGAAAAUAAUAAAUCAAAAUUGUUUUUGAAAGUCUUGUGUUAAAAUGUGAAUCUUAAAAAAAUCCCAUUUUUAUAAAAAUGAUAAAAAAUAAAAAAUGUUACUUUUUAAAAGUUAAAUAUUCAUGUUCUCUCGAAAUGUAAAAAGACGAUUGGCAAAUUAUUCCAUGCACAACUACUCUUUUAUCACAUGACGGAUGUUAAGGUGGCUUCUUCGCAUCCACACUUCAAACUCCGAAAAGAGAUAGUUAGAAUUGCAUAUAAGAAAUGUUGUGCAACGGCACGCAGAAAGCAGAUUUUGCUAUUUUUGGCCCGUUGCAACGCACAGGCAUUUGUACUAGUAUUGCAAAAUUCUAUUAGAUUUAACCCUAAGGCUUCAAAGUUAUAAACAAUCUAGUUUGAAGUUGGUUCAAAUUAAUUAAAAUCCCUAAAUUCAAUAAUAACCCCAAAACAUUUGCUAAAGUUCAUUUUAAGUUUCUAAACUUAGUUACAACUUAAUUAUCCUAAUAAGCUCUUUAGGUUCAAAUAUUGUUUGAAGUAUAGCUUCUUCUAAAAUAUGUUUAAUGUCAAUAUUAAAUUAUUUUAAAAUUGAACUACAAUGGCUAACUUCAAACUAUAUUUCACUAGGUUCAUUCUACAAAAAUAAUCAAUUCAUUUGGAUUUAUAAAUUGCAAGUUACACCCAAUUGAAAUUUGAAUUCAUGUUGAUUGAAUUUUAAUUAAAUAUUAAUGGACUACGUGAAAGUGUAUUUAUUGAGGAUGAUAUUGCAAAAGAAUUUGUCAAUUUGGAUUUACAGAUAAAAAGUUGUGACUGUUUGAAGUUCUAGGGUUUUUUUUGAAAAUCUACCAUUUAAUUCAAUUUAGGAGAAAUUCGAGUGGAUAAUGUUUUGGAUAAGUCGGGUGGCGUGGCAGUUUCGUAUUGGCUGAUACCGAUUCGGUUUAAGUGGACUGCUAUGGUGCGUGCGAUCAAAAUCUAACAGUCCAAAUUAGAUCUAGUGGUUAGGGUUUCGGUGGUUCACCACAAUCUCUCCGAAGAGUCGCUAGAAAACACGUGCAUGGGGGCACUAUGCUCGGGAGUUGUGAGAUAUGGAGGGGUUUCCAGGGUAGCAGAGGGCACAGACAUGCUCGGCGUUGCUCGAGGAGAUCGAAGGUGGCAUCGGCUGGCCUCGAGGGUGACGGAGACUCGUGGGGCGAGCUCACUGAAGUUCGGUUGCGUUGGCGGGGCUUCGGGUGAUGAAGCAGUGCUCGGGAUUGAGUGCCUAAUGAUGAACCAAAUGGAUUAGACGAUGCACGUGAUCAAGGUGAACACGAUGGAGAAGGUCGUGGGGCAAGACACUCACAGUGUCGCUGAAGUUGAGGUCAUAACGGCGGCGAGGCUCGGGCUUCAUUGAAGUCGGGCAUAGAGGAAGUUCAUGUCGCCACGAAAGAUGUCCAGGGGUCCACCGUUGUGCGGGCAGUCGAGUGGUGGUGGUGGUUGGUCUCGGGGUGACUGUACUCGCCGGAAUCGACACUGGAGUUUCUAGGUCAGUGGCGGAGCUCGGGGGUUCACCGGCGAGGAGCCUGGUGGCGUUGUGAGGGGGAUGCAUAGGGGAAGUGGUGAGAGUGUCUGGGGCUAUUUAAUGGACAUAGAGGUAGGAGCUGGCAUGGACGGUAUGUGCGAGAGGUGGAGAUUGUGGUCGGUGUGCAUGCGUGGGCGGUUGGAGGUUGGGGGUGACCCUGACUAGUGGGACCCACUGGUCAGCAACUUAGGGAGAGAGAGAGAGGGUGUGCGUGGGGUUGGGUUGUGGCUGGCUUAACUGGGCUAGCCUGGCUAGCUUGCUCGGCUGGGCAUUUUUAUUUUUCCAUUUUUUGUUUUUUGUUUUGUCUUUGCCUUUUCAUUUGAAUUUGAUUUGAUUUUUCUAUCCAAAUAAAACUUUCCCUAAUUUCAAAUAUGAAUAUUUAUGCCAACAUUUUAUUUGGCUGUUUUGAGCAUACGUUUUCUGCACUUUAUUUUCCAUCUUCAAUUUCAAUUUGGUUUAAACCCAAAUAUGUUUGAAAUCCAAUGGAAAAUUUGGCAGAAGGUCAAGCCUAUUAUUUGGAUAUAUGGGAUUCACUCUCUUGCUAAAUAAAUGCAAGCCCCUUUUCAUAAAAAUCCCCAUUUGAUUUUUGAAUUGAUUCCAACCAAUCCACUCCAAUCAUUUAGGAAAAUUUAUUAGCGCUUGAAUAUCAUCUGGGUCUUAUUUAGAAUAGCCUUAUGCCCAAAUAAAUAUUUUAAUUUUCAACCUAUAUUGGGAUUCUGAUUUAUUCCCUAAACCUUGUAGGGUUGAUUCUGUUUCUCCCAAAUUUCAAACAAAGGUUUCAAUCUGGCCAUAGGGUCCUUGACUCUCUAGGUGAAUUCAAAUAGUGCAAACACGUCAACCAUCAAGAAAAUUCCUAGACAAUAUUUAGCUAGAGGCCAACAAGCAUAGGUUUUCUUAGAAAAAAUAAUUCCCUCACAAAUCUCCUAGCCUAAUGCAAUGAUGUUGCAUUGACCACACAUGUGGGCAAUAUAGUGCGAUCUGACAUAGAGCGUCCGUGUUGUAUCCUUUUUGGUGAGACAUAUUGAUAGCCAUAUGUUACAAAAUGAAGGGAGGAGAUGAUAUAGGGGUGUGGGUGGACUAGGGUCCACAGUUUCACUAUUUUAGGGAACCACGACCCUUUUCCCCAUUAAAACCAAGCUUGUCGUGAGCUGCAUUUACACCACACGCACUCUCUCUCCUCUUUCCCACACAAGAUCUCCUCGCCCUCGAGUUUUUAGCCGGUUUGGCUCGCCGCCGCAUCGCCUUCGCCGGAAUCCGUCCGCUCUCGCACUCAUACGAGGUAGGAAUCAUGGAUCCACCCACUCUUUCCCUCGUCAUCCUAAUCUUAGACGUGUUUGAUGUGCGUUGUAUUAAUGACAGAUUUUUGCGAAAUCUACGAAGCCGAUCUGGGAUAUAAGUGGUUUUAAGGGAGAAUACAAGUUCAAUUUCUGUCAGGUGGUGUGGCGCACUUUAAUUUUUGAUAUUAUGAUUCAUUGAUUUCAUCUGUAUGCUCGCGCCUCGACAAGGAUUUCGAGGGCUAAGGUUUGGUCAGGGAGGGGUGGGGUGGGGGGAUGCGGGAUCUAUCCCCGCAUGAUGAAAUUGUUGUCGAUUGGGAAGCAGAGUGGCUCGGUCUUCAUGUUCUAGUUUUGUAAACAUGUGUUUGUUAAUUAGUAGAGUUAGGGGAACGAGAGACACAAGAUGAUGCAUGUUUGUGCGGUGGUUCAGGGAAGUGCUUGGGCGGGUGGACAUGCAUCUUGGUAUCCUCUAGCCAUGAUUUCCAUAUGGACCCCUCCCACCCUUGGUGGUCCAGCACACUUUAAUUUUUUGUUAUUAUGAUUCAUUGAUUUCAUAUGUGUGCUCGCCACGACAAGGAUUUUGGGGGCUAAGGUUCGGUCGGGGAGGGGUGGGGUGGGAGGAUGUAGGAUCUGACCCCGCAUGAUGAAACGGUUGUCGAUUUGGGAAGCAAAGUGGCCCAUUCUUCAGGUUCUAGUCUGGUAAAGGUGUGUUUGUGAAUUAGUAGAGUUAGUGGAACAUGAGACACGAGAUGAUGCAUGCUUGUGCGGUGGUUGGUGGAAGUGCUAGGGCGGGUAGAAAUGCAUCUUGGUAUCAUCUAGCCAUUAUUUCUAUCUGAACCCCCCUUGUAGACCCCCUACGGUUUUUCUAAUCCUCCAAUUUUUGUUGAUUUUCCACUCCUUGAAGGGACAAUAUGACAUUUUUCUGGAACACGCAAGAGUUAGUAUGACAUUUUUGUAGAACACACAAGAGUCAGAAUGAGAUGUCUCGCAAAAAAGGGUAUGAGAUCAGUAUAUGCCACAAUUGUUUUAACUAUAUUGGUGUAGUUGUGGUCCUUAGAGGCCCACUAGUGCACGACAAAUUCUGGGCCUAGAUUCCCUCUAGAUGAUCCAGGGCUCCAGGACAAAAACUAAAAGGUAUACAUGCAUUUUAACAUGCAUGUCUCACUUUCUCCAAAAAAUGCAUGUCUCACUCUUUUUGCGUGUAGAAUGACUUUACCUUUUGCCACCUAUCUAUUUUUUCCAUUUUUGAUGACACCACAUUUGUCACCUCUAUGAAUUGAAGAGCAUCGUGCUGUAAGACUCCUUGUACUAAUCCAUCCCCCGAAUUAGAAACGACGAUCUUGGCAGUAGUAGGCAGUGGCAAACGGCCACACGCGGUUUACUCAUAUACUUAUCUCCCACGCUAACGUGCAUAAUGCUCAGUCGUUGGUACUGAGGCGUCUCAGUGGCAACCAUCAUCGGGUACCUAUUGAAUGGAACCAGCACACCCCCCGAGUUUGUCUCAUAUACCAGGCUUAACUUGUGGCCACAUUUGGCGCUUUGGCAGUACCCUAUCUAUCCAGUACGAGACGAACUAUCUACUAAUGUAUCUAUCUAUCUAUAGCCCACCUUUUUCAUCAAUGACAUGAAUUCAAUAGCUAUCUAAUGCUUUAAUUGAUGCUUAUCUCUUGCAUGCUGCAUGCUAUAAAUAGGGGGAGCGGCACAAGACUGGACCACACACCAGAACCCACAAGAAAGAGUAGGUGAACGAGACCACAGUGGCAAGGAGAGAUAGGAUGGUGUCGGACAUGAGCAAGGACGUGAAUUUCUCCAAGGAAGAAGUCACCUCGCACCCGCGCGUUCUCGAAGGUGAGGAGCAGACGAUUGCACCGGCACGGCAGUCUUCCAUCUUCGCGCCAACAUUGGACGAGCUGCAAUACUCUAUGUGCGAGGCAGGGCACAACUUUGGGUCCAUGAACAUGGACGAGUUCAUGAGCAACAUAUGGAAUGCCAAGGAGUUCCAAGAGGCGACCGGUGGUGUCUUGGUGGGCAUGGAGGUGGCUCCGGUGGUGGGUGCUGAUGGAGGCCGAGGUGGCGAAGAUGCAGGAGGAAGCAACCAAGCCCGACAGGAGUCGUUCUCCUUGCCUCCCCCGCUAUGCCGGAAGAUGGUGGAGGAGGUGUGGGCUGAGAUCAACAGGGAGACCCGCCUGGUGCAUUCCCAGCCUCAGUCCGCGCGGCCCUCGCCAUUGAUUCCCGUCGAACCACCGGCGGGGAAUGGUGGUGGGGUCGCGGCGAAUGAACAGCGGGGGACGCUUGGAGAGAUGACGCUAGAACAAUUUCUUGUCAAGGUUGGUGUGGUCCGAGGAUCUGGCACUGGCGGCCAAGCACCUGUGCCGGUCGGCAUGGUCCAUGGACAGAUGAACCCUGCACCGGCCAACGACAUGUUCCAGGUGAUGGGCGAUGGCAUGGUGUACAUCCCCAACGGGUAUGCAGGGAUAGUCGUGGUGCCGCCACCACCACCUCCUCAAGGUGGGGUGGGUAUCGUGAGCCCAGGGUCGUCGGACGGGAGGAGCACCAUGAUGGAGGUUGACAUGAUGAACUGUAUGGGCGACAAAACGAUGAUGGAUAACAGCGGCGCGCGGAAGCGCGGCGCUCCGGAGGAUCAGUCCUGUGAGGGGAGCAUCGAGCGCCGCCACCACCACAUGAUCAAGAACCAUGAGUCAGCCGCACAAUCGUGUGGCAGGAAGCAGGUACUUACUUGGCUGCCAAAAUUGUUGGCUUUAUGCAAUGCCAUUUCUGCAAUGGUGGUAACUGGUAACAAGGUUGGUGACACUUACACUCUCUGUCUUUCUUAACCGGACAGGCUUAUACCAAGGAGCUUGAAGCCAAACUAAACCACCUCAAGGAGGAGAACGCUCGUCUGAAAGCUGAGGAGGUACGAAGUUGCUUACCAAUGAAAACCAUGAGAAAAUUCAGUUUUCUUAGUAUUUCCAGUUCUUACCGUUACUAAACCGUUCCACCAUUUUGUUGCAGAAGACGAUUUUGCUGACCAAGAAACAAAUGGUAUGUACAUUUUCCCACCAUCAUGUGGUAAUUCUCCUACACUCGCCAUCACUUGCCAAUUGCUUGUGACAAUCUAAAUGCUAGGUCUUCAAAUAGUCAAUGUGUGUGUGCUGAUGAAAACACCUUGUGGCUGUGAUCUUUUAUUUCUUACAGCUAGUGGAGAAGAUGAUGGAGCAGUCCAAGGAAAAUGUGAACACCAAGAAGGGUGGCACCCUGUCGCGGCGCUGCGCUAGCUGCAUCUGGUGAUAGGUGACCCACCAUUCAGCUUCCAUAGUCAUGCUGGCAGGAGGAUGAGAAUGAAUAAUGGUUACCUUUCCUUUCUAGAGCGGGGUGGUAUCGUAAUUUACUAGUAGUACCUAAAACCCAUAAGGACCCAAAUGUCAGUGUUUUUCUGGUCAAGCAAGUGAACUUAUGUUGUUGUUACUGUUUAUAGGUAUAUAGGUUUGUCAGAAACUUCAGGAAAAUGGAACAAAAGAAAGUUAGCAAUAUGUUUAUGUGUAAUAGCACUUUAAUAUGAUGUGAUGCAAUGUGUGUGGUCCAUUUCUGAUGGGGUCAUUGCCUUUGUUCUUUUUUGAAGAUUUGGA
rnacentral:lncRNA from 1 species